GCAUAUAAUGUGAUCUUUGGUCUUAGAAUGGGCGUGGCAGAAACUUCUGUUAUCUAAGCUCUGUCCCAAUACCCAUUGAUCUCAAUAAAAACGAUUGUACCUUAUACAGGAGAUUAUGAUGUGCAACACACAUAAACUUAAAGUUAUAGGAAUUCACAGCACACGAACAGAGUGAGGUAAAAGCAACGUGGCAGUUUCAAUAACUUUCUGCAACAACAUUCCUCUGUUGAUGUCGAUGUCCCAAAAACUCUCAGUUCCAGCCAAGCUGGAGUAAAGUACGGCACAAGGGGAGCGAGCUUAGCUAAGGUAGAACAUUAACAGUAACAUAAUACAGCAAACUAGCACAUUUCAAGUCUGAAAUUUGAACAUCACUGAUAGAGCAUUUUUCUUUCUUUCUGGAGAGCAUCACUGGUUUAGUUUUCUCUUUUUGGAGAGCAUCACUGGUACUUGUAGAGCUAGUAUAACUGGUAUAUGAGUUAAAUGAUUGGCUUCUCCAUGAGGGACCGGCAUGUAGUUGUGCACGGGAUCCUCGUGAACCGGAGGUGGCACUGAAAAUAAGAGCAUGCCAUCAGAUAAAUAACAAAUAAUGUGUCAAAUUAUCAGAUGGUUGCACAAACACAAAGAGUGAAUAGAACGCCAUUAAUCACUUGAGCCAGAAGAGAAGACAAGCAAGCUAAUCACAUCAAGACGCCGUCCGUUGUGCAAGGGUCAUUGUAUGUAAGUAUACUAAUAGAUGGAAACAGACAGUGAUUCUAAAUUUCUAACCGCUGCUGCAAGAUCCCUAAAUCGCUAGCUAGUUGCAAGAACUUAAUCUAGGAGUGGUGCUAUAAUCAACAAGGGUACUAGAAGUCACCCCCUGCCUGUCUCAUGUUAUGCAACUAUAUAUAGGCAGCAUGCAUUAACAUAACUCUCAUUUAGUUUCAUAUUCAUGUAAAGGGGAUAUAAUCCAUCAGCCACUAGUGCAUGCAAUGGUCUACGUUAUGUUAUCAGGUGUGCCAUCCAAUUUACAGAAAUUAAUAGGAGUAAACAAUAAAGUAAAAUCCAAUUUGCGACAUCUCAACUUGUUAUGAUCAUUUAAAAUAUGAGUGGCACGUGUGGAACUUUGCUUACAUGCAUGCCCUACUAUCCUGUACACCCCAGCUCACCACCUGUCCUACCACUUAAAUAGUUCCAUUAAGUAUCACAAUAUACAAGUACACAAACUUGUAAUGCAUUCUCAGUUGACAAAGCAAUCCGAAAACCAUUUUAUCACUGACAUACAUUUGAAGCAAUAGUGGCCAUUGUUCAACCAGAAGAGAGAUGCUUGUCCAACCAGCAAUCCAUUUAGCAUGCCAGUUAAAGUAACCAUGUUAAAAGUUGUGCAUAAAUAUACCUUCAGUUGGUUCAAUAAGCUCUGACUGACGAGGGCAAUUUGGAGGUUUAGGUACCCUGAACGAAAACUGAGAUAACUGUAAGCGGGCAGCAUAGUCUGGGCUGUCUUCAAGAUACCUAUCAAAGUAUAACAUAUGAGGAAUAAGAUAAACAUCUAGGCAGAUUGAACCACAUGGAGAAGUUCACAACUUCACAUAGUGUACACAUGUAUUCUGUGUUUCCAACGUUCAAUUGUAAGAACCGGCAAUAUUUCUGAAAAUAAGCCCCAACAAAGCUAAGCCUAAAUGCUGGUUGUGUGCUUCAUAUGAUCAUUGAGCCAUUGAGGUAGUGAAAGUACAAUAAUAACACUUUGUAACAACUUCACAAUAAAGUGGAUACCAUUCAGAUGCGGUUAUCAAUAUGCUAGAUGAAGGGAAAACUGCAUCUGGGCACUAAUAUGCUUAAGAAAGUAACGAUAUUGAAGAGAAGUUGACCAGAAGAAAGUUAGCUUACCUUUCAACAUCUUUCAUGGAUCUUACUUUUCUGCCUGCGGGAGAGAUAUAGUACCUGAAAGGAUGUAUAUAAGUGUUACAAAACAGUCAUACAAUACGUACACGGAAUGGCAAGCACAUCCUUUUAUAUAGGUGUGUAAGGUGUUUAGCAGACCACAGGAAUGAAUGUUUAACCAUUGAUCAAAUAUGAACAGCAUUAAGUUCCUAAACCAUAAAUGAGCAUUCUGAGCUCUCAAGAGUUACGACCCAGGGACGUUAGAAAACAACUGCAACAUCAUUUGCUCAGAAAUAAAUACAAAAAGCUGGGAAACAAAUUAACUACAAUGUUGUGCAAAACAAGUAAUACUCACACAUCAGCGAAUCUCGUGCUCUGUUCAUUCCUUAGAGUAAUAUUCCUUUCCCACCCAAGAGGGGUCUGAGGGAUGCAUGGGAUAUCAAUUGCCCAUGCCAUGCCAUUAUCCUUAGAUAUAUCAGUUGGAUCAUGGCAUGUAACUUGUGGCUUCCACCCAUGGACAUAUUUGCAAGAAAAAGGAACUUGUAUAAUAUUCUCUCGGAUUUGCUCAUAUUUCAGUUUGGAUGGUACAACUCUCCAUUUCUGGCAAGUACUACAUUGCACAGAAUAUGUACUAAUAAUGAAUUUCCUUUUUUUAGACAGCACAGGUAAGGUGUUUUCUCCUUGGGCAUUCUUGUAAGGAACAACUUGAUAUGAUGCACUUCCAGAGGAGUUUUCAGUGUCACUGUCAUCCCAUUGGUCCACAACCUUAUCAGCUAACAUAUCUUGGCUCUUGAUAUGAGAUAAUGAACUCUCAUCAGGGUUGGGCCCAGGAUUAGCCGGGCUGGACCCCAUAGUUUUUAGUUCCCUGUUGGAGGUAAUUGCAAAAGUUUCAGACUGGGAAAGGCAAAAUGCUUGAUAGAGAAACAAAAGAAACGUGAAUGUAAGAUUAAAACAGAAGGGAUACACCACCAUGAACAUGAAAAGAGGGGACACAGCAAUUCGGUGCUCGAGCUCAGCUAGUCCCAAAAUCGUUGGCGUCCGUAGCUGCGUUGGGAUCGUAACAAUUCGUGCUGGCGUGUCAGGACGUUGCGGGCAAAUAAUGAGGAUACGGCUGCUAUACGGUACGAAACAGUGCGACCGGUGGGCCAGUUCACAGUAGGGACGGAUGCGACUGAAUCGCGCGGGCCUUUCUGGGCCGUGGACCAGGAUGUACGCACAAACCUGAGCCGUCGUUUUCCUUCGCGGCCGCAUGCUUUGACGCGAGCUAUGUAGAUCCCGGAUGGCUUCAGCAAGGAGAGUCGGAGACAUCGGCGGCCGCCUGGUGCACAGCACAACUGCUCUGCACGAGCAAGUUGGCUGGGCUGUGAAGGAGGUGGCAUGGCGGUCCACAGGAGGUUGCUCGUGGACGAGGUUGAGGCCGCCUGAUACGGUUUCUGGGAGUAGGAGCUUUAAGCAGAAGGUUGACCGCAACGAGGAUCAUGCUUCUCUAGAAUAAGCUCGUUGUCUAGACACCGCGGUGACUGGAGGCGACGAGGGUGGUGUCUCAGGUGGAGAUGAUGAAUCGCACGUCGUGGAUGCUCCGACCGCCGUGGCCGAAGUUGACGAAGCUGGGGAGGAGGAGGCGAGCAGCGUUGUCGCAAAACAAAGGCGUCUGCAGGCAUAGGGGCUAGAUAUCUAAGAUAUGAUCUACAGUAGCUAGUAGCAAAUGGUAACAAGCUCGUUGCGAUGUUGUAGUUGUAUAAUGGAUCGUUGAACCUUUUGGGUGUGCACAUGUGUGAUGUGAUGAAUGCCAGCUCGUGUUCAGCAAAUUCAAAGAUCGCUUUUGGAGUUGCGAGUUUUUUGCCAUAGUAUUUCUCGCUCUUUGCGUUUUUUGUGUGAACAUUUGCAAUUUCAAGUCAUCAGGGGAGGUGGCUGCGAGGCGGUUUGGGUCUUUGAGAGGAUACCACUUCUCGAGGUGAAGCAAUUAGCAUAAACAGCUCGGACUUUGAUUAAUGAUGAAGAAGGGCAUUGGCAUUUAAAAAUAAUAAAACUGCUGAGUGUCUGCAUGCAUGCGUCCCAUGCAUGUGAAGGGAUGCUGACACUAUUCUUUUUAAUUUGUCUAGACACCAGCUCGCCAUGAAUGCGCCCAGAACUGUUCCGCGUGCAGGCUGCCGUCUCCUGUCGCAAUGAAUGCACCUAGGUCCGUCCAUUGUUUAAAGGCAAUACCGCUGAAAUACAGCUAAAAAUACAACCGAUGGCACGCAUCUUCAGACGAGCAGACGGGUAUGAUUUCAGGAGCAGCCGAGCCUGAGCUCAGAAUCGAAUAUUCGGUGAAGACAAAGGCUACUUAUAGUAAAUCUUUGAUUUCUCAGGCUAGAUAUCAAGAUAUCGCUGGCAUUAAAGCAGUAUGGUUCUCCCAUAAAUCAGGUUCAUUAUGGUAAUGCCAUAAAUCUCUAACAUUUUGAACAGCUUAAUUAGGUAACUAGGGCUUACGUAAUGUUAUGACAUCCCUAGGCUAGAUUCAAAGAUUCCGUUAGGAACAGAAAGGCGGAACUUAACGCCUCAUCACUAGUUGGGGCAUCAACAAUCCAGUUCACAAAAGUAAGGACAUAACUCGCAAAUAUAUACUCCCUCCGUUCUAAAAUAGAUGACCCAAUUUUGUACUAAAGUUAGUACAAAGUUGAGUCAUCUAUUUUGGAACGAAGGGAGUAUUUAACAGCUUGAGCUAACGUAACGCUCCAGAACCCUAGGCUAGACACUGACCGAGAUGCCAUCAGCAUUAGAAACAUGAUCUAGUGUAGCAAUAGUAAAUCGAAUGUACCGAUUUCAAUUGCAGAUAUCCCUACUCCUCAAACAGCCCUAGCAUGGUAAUCAAACUAAAUCACAGUUAUUAUACAAAAACGGAAUCAUGAUUCUUCUCACCAUCCCCGUUAGGCACGAAACAUAUUACUUCAUACUUCUCCAAAAUGAAAACUAAGUUGGGACGGGAUAAAUAAAAUCUACUAUUCCACAUGUAAAAUUGCUGAAUCUACUACGUGUAAAAUCUCUGAAACCGAACGCCUUAGCGAUAUGUUCUCCCAAAGCCCUAGCAUGGUAAUCUAUCUAAACCUAAAUUAUUUUGAAGGAACAAUCUAAUCAUGCAUUCAUGAGCAAAAGGGGGUGGAAGGCGAGGUAUACAUACACGAAGCGCCACCAAUGGCGGCUUUUUGGUGGCCAGAUUGGCUCGUCGGGGUCAUCAGCCUUCUCCGCGGGCAGUUUAGACGCACGGAAGAGCUCCGCCUCGCGGAGUCGGCGGGCUUCGCAGGAGGCGGCCAGCCUCCGGAAGCACGCGGCCCUGAGAGGAUCGCGGCGCCCGGAGAUGCUCGGCGGCGGUCGGGGCGGGGAAGAGGAGCCGGGCGCCCCACUCUCCGCCUCAUCGUCCGCCUGUGUGGCGGCGGCGCCGCCCUCCGCGUCGGGGCUCCCGACGACGGACUCAGUGGUAAGGGAAUUGAAGGAGGGGUCGGCUCCAAGGCCCUCUUCCUCUUGUCCCUGCGUUUUGGGGCUGGUUGUCACAGGAUCGGUGGGGUCAGAAACGAAGGGAUCCAUUCCUACGGACGGUGGACCGCUACCUGUAGGGGAGAGGGUUUUCGGAGGGAGGCAAGAUAGAAGAGCGAGGGUGAAUGUGGUUUCUGCUUUCAAUCCCUAUACUCCUUUUUAUAUUGAUUUGUAAUUUGAACACGUCUAGAUGUGAACACGGAUGAUUUUGGUAUAUUUGGAAAUCAAUUAAAGGGUACAUCCAUGAUUAGUAAUAUAUUAAAAAUUGCUCGACAAAUAUGUCAUAGCAAAAUAUUAAAAACAUACUUAAAAAUAAUGGAGACACAUGGCCAUGUGGCGAAUUAAGUGACGUACGCAAGCAAAUCCAGUAUGAUAGAUGAUAUCUAAUAUUAAGAAAGCUUUGCGGUUAAUAGAAACAUGCACGCAUGGUGAGACGAUGGGAUUUUGUAGAAAAGAAUAGAUGGGUUGGGUGUGUUGGAAACCUUCGGAGCACGAUAAGCAAGCUAGGUUGAAUAGCGCGAAACCAAAGCGCAAAAUUGGACACAUUGGAUUCAUCUCCGGCGUGUGUUCUACUCGUUCUCAACCACGAUUUUGUCUCCUUCAUGGUUUGGUUACUCGAGUUGAUAAAGGGGGUGUCCUCACAUGCGUGCCCAGCUUUGGUAGCAAUUAGGUUAAAGAAACGUAGACCUAGAUCUAGAGCCUGUGUGUAUUUUGGGGUGAAGGUAAUUGGUGGAUCGGACAAAGAAAAGGAGGAAUUUGAGGAAGAGGAUUUCGAUGAUGCGGGUGUUUGAAGAAGACCCCGACAUGGUCAGGGAAGGGAUCAAGUAAAUAACGAUUGCGAAAGUUCACACAACCAACCAAUUCACUACCCAAGCUUUAAUUACGAAUAUGAAUAUUGCAUGGAACCCAACAAAGGAGAUCAAGACCACAUCGGUAAACGAAAAUCUCUUUACGAUCCAGUGUUCCUGCAUGGGUGAUUGGAUGAAGUUAACUGACAAAGGCCCUUUGUCAUGGUUUUGUCACGUCAGAUGUCCUCGUGAAAGGACUAAGUCUCGAGGCCAUCACAACUAGGUGGUUGCUUGAACGGGGUUGAUCGGGAAUGAAAGACACGGGUUUACCCAGGUUUGGCUCCUCACGGUGGAGGUAAAAAGCCUACUCCUGCUCAUGAUUUAGGUAUGGUUUUGAAGGCUCUCAGAUUUCUAGCCAGCUCGUACUUGUGUCGUUUCUUACCAGUUCUGGGUUUUAUUAUGAUCUUUUAACCGGCUUAAAUUGUUAAGUUAUCAAACACCCCAGUCAUAUAAUCUUUUACGCCUCCAAUUCGGCUUAUAUUUUCCUUCCUUUUCACCUUUGUAGUUCAUCUUUGUUGCAAACGGAACCCAUGGCCCCAAAGUGAGCAAAGCCUAUAACUGGAGUAAAUCAUGCAUAUCAGAGCUCAUGCUCGACGACUUGGUAAAUAUCGGGUUACUUCCCGCCAAGGACCAGAUCAAAUGGUGAGCCGCUGAAGAAGAUAACUGACCAGCUCCGGGUCAAAAUGAAGUAGUUAUCUUUGCAGAUCACUUGGACAGAGGCUUUCGCCCUCCGGGUUCCAAAUUUUUUCGCGACGUUCUUCACUACUUUGGUAUCAGGCCACAAGACCUUGCUCCCAACUCGGUUCUCAUUUUAAGUAACUUCCAAGUCUUCUUCGAAGUGUGUCUCUAGAUUGUGUCGACUGCCAACCUGUUUCAAGAAUUGUUUUAUUGCAACCGUCAAGCUAAAUGCAAAAAUGGGCCGAGUCUGGGAUGUGGAGGGGUCAUAAUUCAACGAAGGAGGAACUCAGCUUUCCCUGAAAUGGCGCUGGCGAUUCAUCCUAAAGGAUGGCACAAAACCUGGUUUUACUACAAAGACACAUCCCCCGGCUGAACAACACCUAUUGUCGGGUUACAGAUUAGAGUGCCUUGACUCUGCAUAGUUAUUUAUUGCUUAUGCAUCUGCUGAAGAGAGGGCAGCACUGAAGACCCUUUACUCUAAGAUUAACGCUUUGAUAGCUCAUGGUAUUUCUAGGGUCGACUUGACCCGAUGUUGGAUGAGCUGCAGGGUCCGACCUCUCAGUUUGAGAAGCCGACUCAUGCACCAAUACACGGGCGAGUUGACUAAUAAUUUGCACUUCAGGAAUCAUGACUUGUCCGCUAGUGACUUGAUAAAGUCCAUUGAUUACCCACAAGUAUAGGGGAUCAAUCAUAGUACUUUUGAUAAGUAAGACUGUCGAACUCAACGAGGAGCGGGAGGAAAUGACAAGCGGUUUUCAGCAAGGUAUUUUAUGCAAGCACUGAAAUUGUCGGUAACAGAUAGUUUGAUAUCAAGAUAAUUUGUAACAAGCAAUAAGUUGUAACGGUAACAAAAGUACUGCAAGGUAGCCCAAUAUUUUUUGUUGCGAAGGACAGGACGAAACAAUCUCUUAUAAUAAGUAAAGCGUUCUUGAGGACACACGAGAAUUUCAUCUAGUCACAUUCAUCAUAUUUGUUUGAUUUGUGUUUGCUACUUUGAUAAUUUGAUAUGUGGGUGGACCGGUGCUUGGGUGAUGUUCUUACUUGAACAAGCCUCCUACUUAUGAUUACCCCCUGUCACAAGCAUCCGCAACUAAGAAAGAAUAAUUAAGAUAAAUCUAACCAUAACAUGGAAUAUAUGGAUCCAAAUCAGCCCCUUACGGAAUAACGCAUAAAGCAGGGUUUAAGCUUCUGUCACUCUAGCAACCCAUCAUCUAAUAACUACUCCACAAUGCAUUCCCUUAGGCCCAAAUAUGGUGAAGUGUCAUAUAGUCGACGUUCACAUAACACCACUACGGGAAACAACAACAUACAUAUCAUCAAAAUAUCAAACGAAUACCAAAUUCACAUUAUUACUUAUGACAAGACUUCUCCCAUGUCCUCAAGAACAAAAGCAACUACUCACACAUCAUAUUCAUGUCUAGAAUCACAAGGGUAUUGAAUAGCAUAAUGGAUCUAAACAUAUAAUCUUCCACCAAAUAAACCAACUAGCAUCAACUACAAGAUGUAAUCAAUGAUGGAAAUAUGCCCUAGAGGCAAUAAUAAAAUGGUUAUUAUUAUAUUUCCUAAAUCAUGAUAAAGGUUUAUUAUUCAUGCUAGAAUUGUAUUGAUCGGAAACUUAGAUACAUGUGUGAAUACAUAAACAAAUAUUGUGUCCCUAGUAAGCCUCUACUAGACUAGUUCUUUGAUUAAAGAUGGUUAAGGUUUCCUAACCAUAGACAUGUGUUGUCAUUUGAUAACGGGAUCACAUCAUUAGGAGAAUGAUGUGAUGGACAAGACCCAUCGGUUAGCUUAGCAUAUUGAUCGUUCAGUUUAUUGGUAUUGCUUUCUUCAUGUCAAAUACAUAUUCCUUCGACUAUGAGAUUAUGCAACUCCCGGAUACCGGAGGAAUACCUUGUGUGCUAUCAAAUGUCACAACGUAACUGGGUGAUCAUAAAGAUGCUCUAAAGGUAUCUCCGAAGGUGUUUGUUGAGUUGGCAUAGAUCGAGAUUAGGAUUUGUCACUCUGAGUAUCGAAGAGGUAUCUCUAGGCCCUCUCGGUAAUACACAUCAGAAGAAGCCUGGCAAGCAAAGUGACUAAUGAAUUAGUUGCAAGAUGAUGUAUUACGGAACGAUUAAAGAGACUUGCCAGUAAUGAGAUUGAACUAGGUAUGAAGAUACCGACGAUCGAAUAUCGGGCAAGUAACAUACCGAUAGACAAAGGGAAUUACGUAUGUUGUCAUAAUGGUUUGACCGAUAAAGAUCUUCGUAGAAUAUGUAGGAUCCAAUAUGGGCAUCCGGGUUCCACUAUUGGUUAUGGACCAGAGAGGUGUCUCGGUCAUGUCUACAUAGUUCUUGAACCCAUAGGGUCCGCACGCUUAACAUUCGUUGACGAUAUAGUGUUAUAUGAGUUAUGUGAUUUGGUGACCGAAUGUUGUUCGGGGUCCCAAAUGAGAUCACGGACAUGACGAGGAGUCGCAAAAUGGUUGAGAGGUAAAUAUUGAUAUAUAGGACAAUGGUAUUCGGACACCGAAAGUGUUUCGGAGGGUAUCAGGUACUUAUCGGGUCACCGGGAGGGAGUUUCGGGCACCCCCGGCAAAGAUAUGGGCCUUAUGGGCCAAGAGAGGUAAAACACCAGCCCACAAGGGGCUGGUGCGCCCCUAUAGUGGCUGACCCUAUGUGGAGGAGAAGGAAAGAGGGGAGGGAAAGGAAAGUGUGGAGUAGGACUCCCCCUUCCUUCCCUCUCCCCUCUUUCCUUCCUCCUUCUUUGUACAAGGAAAGGGAGGCACAUGGCAAGGCAGGGCCCCUAGGGGCGGCGGCCUGCUCUAGAGCGCGCCUGGAUGCCUCCCCUUCCCUCCCACCUAUAUAUAUGUGUGGGGAGGGGGCGCCACACAAGGACACACAACAUUGUCUUAGCCGUGUGCGGCGCCCCCGUCCACCGUUUACUCCCUCAGUCAUAUUUUCAUAGAGCUUAGGCAAAGCCCUAAGGAGAUCACACAACCAUCACCGUCACCAUGCCAUCGUGUUGUCGGAACUCAUACACUACCUCCCCGUCUUACUCGAUCAAGAAGGCGUGGACGUCACUGAGCUGAACGUGUGCUGAAUGCGGAGGUGUCGUAUGUUUGGUACUCGAUCGGUUGGAUUGCGAAGAAAGUUCGACUACAUCAACCAUGGUGUGAAAUGCUUCCGCUUAUAGUCUAUGAGGGUACGUAGACACAAUCUCGCCCUCUUUUUGCUAUGCAUCUCCUUGAUAGAUCUUGCGUGUGCGUAGAUUUUUGUUUUGUUUUCCAUGCAACGUUCCCCAACAGUGGCAUCAUGAGCCAGGUCUAUGUGUAGAUGAUAUGCACGAGUAGAACACAAAGAGUUGUGGGCGGUGAUAGUUAUACUGCUUACCACCAACAUCUUAUUUUGAUUCAGUGGUAUUGUGGGAUGAAGCGGCCCGGACCAACCUUACAUGUCCAUGUACAUGAGACCGGUUCCACCGACAGACAUGCAACUAGUUUUGCAUAAAGGUGGCUGGCGGGUGUCUGUUUCUCCUACUUUAGUUGAAUCGAAUUUGACUGCGGACGGUCCUUGAAGAAGGUUUAAACAACAAGCUUGAUAAAUCACUAUUGUGGUUUUUGCGUAGGUAAGAACAGUUCUAUCUAGAAGCCCGUAGCAGCCACGUAAAACUUGCAACAACAAAGUAGAGGACGUCUAACUUGUUUUUGAAGGGCAUGUUGUGAUGUGAUAUGGUCAAGACUUGAUGUGAUAUACGUUGUUGUAUGAGAUGAUCAUGUUUUGUAAUAUUGACAACUGACAGGAGCCUUAGGGUUGCCUCUUUAUUGUAUGAAGUGCAAACGCCAUGUAAGUGCUUUACUUUAUUGCUAUGCGCUAGCAAUAGUUGUAGAAGUAAUAGUUGACAAGAUGACCCUGACAUAGUGAUGGAGAUCAAGGUGUCGAGCCGGUGAUGAUGGAGAUCAUGACGAUGCUUUGGAGAUGGAGAUCAAAAGCACAAGAUGAUGAUGGCCAUAUCAUGUCACAUAUUUUGAUUGUAAGUGAUGUUUAUCUUUUAUGCAUCUUAUUUUUUCUUAGAACAACAGUAGCAUUAUAAGAUGAUCCAUUCACUAAAUUCAAAGAUAAAAGUGUUCUCCCUGAGUAUGCAUUGUUGCCAAAGUCCGUCGUUUCGAAGCACCACAUGAUGAUCGGGUGUGGUAGCACUACAAAAAAAAAGACACAUCCGUGACAUUUUGGGCCAAAUGAAUUUUUUUGUCAUGCUUAUAACACUUCUAUGACGAUAAUAGUGACAAAACCCAAUAUCAUCAUAGAUGUGGUGGGCUCCUACUUUUAAGACAAAAAAUCAUGACAGAAAAUGGGUUUUUCGUCCUGUGCGGGCCGGAGAUGCAGCUGUAUGACAUUCUUUGGGUCAUCCAUGAUGGAAAAAACCAUGGUAGAAGCGAGGGCGAGGAAAAUAUCGGGGAGUUCCCAGUUACGGUGGGUGGUCGGGGGCCGAGCGAUGCGCAUUUCUCUCGUACACAUACGCGCUUGGGUGCUAGGCGUUGGGCUCUAACUGAACCCGAGCGAGGUGUUCGCCUACUGAACCCGAGCGAUUGCACUGCAUGCUACAUGUUACUGAACCCGAGCGAUCGAUCGAUCUGACUGUUAACUGAACUCGAUCGAGCGAUUCCUUCGCUACUGAUGCUAACUGAAGCCGAUCGAACCUGCUGCCUCCUUCCCUUGAUGAACAGUGAGUGUUGUUGGGGGGUGGAUGAACAGUUCCCGGUGGGGGGUUGGAUGAACAGGACCCCGUGGUAGUAGAGGUCGUUGCCGCUGGAUGAACAGGACCCUGAUCGAGCCGGUUGGGGGUAGAUGAACAAGACCCCAUGGAGGGCUGGAUGAACAGGACCCCGUGGAGGGCUGGUUGAACAGUAGCCGGUGGAGGGCUGGAUGAAUAGUAGCCCGUGGAGGGGUGGUUGAACAGGACCCCGUGGAGAGGGCUGGUUGAACAGUAGCCGGUGGAGGAGCAGUGGAGGCUGGAUGAACAGGAGCUCGUGGAUGAACAGUGGCUGGUGGAGGCAGGAAGGGAGACGCCGUUGAUGAAUAGUCGCAGGUGGAGGCUGGAGGAGGUCGACGGUGGAUGAACAGUAGCCCGUGGAGGCAGUCGACAGUGGAGAUGAACAGUAGCCCAUGGAGUCCCGUUUUGCGGUACGCCACACCCCUCCCGAUGAACAGGACCCCUCAUUUCGACCGUAGCGCUCCAACACAAGUCCGUUUCCUCCAUUUUGCGGUAUGCCACACCCCUCCCGAUCAACAGGACCCCGCUUCGACCGUAGGCACUCGAACACAAGUCCGUUUCCUCCGUUUUGCAGUAUGAUAGACCCCUCUCGAUGAACAGGAUCCUGUUUCGACCAUGGCCAGUCGAACAAAAGGCCGUUUCCUCCGUUCUACGGUACGCCAGGCCUCGUUUCGAUUGUCUGUUCCGUCCAAGCCGGUUGGCUCCCAAUGAACAUGAUGCAGUUUCUCCGUUCCGACCUAGCCGAUUGGCUACCCCAUGAACAGGAUGUCGUCGCUGCCUCUCCAUGUACACGAGCUCUGGCCGUACGUAUGCGCGAGUAGGCGUUCGAGACCCCGCCCAUAUGUACCGUACGUGGUCGUAUUUACUUUCUUGCACCCUGGUUGUACGUACAUGUACAUGCUAUGUGUGCACCUCUACUACGACAUGUGCCCUUUCUUACUCGGCCACAGUUCAUCAUUGUAGCCUGCAGACAGACCGAUCGACCAGUAUGUACGUACACGUUCGCAACCAGAAUGACAACAAUAUGUACGCUUCGACCAGGUGGGUCCCAACUGUCAGACACUUCCUUGCGUGCGAAGAUGUAGCAUGUGGGUCCCAGCAGUUAGGGGGGAACAUUUUUUUCAUGAAAUACGGUGGCCCGUCAGGUGGUCCCUACUGCCAGGUGGAAGAAUCAUUAUUUUGCACGUAAUAAGAAGGCACUUCCUUGCUGUGGCUGUGAACCCACCUAUCAGCCUCUCCACGUAUAGUACUCUUCCGAUGGAAGUCGUUCCUUGACCACAUUGACCAUGCCGCGCCAAGAGCACCAAGGCGGUGGACGAUGGUGAGGCCUAGGAAGGUGACGAUGCGGAGCCAGGGAAGACGCGGCAGUGGAUGCCCACGCGGAGAGGAGUACGAGGGUUCACUAGUUCGGCUGUGGUGUGAGGUUGCUGUCGCCGCAGAACAACAGGGGGUGUUGGUGAGUAGAGGGAUGGCCUGGCCAGCGGUGGGAGUAGUAAGGGGUGGUGAGGCCUCCGCGGCAGCACAGCCGGCCACCUGAGGCAGGAGCACGCGGCACGACCGGCGUUGGUUUGGGCGGCUGGAGCAAGAAGACCAGAGGUUGAAGAAGCACUACGGCCGUUGGAUGGACAUCGUAUGGUCACUGGAGCUAGAAUCAUUCAUAUUGACUAAGUUGACAAAGCCCUCCAUCCGCGUCAACUUAGUAGGCCCACAAGUCAGCCUCCCGCUAUGGUGGGUCCCAGCUAGCAGGGGGUAUUAAUUUUUUGUGUGCAUAAUAAGGGGGCACUUCCUUGCGUGCAAAGAUAUAGUUGGUGGGUCCGAGCUGUCAGCGGGAGGAAUGUUUUUUUCAUGAAAUAUAGAGGCCCUUCCAGUGGGUCCCGGCUGUCAGGUGGAGGAAUCAUUAUUUUGCACGUAAUAAGGAGGCAUUUCCUUGUGUGCGGCCAUAGACCCAGCCGUCAGCAUCUCCACGUACAGUCCACUUCCGAUGGAUGUUGUUCGUUGACCACGUUGACCAUGCCGCGCCGAGAACACCAGGGCGAUGGACGGCGGCGAGGCCUAGCAAGGGAACGACACGGAGCCGGGGAAGACUCGGCAGUGGUUGCCCACGCGGUGGGGAGUACAAGGGUUGACUAGUUCGGCUGCCGUCACCGGGAAAUAACAAGAGGUGUGGGUGAGUAGAGGGAUAGCCACGCCAGGGAUGCGAGUAUGGUGCGGCCGUGAGGCCUGCCUGGCAACACAGCUGGCCAUGGGAGGUGGGAGCAGGCGGUUCCAUCGGUGCUGGUUUGGGCGGCUGGAGCAGGAAGAUCAGAGACUAAAAAAGCAUGAUUGUCGUUAGGUUGACAUCUAACGGUCUGACGCUGGUAGAGUCGAUUGUUGACUAAGUUUCUUUUUUGAGAAACCUUGUAUAUGCAUGAACUUAGUAUGCCCACAAGUCAACCUCCAAAUCCAUGGCAGAUAACACAGAGCCCAUUUGCUAUUUUUUUAAUAAUUUGGAGCCCAUUUGCUAAUUCUUAAGGAAUUUAUUACAGCCCAUUUUCUGCCCAGGACCACGGUUAAAAAGUUCAACCUUAUUUUGCAUAUUUCAGUGGAGUCCGAACUGUUGUAAUCCCGAAAUGAUAAACAUUUAUUUUUUAAGAACUUAUUGAUUUGCCAAAAAAAUCAUUUUGUUUUUGUAAGAAAAUAAGAUGUGGGACAAUUGAGUUGGUUUAAGGGAAAACCAGUGGUAAAAAAAUCAGCGCUGGGAGGGAAAACAACAAAAAAAAUAAGGAUGUAAAUUUGAAAAUGGAACUUUAUGUAUUUUCAAUAUAAUGAUAUGUGUAUAAGAACUAGUAAAACUAUAGGUAGAGAUUAGAAAAUGGAAGUAGGACAUGGCAUUUCAAGAGGAAAAUAGAACUGGGCUGUGUGUUUGAUUCAGUAAAAAAACUGUCUGCAGAUGUUCUAAGACAAAAUAUAGCUAACGCUGGCGGGCCAGAGGCCAGUAGAUACCUGGUGGAUCUUUGUGCCCCGUUAUCGUCAUGGGCUGAGCCUGUUAAAAACAAAACAAAGCUUGGGAAGUCUACAGCCCAGUUGAAACUUGCUCGAGCUAAAAAAAUAAUAUACCUGCUAGAUCCCAGUUAUCAGUUUGUACUUGCAGAUACUCUCAUUUACUGAGUACAUUGAAGACUUCAUGGGUUUCACCGUCUCAGACGUCAGCAUUAUUUUUCCAUCAUGAUAAUAAGUGCAUGCACUUGCUUGUGUACGGCUAUGGACAUGUUGGUUUUGUAUGGUUAGGCUCUGUAUGGACAGCCGUCUUGUGGUUCCACGAACGAAUUUCAUGCAAAUCGGAUGGUUUUCAGUGAAAGCGGACUAAAUUCAUUGCAUUUUACAUAUUUCUUUUUAUUAUGUAAUAUUCUACAUAUUUCAACUAAUAAUAAUGGACUAGGAUUUUUUUAGUCCAUGGGAGGCGCUUCACGAUCGAGGUCGCGACACUUAACUGUUCUGGAAGGCCCAAAUCCAUUGCUCCUCUCUUUUAACAAUUUGCAGCUGGGCUUGGCAUGCCACGACCAGUUCCGACAUGCUGCGUCCAACUAUCAUCCUGUGAAACCGGAUGGAUCCCCGGCGUACUUUGAAGAUGUAAAAAAUUUGGAGAACUGGAAAUUCGAAUGGCAGGUGCUUAUGCUACCCAUCAAAUAAAAAUCAGGUGCUUGAAAAUUCGUUCUGAAACAAAUGAUUCGGCUUUAUAUCCACAUUGAUCCUCGGCAUGAUGGUUGGAAGCAAAUUCCAAGUGCAUACCGAAAGAUCGAUAACAACAAUACCAACUUGCAGACGACCAAGUAGUACAAGUACCAAUACCAAACUAACUUAUAAUCUUUUUAGUCCCGGCCCUAGUGUUCAUCUGGUAGAAAAUCUUGCAGAGGACCAGCUCCCGCUCCUUCUCUUGCUCCAGGCCCCCGAGGUGGUACUGGUGCAUCACCUAGUUGGUCCUCUGCUGGUCGAAGUUCUUGUUUGUGUGCAACAACAGAACCUUUUUGUUGCUCGUCUACCGGCCGUUGACUAUCACCAGCAAGGUAUUGCCGGUCUUGUGCCACAUCGCAUGCAUUCCGCACUUCGACUGUAUCUUGCGACGCAUCCACGUGCCCCUUUUGAACGCCCUGGAGUUGCGCUGGAAGAAAUGCUUGCUUAGGCCACUCAGUGUGAUACCUGCAGUAUUGUCGAAUACAAGUUUUAGUGUAUGUAGUUGGCAUUUUCGUAACAUCUUCGGCAUGUUGCAGUCACUUGUUUUACUUUUUAUUAACUAUCAAAUUGUAAUUGCUUCACUAGGUCUGCGUCUAAAAAGAAAAAGAGAGCUAUAAACAAAGGAAUAUGUUUGUGCAAGUAGACGGUCGAUUGGUGUCUCACCUGCAAGUUUCUCAAGAUGGGUGUAGCAUAUGCCGUGCUCACAAUCGCUGGUUGGUAUGACAAAUCGAUGAGAGGGUGAUAUGUCGCACUGUCAGCACUCACUUUGGCCUCAAGGUGCUCGACCAGCUCCUUAUCUGUGGGAUCAAACUUGACACUAGCCGGCAACACCGACCAAUCCUUCUUGGACUUGCAUCGGUUAAUUCCAGUUAUAUGGUACUCAAUGUAUGAUCAAUUGAUUGUUUUAAGUCAAUGAUGAAAGAUUUCAAUAGAUAAGUGGUACUCCAAAUCUGAAGUCCAUAAUACCCGAACACGCCGCCGGGACUCUUGUGUCACCUCACACGCAGCGUGUUGUCACAUCAAUUCAAUGUGAGGACAUGAUGAAUAAUUUGACCGACAUAUACUAGUACUACUACUGUAUUGUACUUACUAGUCAUAUUUAGUGUCACAUUUUAACCAUAGGUUUAACUAACAAAAUGUCAAUGCAUGUCACCAAAAAUUAUACCAUUGGAAACUAUGUUCAAAUAUGAAUCAAACGAUAUAAUUUUUUGUGACAUGCAUUAAAAUUUAGUUAGUGAAAUUUAUGGUCCAUAUUUGACAUAAAUUACGAAGGGGACCAAUAAACAAGGAGGGAGGUAGUAGUAUGAGUAGCGCAAUAUAUGGUAUACAGGACUAGUACAAAUUUAGAAAUGGAGUAAGAAGUUACAAGGCUGUGCGACAAACUUUGUAGGCUACAUGAGUAAUACAAAAUAUAAUUCCCAUUGGACAACACUUUCACCAACAAGUACGCACUUGAAGCCUAAUCUUUACCUAAUAAUAAAGCAAAUUGGGUUUCUGGUCAUCCGUCAUACAUUUUGCAAAAAAGCCCUCUAUUUUCCGUAAAUAAACCCGCGGUACACGUUUAAUUCACUGCCUGAUGUUGGGCGGCUGGAGCAAGAAGACCAGAGGUUGAAGAAGCACUAUGGCCGUUGGAUGGACAUCAUACGGUCACUGGAGUAUUGACUAAGUUGACAAAGCCCUCCGUCCCCGUCAACUUAGUAGGCCCACAAGUCAGCCCAACAAUAUGGUGGGUCCCAGCUAGUAGGGGGGUAUUCAUUUUUUGGGCGUAAUAAGGAGGCACUUCCUUGCGUGCGAAGAUAUAGCUGGUGGGUCCAACCUGUCAGCGGGGGAGCAUUUUUUUUGCGAAAUACAGAGGCCCUUCCUGUGGGUCCUAGCUGUAAGGUGGAGGAAUCAUUAUUUUGCGCGUAAUAAGGAGGCAUUUUCUUGCGUGCGGCCGUGGACCCAGCUGUCAGCCUCUCCACGCACAGUCCACUUCCGAUGGAUGUCAUUCAUUGACCACGUUGAUCAGGCCGUGCCGAGAGCACCAGGGCGGUGGACGAUGGUGAGGCCUAGGAAGGGAACAACAUGGAGCCAGGGAAUACUCGGCAGUUGUUUCCCACAUGGAGGAGUACGAGGGUUUACUGGUUCGUCUGCCUACCCCGGAGAAUAACAACAAGUGUGGGUGAGUAGAGGGAUGGCUAGGCUAGCGAUGAGAUUAUGGUGGGGCCGUGAGGCCUGCACAGCAGCAUAGCCCGCCGGGAGGGUGGAGCAGGCAGUCCCACCGACGCUUGUUUAAGCGGCUGGAGCAUGAAGAGCAAAGAUUGAAGAAGCACGACAGCUGUUGGAUGGACAUCUAACAGUCACUGCUCUCGUGUGUUGACUAAGUUGACAGGGCGUUGCAUGUACGUCAACCUUUUUUUUAUGAAAGCAUACGCGUCAACCAGUAGUAGGCGCACAAGUCAACCUAAAAUCUGUGGAAAACAGCAGACAACCCAUCUGCCAUUAUUUCUAAUAAUGUACAGCCCAUUUGCUAAUUCUUAAGAAUUUUUUUGGAUCCCAUCUUAUUUUUGUUAGCAUUACACCCCAUAUUGUGGCCACGGUUAAAAAGUAUACAAAAUUUUGCAUAUUUCGGUGCGAUCAACUGUUUUUAAUCCAGAAAUAUCGAUUCACAUUCAAACUAUUUUGAAAAAUAAUCUAUAUAAACAUAAAAUCCAAAUAAUUGUCCACGCAUAAAAAUCAAUGGAAUUUAAAAUCUUGUAAUGAAAAAAAAUUGAAACUAAUUCCCGGUUUGAUGUGUUUUAAAAAUGUACAACCCAUUUCUGGGCAAAUCGAAUGAAACUCUCCGCGUCUUGAAAGAUUUGCAGCCCAGGAGGGCCGAUAAAGCAAGUAGGCAUUGUUUGGGUAUUUCUUUUAAAAAAUAGAACUGGGCUAGCCAUUUUCAGCAAGAAAAAAACACAACUGGGCUCAUGAUGUGGUAAACAUAAAUAAAACCCUGGCUAGACGGGCCAUGGCCCCCGCACAGCCCCGUUGUUACCCUGAUCCGUCGCUAAAACUAGUAUAAAUAACAACUGCUUGUUCCUAAAAAAACUGCGCGACCUGCUGGUUCCCUGGUGUCAGCCUCUCGUAGUGUAAUUCUCUCGUUUAUUGACUAUGUUGACAAUGGCGUGAGCCCCAGAUGUCCAACCAUUAGGAGGAACCAUAUUUUUGGGCUUGUAAUAUAGAGGCACUUGCUUGCGUACUGCCAUGAGGCUGGUGGGUCCCUACUGUCAUCCUCUCCACGUACAGUCAUCUCCUUAUUCCUCUCGGUUGUUGACGAUGUUGACAACACAAGAGGGCGGCGCACCACGCACGGCGAGCGAACCAAGGCUGCAAGGCGGAGGACGACGGUAAGGUCUCGGAUGGAACGAACAGGAGCCGUGGAAGAUGCGUCGGUCCAGUUGCAGGCGGAGGGGAGUAUGAGGGUUGACUGGUUCGGGUGCGGGUGCAUGUUGGGGCUAACGUCACUGGAGAAUAAAAGGACGUAUGGGGGAAUAGAGGGAGGGACUGGUCAACAUUGGAGGGUACGUACGGUAGGGCGGCGGAGGCGCAGCCAGCCAUGGGAUGCGGGAGCAGGCGGAGCCGACGGGGUGGUUCGGUUUGGGCGGUUGGAGGAAGAAGACAAGAGAUAGAAGAUACACGACAGAUGUUGGAUGUCAAUCCAAUGGCUGGUAGGCAGAAUCAUUUGUUGACUGGCUAGUAAGUCAACACCACCUUGGAUAGGCUAUUUCCUCGCGGGUCCCAAAUGUCAGAAUCCAAAUCUUUCACGGUCAUGCAGCCUUUCCUAUGAAAAUUUACAGCCCAUUUGAUGUGCUAGUUCGAAAUAAGUUUGUGGGUGCUGGUGGGGGCUAAUCACUUGGCUUCUGUAAUGCAGUGAGCUCAAGCAGCCGGCGAGAGUGAUGUUAUUUCCCUUGGUUGGGAUUUGUUACAAUAUUUCACUCUAAAUUAAACGAAUGGCAAGCCAUGCCUUGUUUCAAAGAAAAUAUGACAGUCACAGCCGAGUUGAAAAGGGCAGGAACAUCUAACUCUAGCUUACAAACUGUACAAAAGCACGAGGGUUAAUUGUUCAUCGGGUUUACAAAAAAACCCAGGUUGAAAAGGGCAACAACAUCUAACUCCAGCAUUGUUUUCGGCAGUCACAGUCAAAUGGAUCGGUCAGGUCCAUAGAAUGAACAUCCUGGGUCGUAAAAUUUACUGGAUUAUGACCACAAUAUGUUGUAAAUAGAAGCCCGACACGUUCAGAUGCUCUUUUGCCCACCUGAAACUCCUUUUUUUGCUCUUCGACAUACCCAUCGGUCAAAACCAUGCUGCUGAUAAACUUAAGCCUGAUGGACAAUAGUAACCUCGCAUUCAGCAGGAAGAAUGUGACAAAUCUAGUGUUUGCACGGUUGGCUACAUAUCGUUCUAGCGUUAUUGUCUUCAAUCGAAUCUCAUGAGAAGUGAGAAAAUCCCGAUGCUUACGAAUCCAUCGAUUGGUUAUAACUUUCUUACCCCGUCCUGUUGCCUAAAUAGACAUGAAGAUUGAAAAUAGUUAAGGUCUAAAAAAGAGUGUCGAAAGAGCAACAGCUGAAUGGUUAAUUCUAGUACACUAUAUGCGGGCUUCCGAUGUGCGUGAAAUUAUCACCUUUAUAUACAACUUCUCCAGACAUGGAAAGCAUUGCAGCAAGCCAAUAAUCUUGUUCAGAUCAAAAUUAAUCAUUUGGAUAUAUAAGAUCUUGACAGAAUCCAGCACCAUUGAUAGGCCAUCCAUGGAGAAACUCUUCAUUGAGCAUAGAACAUAAUAUUAGUACAAAAUGUGUACUCCAAGUCGAUAUAUAACUUAUGGGUAGAAAUUCAAAAUGCAGCUUAUGGUUACAAGUGUAGAUGAUAAUAUAAAGUACCUGAAGAACUAUGGAGCCAAACACCAUAUUGAAAUGAGCACAGAGAUCAUGUAUUACACCCAAGGUCUCCAGUUUAGGCACAGAGAGGACGGUUAUUUGCAACGGUGAAUAACUAGAAUCAAGGAUCAACCUUUGAAGUGAAGGGGCAUCUUGGAUGAUGAGCUGCCUUUCGUCAAAAGAAAUUCCAAUUCUUACAAGGUUAGGCGACUUUAUUUGGAGACAACCGAUUCUAACUGUGAAAACAAGCACCAAGCACUCCAGGGUAGGGCAACUGGAGUGGAUGAUGCUGUGCAAUGAGGCCUCCGAUAUACGAACCCGCACAGGUGAAAGUUUCUUGAGAAAUGGGAGUCGAAGGUUUAGUACCAGAUUGUCUGGUAGGUAGCACAGCGCAAAGGUGGCGGUGUGGAGAGAGGAGGAAAACUGCGAGAUGGACAUCGGUGCCGAGGGCACAAGUUCAUGGCAUUCGGUAUGUGGUAUGUGAUUUCCAGGGGAAUAGUAGAACUCAAGCAGCUGUAGUUCUGUGAAUUCAAGGGAUUUCAGCCAGGCGUCCACCAUGCAGGGCAUGGUAUGCUUGCUCAGGUAGCAUGAUGGGAUGCAGAGGCUUUGAACGGAGCCCUGGUGGGAGGAGAUGAUGGCUCUGGGGAUUUCAAAAUCAUUGAAGAGAGAUAGCUGACGACAAUCGAGAUUAAGGGGCACGGCGCGCCAUAGAGGGCGCCACCGAAUUGAGAGGACUUGGGUGCGGUAGCAAUCCUUGGUGGGGAGAAGCGAGAUGAUCUCCCCAAGGACGGCGUCCGGGAGAUCACUAAUGCGGUCUACCCGAGAUUUUAUGGGUUCCUGGGAUCCGGUGGGGGCGGGGUCGCCGCUUCUCCCCGCGCUGCCGGGUGUGGGAUCUACAACUGGCGCCACCGCUGGCGGGAGCCUCAUCUUCUUGGCGCUGGGGUCAGCCGAAUCCAUUUUCCUCGAGGGCGUCGCAUCGCGCUCACGGAUUUGAGCAGAGUAACGAAUGACGAGCCUAGUUGUAGUGCGAGUGAAGAAGAAGGGGAGCUGAGGUUUUUUCUGUAGUAGUGAGGAAGAAGGGGAGCUGGGGUUUUCUGUAGGAGUGAGGUGAGGAAUUUGGGGGUACGAGUGGAGCGAGCUGACGUGAGGUGGGUGGGAGCAAGGAGGAAGAAGAGCACCCAGGUUUUUUUGGGGGGCGGUGUGCUCGGUGUGGGUAGCACCUCUCAUUCAGUAAAUAUAGGGCUUUUGAAUUGAUUUUACUAUUUACUAGUGUGGAUGGGCUGUUUUGUCUUGGGCCUAGAGAAACAAUUACUACUAGUACAGUGGAGACACUCUACCGCUUCUGGCUCCUCCUAGGUCAUUGAAACGUCUCCCUCUACUCAAUGUUGUUAUACUUUUGUUCAUCGACAUGCGGGCCAUGCAGCGUUUGGGCCCAAAUGCCAUCCACCAAAUUAGAAGGCAGUAUGCAGGCAGAGANNNNNNNNNNNNNNNNNNNNNNNNNNNNNNNNNNNNNNNNNNNNNNNNNNNNNNNNNNNNNNNNNNNNNNNNNNNNNNNNNNNNNNNNNNNNNNNNNNNNNNNNNNNNNNNNNNNNNNNNNNNNNNNNNNNNNNNNNNNNNNNNNNNNNNNNNNNNNNNNNNNNNNNNNNNNNNNNNNNNNNNNNNNNNNNNNNNNNNNNNNNNNNNNNNNNNNNNNNNNNNNNNNNNNNNNNNNNNNNNNNNNNNNNNNNNNNNNNNNNNNNNNNNNNNNNNNNNNNNNNNNNNNNNNNNNNAGUUUGACGGACGAAGCAACCAUCAUUUCACUCUUCGCUGAAUCCCCUUCUGCCUCACCAUCUUCAAGAAAGGCAACACUCGCAUCUGCCACUAUUCUUCUCUCCCAACGAAGGGAAGGUAAGCGGAUCCGUGAUGUUGGUAUAUUUUCGUUCAGAAAAAAAAAGAACUUUUGCAAAGCAGUAACCGAUCCUCACUCUCUUUUUUGUUUCAUUGUCAUUGCGAUUGUGUUUUCCUUUCAGUGGUAUCCUAGUAUUCGUCAGUUUCAUGAUGGACCAAGGAGAACCAGGCAAAGAUCUGCCGAUAUUGGAGCAGACGCAGGAGGCUGAUCCCCACGAGACAGAGAGCUCCAAGAAGAUGGAGGCAGCCACCGAGCUAACUCCAGAUAUGCUCACGGCCACUACUGAGAUGGUCAACGCCCCGUUUGAGGUUACAGCCCCCGUGGCACUGCAGGAGCAGUUUUCCCCCUUCGAGGAUGUGCCCCCCCCGCCCCGCUGAGCUGCCCAAGGUGAUUUUCUUCCUUGCCGAUCUCGAUUGUGGUUUUUCAUCUAAGUAUGUGGUGAUUAAUAAUGCAAAAUUUUAUUAGCUUCGAUGCCAUGCUAUACAUAGUGGUUUAAUUAACUUGUGUUUCUUAUACUGAAAAGUAAUUCAGAAUUUGUUUCUAUUUCAAUUAGAACCCUGAUGCAGACAAGGAUUGUGUGGUUGUACAUGUCACUCGCUAUGAGGCGGAUGACCUGAAUAUACGCACUUGUAAACAGAGUUCUUAGGCUGUUGGAUCCUGGAAGCCAUUUGCGGUUAUACCAAUGAAGAGUUGUAUUCUAGCCUCACUAUUGUCAGGCGUGUUGUCUAGGGUGUACUGAAGCACAAGAAGUUCAAAGCUACUCCUUCGUUUGUGAGGCAUACUGUUCUUGUCAAGCUUACGCAGGAAGAUGACGUGGCAUGCCUCCACAAACAAGUUUAUCAGUGGCAAGGCCACAAGGUUGUCUUCAUUAAGGUUCACAGGAUUGAGCUGCUGCGGGAUGCGCUCGAUGAUGUUCAUGGCAAGGUCCAUCUUGUGUCCAACCCAAAUUAGAUCGAGGCAUGAAAUAGUUGCCCCAGCUAGUGUUUAAUAGUAGUUUGGAUUGUGUCUAAUUAUCCGAACCUUGCCUGUUAUCGACCCCUCUGGGGCUAGUACUCUGUUUGAAUCCGUCUAUGGGAACUGUUGUUACUUUUGUGUGCCCGUGAAUCAUGUGAGAACCAUCGUAAUUGUUGCCAAAACAGAUGCGUCCUCACUAGUUUUUUCAUGAAUAUGGCAUGGUAAGACAUAAGUUGUCAUGGUUUAUCAUACGAGCAGUGUGUGUUUUGAUGAAAUAGAGCACUCGUUCGAGAACCGUGCGCCGACGUAUACAUAAGUACUUGUAAACAUUGUUGGUGCUACCCCACUUGUAAGCAGUUGUGCAAAACACGGCACAUUGGCUCAACUCGCUUCAACACUAGGCUAUCGACCAGCUAACAAUCAACAAUCCGUUGUCUGACAUAUAAGAAACUAUGUAUCUUGUUACAGUGGUUCAUGCAGUUAACUGAGGCCACAAUGUAAAUUCCAAAUGUUCACACGCUAGUCCAGCGCUCAUGUGGAACACUCACAUUAAACUCGUCUUCAUAAAAAACUUGAAAAGCAUAAGUUAAGCAAUUUUAUACAUCUCAAUGAUUCAUAGAACAUAACAAACAUAUACUAGUUCACAGCAAAAGACAAAGUUGUGAGAAGGUUUACAAAUCAGGAAAAACCAAGCAAUGCUUCUCUGAGCAAAGGGCCUCCCGGCAGGCUUAAAUUUCCUGGAGUUCACUCUGGUUUUUUCUUGUUGCCACCAUCCAAGGUUAGGUUCUCUCAUUCCAGAAUAACCAAUUAUAAUUGUGGUCUCAGCUGGAAUGUUGAACUGAACCAUGCAGUGUACUAGCCAGGUGAAAUUCUUGUGCAUUCCACUAAAUUUAAGCACCGCUAUUUGUAGAAAUAAGCAGACCACAAUGCCUCUUGUCCGCGCACCUGUCCAAAAAACCGUCGUGCAGCCGUGCCAGCUAGUCCUCGGUCCAUGGAUGAACAGGUAGAAAGUGCAUUCCGGGCUAGGAUGCUGUUGUUUUUGCUCGUCCCUGCACUGCAAUCAGGAAGUAAAAUGUACAAAUCUGCUUCUUUUAGAUUGCGUUGGUCAUUCUACCUUAGUUACUACCAAUGUAGGAAUACCUUGAAGACUGGAGGUUAGACGACGGCGACGAGGGAUAGCCAUCUCAUUUUGCGCAGUUGUACUAAAACUGAGGUGUGUGCUUUUGAUUGCGCGGAUAGAAACGAUACGGAGACAGACAUCCCGAAACGAUAUGGAGACAUACAUCCCUAUUUGCGCAAAUAUGAAAUACAAUUAUUUAAACAGUGACAGAUAUUUGCAGUGGCGUAUGAUUAACAACAUCAUCUAUUGUGUUAUAAUUGGCACUAGAUUGACAGUAUGAAGAGUCCAUAAGUAAGUAGCAUCACAUCACAUCAACAAUGCCACUAGAUUAACAUGCAGAACAAUAGCAUUAGUAUUACUGUCAUGAGAGUAGCACAUGGUCAAUAAAUGUGCAAUCAAAUUUGUGCAGUUCCACUGGGAUGAAGCAAUGUUAGCAGUGUGAGAGUUAAGUGUAACUGCAAAAACACAAUUCAUGGGAAAUAAAGCAAGACGGAAGCACUUCAUAAAAUGGUGGUGGCAUUGCUUCAAUUUAUCGACGACACUAGACCAUUACUUAUAGUGACAUUAGGUGGCAUUGCUUAAUGCUUCAUGUGAUUUUACAUUAACGGUAGCGAUAUGAGCGUAGGGACAGCAGGGGCAUAAAGUGGUGAGGCAGAUGUGGCUUCCGAGAGCGGCAAACACUCAGGUAGCAUGUCUGCAUUUGUCCCAUUUUUUAUCUCAUCGGCGACAUUUUCCUAUGUGAGCACAGGAAAUCUAGACCUGCUCAUUCUCAUUUGCGUUGUCCCCCAACACCCGUCACUUUCUUUCCUUUUUCAACUCUUAGAGUCGACUGUAUGAACUAGCUUUACCUCUAAUAAUAUACCUGAGAGUCGUCGGCAUGUGGCAAAGAUGGCGUCGGGAGGCCGCAUCUUGGCCACAAUACCGCAAGGAGGAAGAAGGGGUCGGAGGCACUCCCGAGCCGGUGCUAUCUCGGAGAGAACGACACGGCCGCCGAUCGGGACGCGCGGGCAGCCGUUGGUCUCCUCCCUCGCUACCGACUAUAGCGUGAACGAUGCACCUACACCCCUGCCCCGGUCGAGGUUGUCCGGCCGGAUUUGUGACCAGCCGUGAGCUGAGAGAGAGUGUGGCCACCUAUGUCUUGCUUAGAUCUGGAGAGCAUGAGAGAGUGAACGAGAGGAACCCUAGUAAAGCAAGCGCUAAGGCUCCUGCUUAUAUAUAUAGUGGAGUGAUUUUGUUGUACCAACUUCAAAAAAGCGCUCCUACGUGUACCAGUGAGUGGGUGUGAGAGAACUAGUGCGUGCGUGCACCGCUUCUCUUCGUGAGAGUACAAUAUACUAUGCCCAAAGAACGCUCACCGCAAGAGUAAUAGUAUAAGUGUGUGACGUGUGAGCUAAAAUAAAAUGUGCGCGAUGUCUUUUGUUUUUUAGAAGUUCUGAGGGUAGGGUGUGAAGAGCACAUAUGUGCGUGACGUCUACCUACAGAUAGACGAUGGGUGCGACGUGCGAGUCCAUGAGAGGACUCGGGAGAGUCGUGACUCGUGAGGGUGCAUGUGCGUGAGAGGGAGGGGGCACGUAUCAAUGCAAUGCAUGUGUUCGUAAAUCAUUAUCCGACAAACAUUCGCCACAAGCCUUUUCCUGACGAACGCCGUAAGAACCAUUAGAUUGGCAUCCGACAGUGUCAGUUUUGCCAUGUCAUUUAACAGAAUAGACACUCCUCCUACACACAAAUCUUCCACGUGAGUGUUAGCAACUGCCGUAUGCUCCCUCCAUUCUGAAAUGCAGUGCAUAUAGCUUUAUUGAAAAUCCGAGCCUCGCAAACUUUUACCGAGUUUUCGUGUACCAAAUUGCACAUGUAGAAUACCCUGUAUAUAUCAUUUCAUUCUUCUUUGAGAGGUAACUAUAAAGAUGGGGGAGGAGUCUACAAAAUAAGACCAUCGUAUCACUCGCAUCAAUUUCAACCAUCCUUUGGUGUCGAGGAAUAUCAUAGGAACUCUAUAUGAUAUGAUUUUUUCCUUUAGAGCCAAUUGGUUCAUAGGAAUAGAUUCAUAUACUCCACAUUUCAAAGGAAAUAAACAUGAUCUCAUUUGUAUAGCUUUAGAGCCACUUGGUUCAUAUGAAUGGAUUCCUAUACUCCCUUAAUUUCAAAGGAAAAUAAACAUUAGCGUAUAUUCUAUAGAAAAGUUCCUAUGAUCUGAACCAAAUUACAUAUCUUUUCUAAUCUCUCCUCAUAGGAAUUGAGAUACAUGUCAUCUCUAGAUUCGAUAGAAAAUUUCCUAUGAUGUGAACCAAAUGACAUCUCUUUUCCAAUCCCCACUCAUAGGAAUUGAGAUGCUCCAUGUCAUAUCUUUCCCUACAACUUCCAUGUAUAUAUCUUCUAUUCCUAAAUAGAUAGUACAACCCACUAGUAGCUUUUUUCCAAAACAUGCAACUAUGGCACAAGAACUAUAUAGUGUGCCAAUAACUUUGAAAGAUGGUCGUUGGAUGAAGCUAAUCCGACAGUGCAGAGAUGGCGAAUCUGAGCACUACUGGCCGUUGGAUAUCAUCAACAUUCCACCAGAUCUGCCACAUGUACAAUUUAGAAGACUCCAUGGUUGAACUUAAGCAUAAUGCACAAACCUCAAAACACAAGCACUUCUCCUUUGUUCUAGAAUUUUCUGUAUCAUAAUUGUUUUUUUAUAAACGAAUUGCCAUUAUUUGUUUUUUUUACUUUAUGCUUUACAAUGCACAACCCCAUGAAUCUUAACAUUUUUAUAAAACUGAUUGAUUUUGAAUGAGAUGAACUAUAAGAACUAAACGAACAUCUACAUCAUGCAUAUAUGACUCAAAGCCUUACAUGCUAUAGUGUGCAUUUAUUCAUAAUUUGGUUUCAAAAUCUCAUGCGUUCAAUGCAUCAUUGCCUUUUGGUAGAACCUGCGUCCACAAUUUUUUGUACGUACUAUAUCUCCACUGGUCCCCGAACCCAAAAUGCUGCCUCGUUCCCGUAAAACCAAGCGGGGCACACAUGCGUCGACUCGAACCCGUUUACUACAACGUGGCUCCGCACGCCGUAGUACUCCUACAAACCCUACCGCCGCACUCAUCAUUGGUUUUCUUCAAGAGGAUGAGGGAGAAGCCGAUUUGUCGUGGAGGCGCUUUAAAAAAAGGAUAUGUAGUGGAGACCCCUACCCUAGGGUGCCCUAGGUAGGUCACGCAUCAUUGUUUUCUCUUUUCUUUAUGCUCUUGUGCCCUAGAGUGAAAUGAUGGUUGCUUCGUCCGUCCAGCUUAAUGCGGGAAAGGUGGGGCUUUGUGAUUUGACCCCUCGUCGCUCAUUUUCUACUAGUGCGGCGCUACGACCGGGGUGCCUCCAGUUCCAACCGCUGCUCCGAACUGUAUUUUGGUGCAUCGCACGUGGAACAAGACGGUGGAUGAGCCACAUGUCGGCCAAAGGGGUCCUGUUAAGUGUGUCGCCAUUUCGUGUGCGGACUGACCCUGCUUGAGUUGCUACGCCAACACGACAGGAGCAGCCUACCACUUGGUUUUGCUCCUUGGUGAAUCCCGACUAUAUUGAUCUAAAAAGAUACGUGCUGAACUACCCUCUCCGUCUCAGUUUUUUAUUUUUAGGCAUCUCGGUUUAUAGGGCGUGCACGUAGUUCUAGGUCAUCCAUUUGACUAACUAAAUAUGAGUUACUAUGUCCCAAAAAGUACUACUAUAUCAUUGGAUUCUUAAGCGGAUGUAGUUAUAUUUAAAAGUCGAGGGCGGGCUUUUCCUGCGCGGUAGGUGGGGCAGUUCCACCUAGUCGGUUCGACAGAGACGCGAGAAGAUGAGGGAGUAGGUUGCUGCAAACGUAGGGCUGUGUGAUUUGACAUCAAGUUACUGCUGGAUAGGUGGGGCCCCGUGAUUUGACUUGCCAUUUUCAUUUUAACUGUGGUGCUACGACCAGCGUGAGUCUCCCGAUUCCUGACCACCUCCAUACAAGUGCCUCUCCCAAUGCCCCACCAUGUGGUUGAUGCUGGCUCUUGCAUGAGAGCCCACUUCUCCACUUUUUCCUUGCCUCUUUCCUCCACACAUGCAAGAAUGCCAUGUAAAGCAGGCUUAUAGCCCACUAUUGUAGUACUUACUUGCUCCUACAGGUGCUAAGCUUGCCACAUCGGCAUAAAGUCUGAUGUGGCAAGUUUGGUGACCCAAGGAAGAAACGGUGCUAAGCGCAUGUACCUAGGUGAAAAGACAAUUUUGAGUCUAUAGCUAAUUAAAUGAAGCAAACUUAGCAACAAAAAAUUACUAAUAAGCACCUAUGCAAUGGGGACUUGAUUGCUAAGCCAUUUAAUGCCCUUAGCACCUCAUCUAAGCACCAUUUCAUUGGAAGAGGCCACUCCUUGGCAAAUGCAAUAAAUACUACUCCCUCUGUCCCAUAAUAUAAGAACGUUUUUGGCACUACACUAGUGUCAAAAACAUUCUUAUAUUAUGGGACGGAGGGAGUACGAAGAAAGAGAUAGAGAGAAGUAAAAAAAUACACUUAUAGCCAACCUUAUAGCUAACCUUGUUGUAGUAUGAGUGACUAAGUGAUGACUAUGUAUGACAUGCCAACAUCAGAUAGCCUAACGCACCGUGUUAAAUCAACAAGGGCGUGGCCGCGCUAGCGACGCCGACGGUCGUGGUAGCCGCGACCAUGAUACGGGCUGCUGGCAGCCCUUGGAUUUGAUAUCAAACGGUCGCUUGCUAAGUUGCUGAAAAUUUGCAGAAUAACCCUCCAGGAUAGGAUAUUCACCCAUAGGUCUAGAAUCACGCCAUGCAACCGUUCGAUCUCAGAUCCAACGGCUCUCGGAAGCUCGUAUCAUGGGAGAAUAGAAAGCCACUACCCUGCCGUUCGCACGCUGGCAGUUCGCUCCUGCUCGUCCCCGCACGUCCUUUAAUAUUACGAUGGUUCGCUCCUAGUCGUCCCGUCCUUUCACAUUAUGGCAGUUCCACUAAUCCUAACCCUCCUCCCAAAUCCAUGGCGUCCCAAAUCUCCAUGAUCGGCGGUGAAUACAAGGUUAGAACCAUCACCGACGAUGAGUUCGACAUCAUCUACACCCGUUCUUCCGCGACGGUGAAAGGAUGCCUUUCUCGCUUUAGACGCAUGUUCGAAAACUCACAUGAUGAGUGGGUCGCUGGGCUAGAUGUUGAGUACACCACAAUCCUGGGACAAGAGAAGGAUCUAAAGGACGAAGAGAGGAAGAAGCCCGCCGUGAUCCAGGUUUGCAUGCAUGAGUUAUGCUUGGUCUACCACAUAUGCCAUGCCGAUGUUGAAUGCCUGGAUUUUAAUAACUUCCUCGAGAGCAACCUAGUCAAAUUCGUUACUAUAGGCUUUACGAACGACAAAGAAGUCCUGGGUCGGAUAGGCCUCGUUGUAGGCAACCCCUUCGACCUCAAGAAGAAUCGGCUGCUGCCCUCCGGUGGCCAGCCUUCAAUGUUGACCCUGGCAGGAGCCAUGGUUCAUCCUUCGUACGAUAAACUGGAGAAACCUCAUUACACAUUUCGUCAUCAUGCAUGGCAGCAGAAUGUACUAGAUAUAGACCACAUCCACUACACUGCAAUGGAUGGCUACCUUUGUUUCAAUAUCUACAAGGGUUGGAUGAAGAGCAAGAACCAAGUGUGCAGUUCAAGCAAAGAAGUAUCGGCCAAGAGGAAGAGGGACAAGGACGAAGUCGAGGACGUGGACGAGGACUCCUCCGAGUGAGUAAGGUGUCAAUAUCGUUGCUCAUGGUGGUUCUAAUGCAGUUUCUACCGGAUUAGUUGCAUAGUUUAAUUUCAGGUGUGCUUAGUUGAAUUUGAGGGGUGUGUUGUGCUGAGCCCCAGCAGAACUAUGUUAGGUUUCUUCUUGUUACUUUAACUCCUCAGUAUGAUACAUACUACUAGUAUUUCUUUAAUAGAAUUUAGCACCCCAAUUAAGCACGUACUAGCUUUUUUAAUAGUACUAUAUGCAUAAUUUGGCGACGAGUGCUCUCUAUAUGUACCACCUUUUUUUAAUUUCAAAUUUUGCUCCAUGGCGCAAUCCAUCGAUACUACUACUGCACAAAAGUAUACAUUUUUUAAAAGGCUAGAGUACUGUUCAUCACAUAUAUAGCCAGUUAAAUUCUCAACCUAGAACGAUGUGCAUGCCAUGUAAACCGAUAUAGAGGAAGUAUGGUAAAAAUGAGGUGAUUUUACCGAGCGAUCAGCGGGGGAGCAUGGCCUGUCAUGUGGUCCCACGUGUCAUGAUGUACCAAGGCGAUGCGCGUGUCCCUCUUGAGGCAGAAGCAAUACUACCUGGUUUGAGAUGAUGGCGAACCGAAGUGUGAAAUAAUGGUUGCUUCGUCCGUCUGGGAAGGUGCGGCAUUGUGAUUUGACGUCUCAUUGCUCAUUACUACUACUGGGACGGUACGACUGGGGUGCGUCCCCCCUGCUGUUCUGCACUGUUAUUUGGUGCUUGACACAUCGAUCCGGUUGCUAUAUGUCCCACAUGUCGGUGACAGGAAGUACAUAAUUCAUGAAAGGGAGCGUCGACGGAGGAGUAUACUAUAGAAUUCAUGAAAGGGAGCGACUUAGUUUGGGAAAAAUCUGUUUUUACGGAGUACGUACCCACUAGGGUUUAUAGGGCUCAUCUAAAAAACAUUCGUUUUUCCAUUUGAUAAGUCUCAAUUCUACUACUAGUAGUAGUACCAUUACAUGUUGGAUUUCGAGGUGCGUUAGAUCACCUGAUGCAAGCAGUGUCAAGAGGAAACUCACCAAUGCAUGUAGAAGUUCAUGUAAUGCAUUCAUUCUAAUUAAUGCCUCGGUAAACAUAACUUCUUGAGAAAAAUGAGCGUACUAAUUACUUGUGCAAACUAUGAAAUUAAUUCAACCACUCACCGUCUACCUUGGUUGGAGAGAUUUUGAAAUUGAGCCAUAAACUAGAAAGGAGGGAGUAGUAACUUUUGUCUCGAUUACUAUUUGUGGCCUUGUAUAGAUGUAAAAUGUAUUUUUUAUAGUGGCCUUGUAUAAGUAAAUGGAGGGAGUACUAAAGGACAUAUAUAUUCCAAACAAUAUGAUAAUCUCUCUAACCAGGGACGAGGAGUAAACGGAGGAAGUAGUAAAAUUUUCUCCUCGUCCUGCGAGCCACCGCGCGAAUGGGCGAGGGAGUGGGCGUAAGGCGUACAGUAUUACUACUACUACUACUACUCCUAAGCAAGCUUCACCUCAUCCUGCGAGCCACCGCGCCCGUGGGCGGGGGAGACGACGUACUAAGCAAGCUUCUCCUCGUUCUGUGAGUUGACGGGACACAUCAAAAUUACUCCAGUGUAUAGAGCCUUGCCUCUAAGGUAGGCCCCACAUGGUUUGCCUCUUUUUUAACAUAACACGUCAAGUCGCAAUUUGUUUGUUCACCCAUGAUAGACGACCCUCCCUCCAUCAAGUGGACAACCAGUACACAUGUCAAAUUACCACGUGGGCUGCCUUUUCGUACAAAAAUGAGCUCCGCCGUGUACCCGCGCGGGUGUGGUUGGGAAAGAAAUGGGAGUACGUGCGCCGUGCGUGCACCUUUUCUCUUCAUGCACGUCCCCCACCUAUGUUGGUGUGUGUGAGGGAGAUACAAACCUAGACAUAAUGCACCAUCCAUCCCCAUGCCUCCGCCCAGUCCGACCACCAGUCACCACCACGCCCCACUCCUCCUCACCUUAUCUCUCACCUUUCCCCCUCCAUUUUUAUAUACAAGGGGCCACUAUCAAAAUUACAAUUUGCAGAUAUACAAGGCCACUAACACUAAUCGAUGCAAUAUUAAUGGUGUUUGCCUCGUGGUACUAGCAAAGGAGGACAUUAAUUAUCCCUUGCAUGCAUGCGGGAGUUUGUAAAAAAUGCAUCUUGAUGUUCCCUGCAAUGCACAGGCAUCUUGCUAGUCCAUGAAAACAACACAUGGCAAAAUUCGACGGUGAACGAGGGAUUUGAAUCUGUUGGGAGGGGCUGUGGAUCUUGCCGGGGGUAGCCAAAAUAGUGGCGACCCUUUUGUCCACCGGUGCCUUUGCCACCGAUGAAUGAGGAAUGGCUCGGGUGCUCAUGCAUCCUCCAGCGCGCAUGUUGGAGACGAGCUCGCACGAGCUGUGUUUUUUUGUCCCACAACACCGCCCGAGCCGCCCGCAGACCGACCGACGACCCACAAAUUACACCAUCUAACCGUAGCCGCACACAUUAUGAUAGCAACUCAACCAACCGGACGAAAUUCAUGCAAACACGUAGACAAACUGAUAUUUCAUAUAAACAACGACAUAAAUCAUUGGAGUCCCGGCCACAGAAACAGGAGACGCGGUACGAGGUGGUGGCAGGACGGUAGCAACGACGCCCGUGCGCCGCUCCUCGUCGAGCUGGUCUGGAGCGGCGAGUUGCUGAACCGCGCGCCAGCUUGGGGCGGCAACUGGCUUCGUCGGACGAGGGGAGGGAGGUGGAUCAGCAAGCUGCAUAGCUCGUAUUCGGCGGGCUACCCAGCCGGCUUGGAUGCGGAAUAACUAGUCUUCGUAAGCCAUUGUAAGAGUGGACAAAAUGGUGAAGGAGGAGAUAAGGGAGGGGCGGAGGUGUGCGAUCCUUGGCUGGCGUUUGGCCUCGUUUAAAUAGGAGAUUAAAUAGACGGCGGACGGGAGGAGCUCGGCCGGCGUUGCGUUUAAUGCCGGCCUGGUCAUGAACGGAGGUGUGUCCAGAGUGGGUUUCUCGGCUUCCACACGGGCGGGUUUCAUGGAGGCGUUUGAAUGCGGUAAGGAGGCGUGUUCAUCCGGGCAUGCAGCCAGUGGCGCCCUCGACUCUGACCUAGGACACCGCGCCAUUCUUCCACUGACGUGUGGGCUCUUCGGGUACAUGGCCUACAUGUCAGUGACCCAACGCAGGCAGCGCACAGCAGGGGAACCUUUGGUGGGCCAGGGCGGUCAGAAGCGGGCAUUUCAUAAACCGAUGAUUGUUCAUUGAGUGUGACGUCAUCUUCUUCAUGUAGAUAAGCCUACUAUGUUGAUAGCCCGUUCGAUACAUUGUGAUUCAUAAAGACCGUUGCAAACAUCAAUGUCCUACUUAUCACAGAUAAGAUUGAUUAAUACCCGUAACAAUCCAUGUCCUUAACAAAGGGUGCAUGCACGUAUAGGUUGAGCGUGCGUCUUGCGUCGUGUGAUGUGUGCAUGUAGGCGUGCGUGUGUUGCGUGCGUGCAAGGGUAUGUUCCAAUGUUGCAUGCAUGGGUGCAUACAUGCGUGUGUUCGUGAGUGCAUGUGUGUGUGUCAGUGUUGCACGCCUGCAUGCGUGCGUGUGUACAUUAUGUGUACGUGUCAGUGUUGCACGCCUGCAUGCGUGCGUGUCUUGCGUGCGUGCAUGUGUAUGUGCGGGGUGAGGCUACACAUCAGUCGACUGACUUUUUCAUCUCUGGUCAUUAGAUUUUCCAGCCAUUGGAUACGAAAUCAAGGGCCUCCAGUUUAUCAUCAAACUCCACCCCCCUGAGCCGCCAGCCACCACCGGCCGAACCGCCAGCCCGCGCCGACCGCGGCCGGCCCGCACCGCCCUGCCACCCCGCCCUUACCGAAACCACUCCCCACCGCCAGUCUGUCGCUGCACCGGCCAUCCCUCUAGCCCCCCCCCCGUGCCAAGCUUUUUCUUCGGCGAUCCCCACCCCACCGCCCAAUCGACGCCCCCCAACCGCCAGCGAUUGCCAACCAGAGGUCUCACGACUUCGAAUACCCAUCGACCACUAAUUUAUUACCAUUUUUGUCCUUCAUAUACGCGCUGACGGGUGGGCCCUAUGGCAAUGUGCAUUGCUGAAUGUGAACCGUUUGACUGGUCAAUUGAUCGUGUUGUUAACAAAUUACGGAGCUGUAUGGUGAGUCAGUGACCGUAUGAUCACCCUAAAAUGUACUCCUAUUUUAUUAACAUAGUACAGACUCAAACUAACAUUUCUUUCUUUCAUAUAUGGACUGACAGUUGGGCCCCAUGGUUACGCGCCCCGAUGGUGCAACACUAGUUGCGCCGCGUGGAAUGUUUGACUGGUCAAUUGAUUGUGUCAUCAACAAAAUACAGAGUUGUAUGGGUGAGCCAGUGACCGUAUAAUCAUGACAUGUAUUUGUUUAACACGGUACAGACGCAAGGGCUCAUAUAUAUGCGCAAGCACUCACCGCUAUAAGCGCACACACGCGGACCCUACCCCUAUGAGCACCUUCGAGAGAGUGGGUCAGCAUAUAUGAUCUUGAGAUUUUACGAAGUCACCAUAGGUGCCUCGUAGUCGAGUGGAACGUCUCCUCCCACUGAACGCACAUCUCCGGAAAAUACUGAAAAUAACACAAGAUGAAUGCGAGCACCGGGACUUUAACCUUGGUGGGCUCGAGAAACCACUGUCCUCCUAACCAUCCAACCACAUGUUGGUUAGCACGACAAAAUGUAUGUGGUGACCGUGAUCAGCUUAUUCUGAAGUCCAGUGACCAUAUCGUGCUUUCGCUUCAAAUACAAUGACCGUAAGUGUCGUCAACAAAAUACAGAGCACGCAUCAAAUGCAAAGUCCGUCAGUGUCAUCAACAAAAUAUGGAGACGUAUCGUGAGCUAGAUACUAUUGUACUAUUGUAUAUGCUUAUUUUCUUAGUGGCCAAUUGCGUGUGUGGUGUGGUGGGCACAUCAUUUCUAGUUGUGGUGGGUCAACAUGAAGACUCAUGGGCCGGUUCCAUCCCGCGCCACAUAUAGGUUGGACCGAGACGCGUUAUACGAAGACCCAUGUGGAGGACUCGGCGUACAACACGAAGCUACCAGAGUCGCGGAGGACUCUAUCCCCACUGGUGAUAAGCCUACUAUAUAUGAUUUGUAACCCUAGGCCCCAGUAUGUUAUAGAAACUUGGGGGCUAGUUCGUCGAUAGUAUACAACACACACAAUGCCUAGUAUUCACGUGUACUUUGUACACACCCCUAUCACUAAUAUACAGUACCAUGAGUAGGCUCUUUCUUCAACUGCAAGGGUCCGAACUAGGGUAAAACUUUGCCUCGUAUUACCAUCCAGCUUAACAGUCAGGGAUAUCCUACCGAAUGAUAUGAUGAAAUCAUAUCUGCCAACUACUAAGAGAGAGGUGUGUCGGGGGGGGGGGGCAAUGUGUGCGAGAGAGGCCUAAAGAUAAUGUGCGUGCGGGAGACACGUAGGCACAUAUAUGUGCGUAUAGAGGGCUAGUAGAGACCGUGCGCGUGUAUAUAUGCAUGUGAGAGAGAAAGUGUUUUCCAACUGAGAUUAGUGAAAAGAGUGGUACAUAGUAGUCAGAAAGAGAGAGAGAGAAAGAAACAGAGAGAGCAUGUGCGUGAGACACCCCGACACCUUGAGAGAGAUUGUGAGCAUGUGUGAAAGAGAGAUGCCGAUGCAUAUAAAGUGUGUGCACUUAUGCAUUAGAUAGAGAGAUAUAUAACGCGUUUGUGAGAACGGACCGAGGCAUAGUGCAUCUACGUGUAAAAGGCGGUUCUACGCAUUAAAUUAAAAUAUAAAUGGCAUUAUUAUUUUUGGAUGAGAUCAUGAAUUUUGCAAAUUGCAUAUGGACGAAAAUCGGUCUAUCAGACACCCAUACUCUAUUGAAUUCUAGCAUGUGCAUGUGUUUAUUUCAUAUUAUCGAUCCAUAGAAUGAGAGCGGUUUGAAAUACAGGCAAUGGAUGCUUUUGCAAUUCAUAUAUAAACAUUAAUUAGUGCACUGCAUGUUGUUAGUGUGAAGCACUUUAUACAUUUGUCACUUGCAUGGAUACAUUCCAAAUUGCUAGCUAUGAAAUAGAAUACAUGUCGAAUUCAACAUAAAGGGGGUUUCGAAGAUUCGAAUUCAUAGGAAGUGCAUUCAUCUACUUGAACCCGAGAUAAUGGCAUUUGUAAAUCAGAUGUAAAAGGGGGCAUCAAUCUUUGUUCUGAGUUUGAACAUGCUAUAUAUAUUCAUACGCAUAUCUAACUUCUUUUUUUGCAACCAAGGAGAUUAUAUCUGGAACCAUGCAUGAACUGAGGUAAGUUGCAUAUUUUUUAAUAUAUACACGUGUACAAUGUAUAUUCAAAUGUACCUCCUCCAUUUCAAAAUAAUUGUAGCUUUAGGAUUUUCAAGAGUAAAGAUUCGUGAAGUUUGACAAAUCCUGAAAGUUCAAUUAAAGAGAACCGAAAACGUUAAUGCUUCUGCUCCCAAAUAUUGAACGAAGUGCCAAAUAGGAUUGUGGUCACCCAAAACCGUGUGAGACUAAUGUUUGGUGGUAGGAAAGUACUGUCCUGACUCUGGCCCGUGUAGCCUAUCGGCCCGAUGUCCAAAGGUCUAAACCGGGGUACGUUUGUAGCUUCACCAAGACGCUAGUCUCAACCGCCUCCGAGAAGCAUUCAUACACCGUGGGUGCCUAAACACCCAUGCGCUCGGCCGAAAUCUAUCCCGCCCACAUUUGGGACACCUGAGAUUACUGUCCUACCCCCAACCCGCAAUAUGUCCGAAAUUUUAGAUGGGGGCAAAGUUUGUAACUUUCCCCAAAUUUCAAACUAGCGCAUCUCAAACCAAAACAUUGUUCCCCCUUAGUUCCCCGCCUCCCUCCGUUUCCCCAUUCAUACUCCAUGGGCGCCAAAACACCCUCUCCACCAGCCGCGAAACCCCAGCCUCUGCCGUCCUCCACCCCAUAGCGGCCAAUCCACCGCCGCCCUCCUCCAUCACGCUGGAGCCGGUACCCCAACGUCGUUGUCCAACGCAACCACAACCGCAACGCCCUCAAGGACUUAGCAGCUGAAGCCGAGGCAGAGCUGCCUCCACGACGCCGACACCGACGUGCGCCGUACCAGAAGCACUCCGACCAUGUCGUCCUGCGCCUCACUGCUGCCGCUCCACUGUUGCAACCGUCCACCGCACAGGAGCUGUUCCCGCUACGCCGUCGUUCGCUGCCUCGGAUCUGGUUCCCCACCGCCAACAGACGGCCACCGCACCACACUCAACAACUUGGCCAUGGGUUCGUACAAGGCUCCACCGUCCUCCACAACUUCUCGGUUCCAGUGAACCAUAAGAAGAUCAUUGGAAAAACAGAAGGAGGACACAACACUGCCAGCAGAAAGAGGUACUCCGCUUCCCUUAUUCGUGCAAAUCUUACGUCUCUGCUCACACUGUAUUCAUCCCACGAAAGAAACUAGUUGAACGCUUCUUACUGCAUCUUCUUCGUGAUACUAAAUGCACAAGGUUUCCUCCCUUUACUAUUUCACCUUUGCUAGAGGUCAGUAGCCCGCCUGGAUUUCAAUUCAGGGUCAGUCGAACCGCAAUUAAAAGAAGCAGCACCCACUUAGGCGUGCGGAGCACCUAGUCUGCCUGUUCCCCGGGGAAGCGGCGCAUCGGUGUCUAUCAUAGGGGUGUGGGGCGCAGGAGCUACUUGCGCCCGAUCUGGAGGUCAGCGGGGCUUGAAUGAAUGGCCGGGGGGCGGUGCCAAGCACGGUAGUGCGGUGAGGUCAAGGGGAGGGCGCAGGCAGGGGAAGAAUACUGGGCCGAUGGUCGCUGGCAUUUCGAGGAAGAUCGUCAACACUGACUGGCUGGAGGUAGAUGAAGGUGAUCUGCCCGUUCUUUGUACAUCGGACGGUGCAGAAAAAAUGGACUAACCUAUUUGUUUUCAGUCGACUGUUAUUUUCAUAGAGUCCUGUAGUAAUUUAGUGUGCCAUGCAUGUUGUAGAGCUAUCAUAUGUGUCCCGUCAUUUAUUUCUCACCGACCUGCUAUCUGCUACCUUUACACUGUAAUAAUUGUGUACACACUUCACCCAUACUCACACUAUUGUUUUUUUAUGCAUGGGUAUUUCAGACUUUGACGCAAUGUUGAUGAAUACAGAAAAGAAAAGACAGAAGUCGCUCCAGUGUAAUUUGAAGAUAAGCACUAAGCGUUUCAGCGAUCUAAUGGGUGCAGUGUCAGCAGUUGGAGACAGUAAACUUAGCUCUACAGUUGAUGAUCUCAAUUGCCACACACAACCAUCCCAGGUGCUUGCUUUAACUUUGCACUGUCAAAUGUGGUUGCAUGUUGCAUAUGGUGUCUAGCUUGUAUUGCUUCCAAUUUGGUUAAAUUGCAUUUGCUUACUUUACACAUUAUACCUUUCAUAAUGGCAUACCUUCCUGUUUUUGAUACAUACUACAUAUGUCUAUUAACCAUGUUCGUACAUCAAACUAAUGCUCUUUUGUAUCAUUCGUCAAUCGCUUAUGAUGAGACAGUCACCCGGGUGGGUUACUGUGAGACGCCCUACUCGUUUAAAGAGUGCAGUGUCAUCCUCCCCACAUGAUUCUCAAGAAAUAGCAAGGCUAAAUGAAGAUAGUCAACGUAGCUCUCUAGUUGAUCACCGCAUUCCCCCACACCACCAUCGCAGGUGCUUGCUCUUACUUGGCAGUGUGAUAUGUGGUUGCAUGUUGCAUAUGGUGUCUACCUUGUAAUGCUUCUAAUUAGGGUAAAUUACAUCUGCUUAGUUAACACAUUAUACCUGUGAAUAUGACAUGCCUUCCUGUUUUUGGUACACACUACGUCUUUCUAUUAACCAUGUUCUUACAUCAAACUACUUUUCUUGUGUAUCCCUCAUCAAUCACUUCUGACGAUACACCUUCAAGUUGACAGUGUAAUAUUGGUUGCAUCUUGCAUAUCAUUUCAAACAUGUAUUGCCUCUAAUUUGUUGAAGUGCCACUUAUAAUGAGACACAUCUAACUUGGUAGAGUGAUUUUGGUUGGAUCUUUCAUAUGGUGUCUAGAUUGCAUUGCUUCCAAUUUGUUGAAAUGCCUUCUGCUUAGUGUUUUUCAUACAUAUUCCAUCCUCCUACAAUGUGGUUGCCACACAUAAAAGUUGUGUUCGUCGAUAUCAUGCAUCAACGAAUUUGGAAUUGCGAAUUUCAUUCCUUUUUCUUGUGUGUUUACUUGACAAGGCAAAAUCUGAAGGGACGAAGGCACGGAAUGAUGGUGGUCCUCUGGAGCAAUGGAAAUAGAUGAUCUCUGCAGAUUCACCUGCUACUCAUACUGCUGUGCUAGUUCCAAAUCUCAUCUCCCCUACUCCACAACCCAAGGUGCUUGCUCUAACAUGGCAGUGUGAUAUCUGGUUGCAUGUUGCAUAUGGUGCCUAGCUUGUAUUGCUCCUAAUUUGUUAAAUUGCAUCUCCUUAGCUUACACAUUAUACAUGUGAAUAUGACACGCCUUCCUGUUUUUGGUACAUACUACAUCUGCCUAUAACACCAUGUUAUUACAUCAAACUACUGUUCUUGUGUAUCCUGCAUCUAUCGCUUAUGAUGAGACAGUCACGCGCGUGGGUUAAUAUGAGACGCACUACUCUUAUAAAGAAUGCAAUUUCAUCCUCUCCACAUGAUUCUCAAGAAACAACAAGCCUAAAUGAAGAUAUUGAAUGUAGCUCUGUACUUGAAGACCGCACUUCCCCUACGUGGUUGCAUGUUCUAACUUUGCAAUGUGAUAUGUGGUUGCAUGUUGCAUACGGUGUCUAGCUUGUAAUGCUUAUAAUUAGGGUAAAUCGCAUCUGCUUAGUUUACACACUAUACCUGUGAAUAUGACAUGCCUUCCUAUUUUUGGUACACACUACAUCUAUGUGUUAACCUUGUUCUUACGUGAAACUACCUCUCUUCUGUAUCUUGCAUCAAUCACUUACAAUGAGUCACCUUUAUUCGUUGCAUAUUGCAUAUUAUUUCUAGCCUGUCGCCAUGUAUUGCUUCUAAUUUGGUCAAAUACAUUUGUUAGGGCACCCUUUUAAUUUGGCAGAGUGGUAUUGGUUUCAUCUUUCAUAUGGUUUCUAGCUUGCAUUGAUUCUAACAAGUUCAAGCACCUUGUGCUUAAUUUACACUUUAUACAUCAUACAUGUCAAUAUGUCACGCCAUACCCUUUUUCAUACAUAUUCCAUCCUCCUAUCAUGCGGCUGCCUUACAUGAAAGUAGUGUUCGUCAUUAUCAUGCAUCAAUGAGUUUUGAAGAGCAAAUUUUAUUCCUUUUUCUUGUGGGUUUGACUUGACAAGGCAAAAUCAAGAAAGAGGAAGGAAAAGAGUAAGGAAGGAGAUGAUGGUGGUCCUCUGCAGCAACGUAAACGGAGCAUCUGUACCGAUUCUCCUUGUACUGAUAGUGCAUUACAAGGUCCAAGUCUCCGCUCCCCUACUCCACCAUCCAAGGUGCUUGCUCUAACUUGGCAGUGUGAUAUCUGGUUGCAUGUUGCAUAUGGUGUCUAACUUAUAUUGCUCCUAAUUAGUGUAAACUGCAUCUGCUUAGCUUACACAUGAUACAUGUGAAUAUGACACGCUUUCCUAUUUUUGGUACAUACUAUAUCUGUCUAUCACACCAUGUUCUUACAUGAAACUACUCUUCUUGUGUAUCCUGCAUCAGUCACUUAUGAUGGGACACCUUUAAGUUGGCAGUGUGAUAUUGGUUUGCGUCUUGAAUAUGAUUUUUAGCAUGUAUUGCUUCUAGUUUGAUGAACGCCACCUAUGACGAGACAGUUUUAACUUGGCAGAGUGAUAUUGAUUGCACCUUCCAUAUGGUGUCUAGUUUGCAGUGCUUCUAAUUUGUUGAAGUGCCUUCUGCUUAGUUACCACAUCAUAGGUGUGAAUAUGUCAAGCCCUCCAUUUUUUUCGUACAUAUUCCAUCCUCGUAUCAUGACUUUGCCUUUCAUCAGAGUAGUGUUCGUCAGUAUCAUGCAUGAAUGAGUUCUGAAGAGCGAAUUAUAUUCCUUUUUCUUGUCGGUAUGACCUCACAAUGCAAAAUCAAUAAAGCUGAAGGAAAUUGGCAAGGCAUUGGAUGAUGGUGGUCCUUCCGAGCAACUGAAACGGAGGUUCUCUACAGAUUCUACUCCGCCAUCCUCCCAACAAGAUCCGCAAGACAACGCAAGGCUAGACAGUCAACGUAGCUGUGUAGAUGAUGAGUACAUCUCCCCUACUCCACCAUGAGAGUUGCUUGCUCUAACUUCUCACUAUUAUAUGUGGUUGUAUGUUGCGUAUGAUGUCUAGCUUGUAUUGCUUCUAACUUUGUUGAAUUGCAUCUGCUUACUUUACACAUAAUGCUUGUGAAUAUGACAUGUGUUCGUGUUUCUACAUCAGACUACUGUUCUUGCAUAUCCCGCAUUAUUCACUUAUGAUAAGGCACCUUUAAGUCGCCACUUUGAUAUUGGUUGUGUCUUGUAUAUGAUUUCUAGCAUGUACUGCUUCUAAUUUGUUGAAACGCCAUACAGUUUGAACUUGGCAGAGUGAUAUUGGUUGCAUCUUUCAUAUGGUGUCUAGCUUGCAGUGCUUCUAAUUUGUUGAAAUGCCUUCUGCUUAGUUACCACAUCAUAGGUGUGAAUAUGUCACGCCAUCCUGUUUUUCAUACAUAUUCCAUCCUCGCAUCAUGUGUUUGCCUUUCAUUCGAGUAGUGUUCAUCAGUAUCAUGCAUGAAUGAGUUCUGAAGAGAGAAUUUUAUUCCUUUUUCUUAUCGGUUUGACUUCACAAUGCAAAAUCAUUACAGCUGAAGGAAAUUAGUCCGGCAGUGGAUGAUGGUGGUCCUUCGGAGCAACUCAAACAGGGGGUCUCUACAGAUUCUACUCCGCCAUCCUCCCAACAAGAUUCGCAAGACAACACAAGGCUGGACUGUCAACAUAGCUGUGUAGAUGAUGAGCACAUCUCCCCUACUCCACCAUCACAGGUGCUUGCUCUAACUUGGCACUAUUAUAUGUGGUUGCAUGUUGCAUAUGAUGUCUAGCUUGUAUUGCUUCUAACUUGAAUUGCAUCUGCUUACUUUACACAUAAUGCCUGUGAAUAUGACACGUGUUCCUGUUUCUAGAACAUACGUGUACAUGAUGAGCACAUCUCCCCUACUCCACCAUCAUAGAUGCUUGCUCUUACUUGGAACUGUUAUAUGUGGUUACGUUUUCCGUAUGAUGUCUAGUUUGUAUUGCUUCUGAUUAUGUUAAAUUGCAUCUGCAUAGCUUACAACUUAUACCUGCAACGAUCACUUACCCAUAAGACACAUUUAACUUGGGACUGUGAUGUAGGUUGCAUCUUGCAUUGUCUUCUAGCUUGUACUGCUUCUAAUUUAUUGAAAUGGCACUUACGACGAGACACCUUUUACCUGAUAGAGUGAUAUUGGUUGCAUGUUCAUAUGGUGCCUAGCUUUCAUUUCUUCUAAUUUUGUUGAAAUGCCUUCCGCUUACUAUUUUUUCAUACAUAUUCCAUCCUCCUAUCGUACGUGUGAAUAUGAAACGCUGUCUUUUUUUUGCAUACAUUCCAUCCUCCUAUCCUGCGCUUGCCUUACAUCAAAGUAGUGUUCGUCUGUAUCAUGCAUCAACCAGUUAUGCAGAGCUAAUUUUAUUCAUCUUCUUGUGGUUUUGACUUCAUAAGGCAAUAUCAGAAAAUAGGAAGGAAAAGAGUAAGUUAGGGGAUGUUGGUGGUCCUCCGCACCGACGCAAACAGAUACUCUCGGAUUUGCCGCUGCUACUGCUAAUGAAGUUGAAGUCCCAAGUCUACAUGAUGAGUUCAUCUCCUGUACUCCACCAUCGCAGGUGCUUGGUCUAAGUUGACAGUGUGAUAAUUGGUUUCAUGUUGCAUAUGUUGUCUAGCCUGUAUUUCUUCUAUUUUGAUUAAAUUGCACCUGCUGAGUUUAUACGUUAUACAUGUGCAUAUGACAUGGCUUUCUGUUUUUAGAAUACACUGCAUCUAUCUAUCAUACCAUGUUCUUACAUCAAAGUACUGCUGUUGUGUAUCCCGCAUCAGUCACUCAUGAUUGGACGCUUUUAACAUGGCGGUUUGAUAGUGGUUGCAUCUUGCAUUGAUUUCUAUGUUGUACUGCUUCUAAUUUUUUGAAUUGCCACUUAUGACAAGACGCUUUUAACUUGGCAGAGUAAUAUUGGUUGCAUCUUUCAUAUGGUGUCUAGCUUGCAUUACUUCUAUUUUAUUGAAAAUCCUUCUACUUAGUUUGCACAUCGUAGCUAUGAAUAUGUUAUGUCGUCCUGUUUUUCUUACAUAUUCCAUCCUCAUAUGGUUGUCUUACAUCAAAGUAUUGCUUGUCUGUAUCAUGCAUCAAUGAGUUCUGAAGAGCGAUUUUAUUCUUUUGUGUUGUGGGUACGGCUUGACAUGGCAAAUUCAAAAAAGAGCAAGAAAAAUAAUAUAGUAGGGAGUGGUGUUACUCGUCGGGUGAAACGGAAAAGGAUCUGCCGUCGAGAUUCUGCUGGUACUUAUAGUGCAGUAGAAGGUCCAAGUCCACCGGCUAAAUCUACAAACACAGUAUCACCUGCUCCACCAGCUGCAGCAUCUGCUUCAACUGUACCAGCAUCUCAACGAGUUACUCGUUCGUUUGCUCCGGAAUUGGCCAGUUCCCAAGCUGCCUUCACACCUAACACUACUUCCGAAGCACUGCUGACACAACAGGACUUGGCAAGAUCAGAUGAACCUCAUGAGCAUCAACACCAAGACGGUACCUGACCGAGUCAAGUUGCAGUUGCAUGCUCCUUUAUAUGUACUCUCACAAUUUGAUGUACACUAACACUUUACAUAUUUGUUGUUGAACUAGCACCAUGGCGCAAGUAGAAAUAGACAUCAGGGAUAAUGCUUGACAGAUUAACAAAAUCUAAAGGAGGAAGAAUGGAGAUCCAUUUUGAGGCAGGUUUAAAAAGGCCACGUGAUGCUACAGAGUCAGCCAAGUUAGUAUCAGAGGCAGCCGUUGCCGUUAGGUGUCAUGCACGUAUCCUCCCAACGUGGAUCCAGUACAAGAAUGAGAAAGACAAUACCCACUUUAACACCUUCCUUGACCAUUUAUCCGUAAGUAAUGUUAUUCAUCGCAAUUAGUAAUAUUGUCUUGCUCUGUCCCAUACUUUCUAGCUUCCUCCUAAUAAGACUCACAUUCCUUUUUCAACAGAUGAGGUUCUAGUUGGAUCCGAAAGAUGAUGCAACUAAACAAGCAUGCACUCAUGUUUUUCGGUCUGCUCUGCGAUAGUAUCAGUACCACCUUAGAAAAUCUCACUUUGAAGGCAAGGCUAACAAUGAAAUAGCCCAAACAUCUCCAGUGGAAUAUAUUACAGAUGAAGACUGGACAACCCUCGUUAAACACUGGUCUGAUCCAAAGUAUCAGGUAGGCUAUAUAUAUUUGAUCAGACCACAUAUUGAACUUGUAUUUAUGUAUGUGCCUUAGAAGUGUAUCUUGUUCUAGGCUAACUGUUUGAAGAACAAAACCAACUGUUCUAAAGUGAAAUUCCAACAGACAACAGGAUCUCAUAGCUAUAUUGCACACUACGAGGCUCUUGUAAAUAGCUGCUACUUCCUUCUUUUUUUUGUGCCAUAUUAUCGUAUCUAUAUUGACUUGUUCCAAAUACAGAGGAAAGCCCGUGCGGACCAAAAAGAACCUGAACCGAAUGCAGUGCAAAUCUUCAAGGAUUGCCACACCAGCAAGAUGAAGGGCAUGAGCACACCAGUUCAAGCCGCUGUUGUAAGUCCUUACUCCUCCUGCCUUUGAACUGAUUCGUACUAUGAUGUGUUCAUUUAACUACUUGGUUUGCAUCCAAUGUCAGUUACUCUGUUCACUUUUAUACACAGUUGUCUUAACGUAUCAUUUCACCUUACAUGGCAUGUUUGUUUUAUAUCUGUUUUCCCAUGAUAUGAAUGAUGUCAUACUAUGUUCAUCCUACUUUAAACUAUGUCUCUUUAUCCUUAGAUGUCAACGAAUGUGAGGAAAUAGACAAUACAGUAGGCAUGCUACAUGGACAUAUGUUCCAAAAGUGAUUUUAUUAUGUAGUUGGCACUACAAUACAUGCUAAUGUAUUAUAGUAGUUCACCAAAAUAAGUUAUGUAUAAACAUUUAACCUACUUUGUUUGUUUUUGUCUCAUUAGUAACUUAUCUGGUACACUAAUCUACAACUUCAAACUUUCAGGAAGCUAUUGAACAAAUGAUUGAACAACCACAACCACCUGAAGGUGACGAGGCUACCACAGGCACAAUGUCACCUCUUGCUGCAGUGCGUCAGUAUCUCUCCACUAACAGUGCAAAAAGCACCUUCCUACAUAAUUCCGGGUUGGUUGUCAAGGUAACCUCGUCCAAAUCGCGUACUGAACAAAAUCUUCCUGCUAGACAGAGUGAUAUAUCUAUGCUCCAGACACAAGUCCAAUCCCUAACGGACCUUGUUUCGGAAACAAGAAUAGUGGUUGACAAAUGUUGUCAAGAUAUGAAUGGUUUUGAAACCAGACUAUCAGACAUUCGCUUCGUUAUUCAAGAGCAAUGGCGGAAAAAAGGUGAAGAUCGUGCUACUCCAUCAGAUUCUACAGCCUGAAACAUUAGCACUCAGGUCAAAUGAUCUAUGCUUCUAUACAUCUAAUGGUGCUUUUAUCUGGAAGGAUUGUAAACUUUAUGCCAACAUGCCUUUUGUUGUAUGGUUGGAAUUUAUUUUGUUGUGAUACAGCAUUUAUGAUGCUGCCACAGGCUGCAGUAAUUACGAUGCUAUUUUUGUAUAGUGUAGGUUUAUCUUAGUAAUGUAUUCAGCCGAAAGCUUCGUAGGAGCCCAACAUGCCAAUAUUCCUCGGCCCCAUUCAAAUUGGGCUAAAAACGAUUCCGGGCCGAAAUUGGCAUGUAGCCCACUAAAAAUAUCUUGACCUAAAUCAGCAUAAGCUUUCAUAUUUUUCUGGUAGGCCUGUGCCCACAGUGGGCCUUUAACAGGCGUAAACAUAAUUUAGGCCCUUAGUAAAAAUAGGCCGUUUACAGGUGUAAAUAUCUCGAGCCCACAUAAAACAUGGGACUUUAAUAGACCGAAAGUGAGAUUGGGCCCUGAUUGUGCCAAAUAACCCACUGGACUUAGCAGGCCGAAAUGGUGGCCCAUUUACGAUGCGGAUCUUUGACGGGCUGAAAUUCGGACGGGCCGUAAAUGCGCCAACCUAAUACACAGGCCUUUAACAGGCCGGAACUUCGGUCGGGCUAGAUUAUCUUCAUUUUUAUAUGGGUCGUUAAUGGGCCCGAUAUGACGUUGGGCCACAUAUGGCCCAUGGUUUUCGUCCGGUGUUAACAGGCCGAAAAUGACAACAGGCCGAAGGUGGCCCAAAUCUAUAGUGGGCCUCUAACAGGCCGAAUGUCAGACAUGGCCGAAUAUGACCCAAAUCCUUCACAGUCAUUUAUGGGCCGAAAGUUUUGAUAGCCUGUAAAGGACCCAAAUGAAGCAGAACCUUUAACAGGCCGGAAAUACACCGGGCCGUAAUUCGGCCCAACUACUUAGCGGACUGUUAACGGGCCAGAUGUGACCAUGGGCCGCGUUGAUGACAAGUUUAUGACAGCCCGUUGACGGGCCGAUUUUACAGAGAAUGUUGGGCCUUUAGCUGGGCCGGCCCAUUACGGUCUGCAAAAUCUUGUGGGCCUUUAGCUGGGCCGGCCCUUUGUGAUCCACUAAAUCUUGUGGGCCUUUAGCUGGGCUGACUCAUUAUGGUCUGCAAAAUCUUGCGAGCCUUUAGCUGGGCUGGCCCAUUAUGGUCCGCUAAAUUUUGUGGGCCUUUAGCUGGGCCGGCCCAUUAUGGUAUGCAAAAUCUUGUGGGCCUUUAGCUGGGCUGGCCCAGUAUGGUCCGCUAAAUCUUAUGGGCCUUUGGUUGGGCCGGCCCAUUUAAACUUUAUGGGCCAGUUUUGGGGGGGUCCACGUGUCAACAUAUCAUAGGCCCAUCUCGACCGUUGGAUGAGUGACACCUGUGCCAACGUGGAGCUGACGCGUGGAUCCGUCAGCCAAUGAGAAUAUUACACGUGGAAAAUCGGCAUUGAUCGUGGCUGUUAAUGGGUUAUCGGAUCCAAAAACUGGACUCGAUAGGUUAACGGCGGUUAACGGCAUCCCGUUAUGGUGGAUGCCACAUGUCAGUCACCCUUGACGAAAGCACUUCUAUGACGCGCGAUUUAUCGUCAUGGAAGUGGACACUUCCGUGAUGAUAAUUUUGGUAAUGUCAUGGAACACUUCUACGACAUCACACGUAUGACUAUCUUUAUUCUGCCAUAAAAUCGUCAUGGAUGUACAUGCAUGACAAAAAACGCGACCUACUGUGACAAACACGUAUCAUCAUGGAAGUGUAUUUUUUUGUAGUGUAUGACAUGGCCUACUCAUAUUCUACGAUAGCACUUACUACUGUUCUCAUAUCAACUCUAAGCAAUAACAUGUGUUGUUAUAAAAAUCUUGGAAGUGAGAGUAACAUAUAGCAAUCAUGAGGUUAUACUCAUAAUAUCUAUUCUAACAACAUUAGAUGCAAGCUGUUCUCAUAUCAACUCUAACAAUAACAUGUGUGGUCAUAAAAAUCUAGGAAAUGAGAGGAACAUAUAGCAAUGAUGUGGUUAUAGACAUAAUAUCUAUUCUAAAUUUGUAACAAUCAACUGGCAGUCGUAUUCAUAAGGUAAAGAUGAGAUGAGAUAUAAAAAUUACACAAUGAUAGAUUCCACCAGUAUAGGCAGCCAAUCUGUGCGUCGACCGAGUAACGACACUAUAGCAUAAGACGGAAAUGUUGGCUCAACAAGAUUGAUGAUGAGACAUAACCAUGUAUGGCGACCGAAUUCCAGAUAGACUAAUCCCAUAUUGAACAAGGCAAUGAGCUUGUAAUCCAUGUAGUCUUCUGAUGGUGUGGGCACUUCGCAGAUUACAACCUUCAGCAAACAGAGGUCGAGCCAAAAUCUUGACGCGUCUCAUGCGUAGUAGGCAGGAGUGUCCGGCGGGCCGUGAGGCUCGAUGGCGACGGUAUCCAACGAUGGAAGGGUGAUCUCUCGCUGGGUGUAGAUAUCCAUGAGACGCCACGGACUACUGGAUUGGUGGAUGAGGACGAUCCAGUUGGCCUUCAUGCCCGCCCAGUAGUGGCCGCGCAUGAAGGAUAGGUGGACGGGUGGUGGUAGCAUGUCGAGGGGCACCACGGCAACCUCCGUAGGCUCGUCAAGUCGGUGUCUGGGCCACCUGCAAGGAUCGCGCAUCAGUAAGCAGGGUGUCUUGAAAAGGGCCGGCCAGUUGGAGACGAGUAGACGGUACAAAGCCACCGAGCAUGCCACCAGACGGACGGUGCUGAGCAGGUCCAUAUGAUUACAGAUCUGCUCCAAGAGAACAUCGGGGAGGGAAUUCCAAUCUCGGCUCUGUGUGUUAGUCGGUUCUGCCAUAGGUUUUUUUAGGGUGCUGGGUGAUUGGAGUUUUCUGUGCCUGCGAGCCAGCGGGGAAGUGGAUUCGGGCGGGUGAGCGAAGAAGAUGGCGUGUGUGGCCGAGCAGUGAGCGGGGGGAUAUGGUACACGCGAGGUACCAAGGAAGAAGGCGCUGGCGGGCGAGCAGUGAGCAGGGGGAAAUGGUGUGCGACCGACAAUGGGGAAGAGAGGAGGAAGAAGAAGAAAGGAGGAAGAAGAGUGCAAGACGGGGAAGAAAGUGCAUUAAAUCUCAAUUCUACUAGUACUACUACCAGGAUAUACCAUCCUUCGGGGUGUAAAUAGUUAUGCCGAUGACAUGUGGGUAUACCUCAAGAGGGCCCAUAUGUCAGUUAAUGGAGGAGAGAGGUGCGUAGGCGUAUUUGCGGGAUCGUGCUCCUCUGGCAAACAUGAUGGCAGUAUUGGGUAAGGCUGAUUUAGUAACACCAACACGUUGGUUCAGCUUAUUAAUUAAGUGUCCCAUCUGCUACAACAUGUAUUGUCACUUCAGUGUGAAGACUAGUUGAAUAGUUCUCUCUAAUCGGGAUGAAGAAUAAUGGAUCGCUAAGACUUCCUAUCUACAAUAUCCCUAUGCCUCUACGCUCAUCCUGUCCAACAAGAUGAAACAUUGGCCAAGGCACCCGGCGCCAAUAAUGUAGGAGUACCAGUACUACCUCCUUUAUGGUUUAUAGGGCUCAAUUCAAAAAUCUCAUCAACCAAGGUAGAUGGUGAGUGGUGGAAUAAUUUUUGUAGUUUGCAAAAACACUCAAUUAAUACACUCAUUUUCCUUAAAAAAAUAUGUUUACCAAUGCAUUAAUUUUGUGUCAAACUUUAACCAUCUACUCACCAAAAAUCAUAUCACUGGGUUCGUAUUUGAACAUAGUUUUUAAUGGUAUAGUUUUUUAUGACAUGCAUUGACACUUUGUUAGUCAAAUUUACGUUCAAAAUUUUACACUAAGUAUGAAGGGGACCAUUAAACCAGGACGGAGGUUUAUAUACAGGUCAAUAAAAAAAUCAUCAACCAAUGUAGUAGUUAAUGAUGAGUGCCUGAAGAUUUUUCUUCCGAAAGUACUCAAUAAUGGGCUCGUUUUCCUCAAGCAAAUUGUGUUUACGAACGUAUUAGUUGGAACGCAUGCGUGAGGAACAAAUGACUAGAACUUUUACACGCAUUGGUGAGUUAUCUCUUAAUUCUUGCAUGCAACAUUUUAAUGAAGCUUGAAAUAUGAACAUGUCAAUGGGAGGGAGUAAAAGCCUCAUGCAUGCAACAUGCAACACUCACACGUACACAUGGACGCACGCAACACUCAUGCACCCAUGCGACACACAGCACACGACGCAACACACACGCUCAUGCUCAAGUGCUCAACCUACUCCCUAUGUCCGUGAAAGACUCUACAUAUAGAGAUUUACACAUUGACCAGGGCAUAAUUAACGCCCAAAAGUAGCAGACUUAUGUGUGCAUGCGACCGUUGAGAGAAGAAGAUUAAAUGAAGGUUGUUGCAUGCUGUAAUUAAGGAUAGACAUGUAGCCUAUAGCUAGAGCACAAGUUAGUGCAUUAGUCAAUCAAUAUCGAUUAGAUAAAAGGCUAAAUGCAUUGGAAGUGUAGAUGUACACUCUUUGUUUUUGAGCCAAUGUACACUCUUUGUUGGAAGACCGAGGGAGUACACGUGCAUGCACUCACAUACACAGCCAGGGUGGUUUCCGCGCAAGGGUUGGACUCCAGUCGCGCCUGCAUAAAGUUUUGUUUAACUGAUUUCUUUGCUCUGCCAACUAACAGAUGGGACCCAGAAACUAGGUGUCAAUUUAACCAGUGAACAAAGUGCCAUGUCGACUAUGUGGCCGGUCAGUAGGGUGCAAUACGGUGCUCUACGAUGAGCUAGUGAUCGUAUAAUCACCACAAAACUAUAUAGUGACCCUAAAGAGCGUAUUUUUACAUAUGUUGACCGCCGAUGUAUUUUUCUCGUUUCAAAUUAAGCCAUAUUAACCGGAAAGGACGCAGUAUGUACUAGUACUGCUUUGAUGUGUCCCUGUUAACUCACCGAACGAGGAGAAGCUUGCUUACUACUCCCUCUCCCUCGCUCACGCGCGCGGUGGCUCAUAGGACGAGGAGAGGGUUUUGACUAUAGCGCCCUCUCCCUCUCCCUCGCCCUCGCCCUCGCGGUGGACGUGCAGCAGUUCAAUCGGUGUGAGAUUGCCAAAAGCAUAUUAUACUGUAGUAUCAUCAUUGUUGGACCUUCCGAAGAGGCGAAGAGGCAAGUGCAAGGUUCACACGAGUACGAAAUGUUGAACCUCCCGAAGAGGCAAAGAGCCAAGUGCAAGGUUUUAUAGAAGUUGUCGUCCUAGUAGGAGUACUACAACUAUAGCGAAUGAUGCUACUGUAUGAUGCCGCCACGUCACCUAUAUCCAAAGCUGUGCCACCUUUUUUUCUCAAAGAGCGUGUUGGAGCACGUGCAACAACCACACAAGUUGCACGUACACAUAACACAUUUACUAAUAAUAAAUUCUAAAGGACAAAUGCCAGUAUGCCAGACAAGUUCGUCUCCACUUCAUGUGAUAAAUUUGUGCAUGACUAGUCUACAUAUAUUCAUAGCGCUACCGUUCACAAUUUACCAUACUUCACUUACACGUUAUAGAUGGGCUACAUGUCCUCCUCUAGGUUCCAGUCCCAGGUGUUCUUCAUGGAUGGCACGAUCCAUAGCGGUGGGCAACGGGAAUCAUUAUCGCGGCUUUCUAGACCGAUUCCACACGACGGAGACUCAUCCAAGCUAAAGCGGCAUAAAUCAGGGAUAGCGUGUCCCAGCAUGUCAUUCAUCCGACGGUGCGCAGUGAAGACACAACCAUGCUUCAUGAAUGACAGGCCUUCGGUGUCGUGCAUGGAAGGUGGCAUCCGCUUCACAAUGGGGUAGCUAUCCCCAAUGAAAAGUGAGUACUCUCCAAGAGUGUUCCUCGGCAACCAGGUAGCAUCAUGGGGGUCGAACUCGGCACCGUUCAUCUGGUACACGCGGCAUCUCAGAUUUGGACACAUGGUGACGUACAUAGUCAAGGUCCAUGCAUAAUAAUGUUGUGCUCAAAUAUGGCUGUCUGUAAUACUGUGCAGCAAAUAGUACUACUCCGGUAUAGAGGAAGUAAAAUAACAGGCUUAUUAUAUAUAGCCACUCUUGGCUACAUGGAUGAGAUAGUAAGACAUGGAAAAACAAAAAUGGUGGGAGCUAGUGGGUUCAAGUCUUCAACGGCCUAGCUAGCUAUACGCGUCCUCCAAGGUCAAAAUUACUCCUACUACUCCCUCCGUCUAGGUGAGUAAGUCAUCUUAGGUUGUGCACCGUGACCAAGGAAGAGGGGAAAACAAGAGACCUUAAUGUUUAUUUGCAAAUUAAUAGCAUUGCAUGCAAUGAACUAACCACCGCAUGUCGUGUUUGGUAGUCUCAAGUUAUUAAAAGCAUGCACACCUCUCGUCUCUUAUUGGUUGAUAUGUGAAGAAACAAGAAACGAGGUAGAAGUUAAUGCACCGCACCUGAGUGUUUUGGGAUUAUUUGGUUUUCGUAAGAUGACUUACACACCUAGACGGAGGGAGUAGAACUAGUAAGUAGUACAACAAUGAAAGAGAAGGCGAGGGGGUUAAAAAAUAUAAUACUAAAUUGUACUACUAGUAUAGUAAACAUGUCCCAGUCAAGAAAAGAAAAUAGCUAAAAGUACUAGUACUCUACUACUCUAACACACAACAAUGAUAAAAUGGAAUACCUAGGUAGAUGGUGAUGGUCCGAUCGUGGUAGAUUGUGUGACCAUGUUGCACAUCAGUGGUACCAUGUGUAACGACUGCUAAGAUAGUUGACCCAGUAUGCCAAAGUCAGCUACAAGGUUCCAGGUUAGACCGAAUCGCAGAUGCAAAUGCACAUCCAGGAUCGGUGAUCUUAUUUUGAUCGAGGAUAACUCGUCCCUGCAAAACAAUGGAGUACCGUUAGGGAUGCAAAUGAUGGUUUGUGCAUUCCGUUUGUAAUCUCCCAUACCGUAGGAUGGCAACAACAUGAACAAGUCCUCUGGCUUGUCACCGCGAAGAUGCGGCCUAGAUGGCACACAACGUCUUCGAACAUGUAGGGGUAAAAAUUUGAUGCGGCCAACAUGCGCCAGCCUCUGCCGUUACUGCCUCUUGCAUUGAUGGCAAUCCUUAUGUCGAACACCGCGAUGAGAUAGUAAUCGUCGUAGUCGCAUAGCUUUGUUGGCGGGUCCGCAAUUGCUAUCUUCUUCAAUCUCAUGUAGGCAUCAUCAUACGUAUUCAAGCCCAGACAGUCUGGAAGGCAGAUCCUAAUGGUGGAGAAGGGGUCUACGGGAACGGCCGCACUGCUGUCGAUGUUGUGCAAAAUGAUGGUGGUUGCAAGCCAAUCUUCAUUGGCACCGACCCAGACCUAAAUAUAUGACGGUGGGCAGCGGAGAAAUUACGAGAUGGAAAUGGAAUAACUAAGUACUACAUGGUCAAACUCCAUGACUGACCUGCUCAUUGGACAAAAUACGACUACCUCUCAACGUCGGCAACUCUAGCGGAGUCAACGUGCAACCAUGGCCAGGGAGCGGUGGAUUGUUUGAAGGAUUGUCCCAUAGAAGAACCUUCUCCUCGAGGACGCAUGGAAGACCAACAAGCAUGGCCUUUUCCCAAGCCUGUUUAAGCACCGUCUUAAAAAAGUUGGUGCAGGAAGCACCAAGUCUUGUGGCAGUGAGGACGUCGGAGCGGCGUGCGAUUUCUACCAUAGGAUCGUCGUCCAAGGUCUCCCAGCCCCAACGAGGAGGAGAACCGCCUGGCGAAUCCAUGGGAGCAGCGACGAACUGCCUUCUCUUCGGGGGGGAGGGGAACUAGCGAGGAGGAGAUAAGAGCGUAGUAACCGCAGGGCCUCGUUCCUUCCAACUGUAGCUCCUCGAUCGCUCCUUAGCGAAGUGGUGAGGCUAUUAUUUACUACGUACUAGUACUGUAGUAGUACUAGUACUACUUUCUCAACUAGUAGUGUGAUGUACUGUACUUCUAGUAUAGUGCACCAGUUUUGAACUCUUGAAUCUCAGGGCCAAGGAGCUACAGUUGGAAGUGGAGGGUACUAUUGUUCUCUAGAACCAUCACUGUACUAUCAAUGCAGGGAAAGUACACCUGCGUAGUGGUACUAUCGGUGCUCUAUUCAAGCGCGUAGCUGGCCUACUCAGCCGUUCCUCUCACACACACACUAGCAGCCUAUUUAUCAGCGACGGUUACUGCGGGGGUGGAACAUUUGAGUUAUUUGAUACAGUGAGACUAGGCUUUUCGCUUCCAUUUGUGGAGGUGUAAUGGAUCUCGUCGAACUUUGUUAGUAGUUCCUUCUUUAUGAAUGAGAUGAGGCAAGGCUUUUGCCUCCGUUUCAAAAAAAAAAUCACGCUAGGAGGAAUUUCUUUCACAGAGCCGAUAAUGGAGUGAAGUCCUUGCGUGCAACGCCACAACCUACAGAGUAGUAGAGUACUAGCACUAUACGUACAGAGCCAUAUUGCAUAUUCCCAAUGCCGCGCCAGGCUUUUCCGGCUCCUCGGGCUUAAUUGGGAGGCCCUAGUUUAAAUAUGCUAGCUGAUGAGGAAGCUGCAAGCGAGGUGCGGCUAGGGCGAGCAUGUAGGUGAGAAACUUUGCAUGGUUUGAAUUGAUAUAUAGGAGUACUACUCUAGUACGCGAGCCACUAGAUGAUGGGAGGGAAAACCUGCUCACAUGAUUGUGCUAUCCGGUGCACCCAGAUUGUGGUCCGGCAUGUUCGUUCGACUUCAAAAGUCAAUAUACUAGUGUACAAUAUUGGCACGCAGCGAAGUUACUAUUUAAAAAAAGGUCGCCGUGCGUUCGACCGGGAUCGAACCCACAAAACGAGCUAUACACUCCCGCGACCACUAGUAGUACUCGUUGGAGUACAACGCAGCCUAGAAUCACCUUUUGUCGCUAGUACAUUGUUCCUUACAAGAAACCAUAAUAAUGCCAAGAAACCACUAAUAAUGCCAAGAAACUACUACCACUUGCAUACGUGGUAGACUUAAGAUAAGACUACCUUAUCAACCAUUGUACAUGCCCUUACCAACCAGCCCUACCAAGAAACAAAGUGCCGUUAUAGGCACGUUUCAACCCAUUUCGCCCCUUAAGUCAACGCCUUCUAUUUGAUCGGCAAGUUAGGCGUUAUGACUUGUGGGACCUACAUGUUAGUUUGGACAAAAAUCCCGAGUGACUUCCCACCUCUGGCCCGUCCACCUAGUCAUCCUCGGCCAUGGGACACAGCUACCGCCGCCGGCAGAAGGCGAGGUAAAAACCGCCGUGGUGCGGAGCCCAUCUUGCGGCAGCUCGGAUGCCAGCUCCGUCCGGCGCUCGCGGUCGCUAGCUAGCCAAGAUAGCACACACCCUACUGGAUGCAUCCAGCUGCUUGUCUGCAAGGUUUGCUAGCUAGAUUGACAUGGUGGUGCGGCGGCUUGCUCGCGCACGCCGCGCUAAGGCCAGCCAUCUGGCUCGAGCGAAGGCCAGCAGGCGGCUUGCUCACGCGUGAGUCACACUCGGGCCAGCCAGACAACCCGGGUGGAGGCCAGCGCGGCGUCCGGCCCCUCCGGUGGAGCGGCGGCCAACUCGCUCAUCAUCGACACCACCGACGAACAUGCAUCAGUACUGUUUGAAGUAAUAUUCAGGAAAAAUAAUGAUUUGAGGGGAAUAACAGGAUAGAAGGUCAGAUGUGGGUCUCUCGUGUCAACGGUAACACAAAAUGUGUUUGUUUAAGCUGCCAAAUCAGCACGUACGUGUGGGCCAACCCUAUCAUAAGCGGGUUUAACGAGCCUAAUCGGCACUAGGUAGUAGUUUUUGGCGCGGGUUAAGAAUUUUUGGGUAUGUUUUUGUUAUUUUUUGUACAAUAGUUUCUUCCUAGGGCUGGUUGAAAGUGGUAGUUUUUUUGUUAAAUACUCUACAUACUGUAAGUAGGAGUGAAAGUUAAGCUUUGGAAGCCAAUAAGCAAGGCUAGUUACAUACACUACUGGAAUCUGGCAUUUUGCCGUCUGCCACCUCUUUGUCGUCUGCCAGCUGACGAUAAAGAGGUUGUUUACCGUCCGCUUUGAGGAAGCCGACGGCAAAGAAAGAGCUGAUGGCAAAAAGCGUAUUUGCUGUGAGCUGCUUCUUUGCCAUCAGCCAGCGGACGACAAAGAGAUAAAAGGCAGACAACAAAGAGCCAGGUGGGCCCCACAGGGCACGGCGUGGCUAGGUCAGCUUCUUGGCCGUCUGCUAGCGGACGACAAAGAGGUGACUACUUUGCCGACUGCUAGCCGACGACAAUGUUCCUCCUUUGCCGUCCGCUAGCGGACGACAAAGAGGAGACGUGGGCCAGCCCUGACGGCCGCCCUCUUUGCCGUAUGCUAGUAGACGGCAAAGAAGGCCCACUUAACGGGUGGACGAUGUCUCCCUCUGUCUCUCUCUUUCUCUGUGCCUCCCGCGCGCCUGCCUCUCUCCUCCUGUCGCCGCCGUCGCAGUCNNNNNNNNNNNNNNNNNNNNNNNNNNNNNNNNNNNNNNNNNNNNNNNNNNNNNNNNNNNNNNNNNNNNNNNNNNNNNNNNNNNNNNNNNNNNNNNNNNNNCCACACCCCGAUACACUGACACCACACCCCGACCCCGACCCCGACAACCUAACUCCCUGACACCCCGAUCGACCCCGACACCCUGACACCACACCCUGACCCCGACCCCGACCCCGACGGGGUCAUAUAUUUGUGAAUUAUGAGUUAGGUCAUAUAUUGUUCGACUUUGAUAUGCAAAACAUCAUAUAUAUUUGUGUUGAUCGGGUGGAUAUAAAUGUGUAGUUGUUUCGUCGCUGCGAGGGUGUGGUGUUUGACAACCUCCCCGUGCGUUCGACGAGCUCCGCCCCUACGUUCGUUGGUGAGCACAAAUGACAUCUCCUCCUCCCCCUUCAUUUUCUCUGUUCCGGUCUUCGUGCCGAUGAAACUUGCUAGCUAUGGGUGUCAAUCAUCAAUAUUCGUAACCACUAUGCGUCUCCCGUUUGAAAGGGUUACAUCUAUAAAUAUGCAUGCAUUUGCAUAUUUAUAAUCGUGAUUCUUUCGAAUUGUCCAACUUUAUCCAUGGACAGCCCGAGUAUGUGUAGAUUGGGUUCGUUUUCCCAUAUGCUCUGCUUCGGAUCCGAUGCAGAAUUUUGUAAGUGCCUCCCUGUUGUUCUCUGGGUACACAUCCUCUCUGCUUAUUGCCGAAACGUGUAUCAGGUGAACAGCGGGGAGGUGCUGCCAAAAUUUUGCAUCGGAUCCGGAGAAGAGCAUGGGAAAACGAACCCAAUGUACACGCACUCGGGUGGGAUUAGGACCUAUCUUUACCUAUUAGCGUGUAGGUUGCAUGGACGUAACAAAACUGACAAACUCCAUUAACUGAUGGAUAUGGUUUGCUUAAUUAUGUAUAUAUUUCUUGUGUGUCCAGUAGGAAGUCAAUAUGAGUGAUCGUGCGUGGAUGUACACCGGUUACACUAUUCAAAAAGUUUGGACCUAGGAAUGGUUAACAAAAACCAAGGGGUUUGUUAAAGACGCAUUUGCAAAUGGCCAGAAAUUAUGCUGGUGCCCCUGUGUCCGGUGCGACAACUAUAAUAAGAGGGACGAGCUUGAAAUGAGUAAACACCUACAGAAAUUAAGCUACUUCUCUUCUCGCUCUUAUUUGCGUAUGUUAGCCACCAUAUAUGCUUAGUCGCGGCUGCAACCUCACCACUUAUCCUUUCCUUUCCCAUUAAGCUUUGCUAGUCUUGAUACCCAUGAUUAUGGGAUUGCUGAGUCCUCGUGGCUCACAGAUUACUACAACAACAGUUGCAGGUGCAGGUUUUGCGAUGAUCAUGACGUGAGAGCGAUGUUACUUGUUUUGGAGUUCUUCUUCUGCUUCUUCUUUGAUCAGGGGAUAGGUUCCAGGUCGGCAGCCUGGGCUAGCAGGGUGGAUGUCAUUUGAGUUUCUGUUUGUGUUCCAUCCGUAGUCGGAUGAUGCUCUUGUGUAUGAUGUUGUUGUAUUCGUGUGGCAUUGUAAGCCUCUUGUAUGUAUCCCCAACUAUUAUGUAAUGGUAUGAUGUAAUGAUAUCCACCUUGCAAAAGCGUCUUCAAUAUGCGCUUCUAUCCUUGGUGGGACCUUCGAGUUCCUUUAGGAUAGGGUCGGAUAUUGGGCGUGACACUUUUGUACCUAGUGAUUGUACUAAUCAGUGUUGUCUUGUUUGAUUGCAGACCUUCUACAGGGUUUCAGAGGGAGAGUAGGAGGCCGCGUCUAUGGUUGUCGAAGCCGAGUGCAAGCGCCUACUUCAGAACUUAUGACAUGAGGCUCGGGUGCAGGCUGUUCGAGACUACUACUCCUCGAAGGGUAUUAGGAGGGGCAAGAAGAAGUGUCGCGACAAGUUUUCGAGUGAGGAGAAGUACUUGCAGGUACUUACCUAUUCUUAAGGCCUUGAACUUAGUUUUCUUGAUUUGAUUCAUAGGCGUAGCACUGAAAUUUCUCUUGACUAACUUAGGUGCCCCCGAGAUGGUGUGCGGAUAAGAUGGACUGUUGGGAGGUGUUGGUGGAUGCAUGGUGCUCUCCCCAAUGGCUAGAAGAAGAAGAAGAAGAAGAAGAAGAAGAAGAAGAAGAAGAANNNNNNNNNNNNNNNNNNNNNNNNNNNNNNNNNNNNNNNNNNNNNNNNNNNNNNNNNNNNNNNNNNNNNNNNNNNNNNNNNNNNNNNNNNNNNNNNNNNNNNNNNNNNNNNNNNNNNNNNNNNNNNNNNNNNNNNNNNNNNNNNNNNNNNNNNNNNNNNNNNNNNNNNNNNNNNNNNNNNNNNNNNNNNNNNNNNNNNNNNNNNNNNNNNNNNNNNNNNNNNNNNNNNNNNNNNNNNNNNNNNNNNNNNNNNNNNNNNNNNNNNNNNNNNNNNNNNNNNNNNNNNNNNNNNNNNNNNNNNNNNNNNNNNNNNNNNNNNNNNNNNNNNNNNNNNNNNNNNNNNNNNNNNNNNNNNNNNNNNNNNNNNNNNNNNNNNNNNNNNNNNNNNNNNNNNNNNNNNNNNNNNNNNNNNNNNNNNNNNNNNNNNNNNNNNNNNNNNNNNNNNNNNNNNNNNNNNNNNNNNNNNNNNNNNNNNNNNNNNNNNNNNNNNNNNNNNNNNNNNNNNNNNNNNNNNNNNNNNNNNNNNNNNNNNNNNNNNNNNNNNNNNNNNNNNNNNNNNNNNNNNNNNNNNNNNNNNNNNNNNNNNNNNNNNNNNNNNNNNNNNNNNNNNNNNNNNNNNNNNNNNNNNNNNNNNNNNNNNNNNNNNNNNNNNNNNNNNNNNNNNNNNNNNNNNNNNNNNNNNNNNNNNNNNNNNNNNNNNNNNNNNNNNNNNNNNNNNNNNNNNNNNNNNNNNNNNNNNNNNNNNNNNNNNNNNNNNNNNNNNNNNNNNNNNNNNNNNNNNNNNNNNNNNNNNNNNNNNNNNNNNNNNNNNNNNNNNNNNNNNNNNNNNNNNNNNNNNNNNNNNNNNNNNNNNNNNNNNNNNNNNNNNNNNNNNNNNNNNNNNNNNNNNNNNNNNNNNNNNNNNNNNNNNNNNNNNNNNNNNNNNNNNNNNNNNNNNNNNNNNNNNNNNNNNNNNNNNNNNNNNNNNNNNNNNNNNNNNNNNNNNNNNNNNNNNNNNNNNNNNNNNNNNNNNNNNNNNNNNNNNNNNNNNNNNNNNNNNNNNNNNNNNNNNNNNNNNNNNNNNNNNNNNNNNNNNNNNNNNNNNNNNNNNNNNNNNNNNNNNNNNNNNNNNNNNNNNNNNNNNNNNNNNNNNNNNNNNNNNNNNNNNNNNNNNNNNNNNNNNNNNNNNNNNNNNNNNNNNNNNNNNNNNNNNNNNNNNNNNNNNNNNNNNNNNNNNNNNNNNNNNNNNNNNNNNNNNNNNNNNNNNNNNNNNNNNNNNNNNNNNNNNNNNNNNNNNNNNNNNNNNNNNNNNNNNNNNNNNNNNNNNNNNNNNNNNNNNNNNNNNNNNNNNNNNNNNNNNNNNNNNNNNNNNNNNNNNNNNNNNNNNNNNNNNNNNNNNNNNNNNNNNNNNNNNNNNNNNNNNNNNNNNNNNNNNNNNNNNNNNNNNNNNNNNNNNNNNNNNNNNNNNNNNNNNNNNNNNNNNNNNNNNNNNNNNNNNNNNNNNNNNNNNNNNNNNNNNNNNNNNNNNNNNNNNNNNNNNNNNNNNNNNNNNNNNNNNNNNNNNNNNNNNNNNNNNNNNNNNNNNNNNNNNNNNNNNNNNNNNNNNNNNNNNNNNNNNNNNNNNNNNNNNNNNNNNNNNNNNNNNNNNNNNNNNNNNNNNNNNNNNNNNNNNNNNNNNNNNNNNNNNNNNNNNNNNNNNNNNNNNNNNNNNNNNNNNNNNNNNNNNNNNNNNNNNNNNNNNNNNNNNNNNNNNNNNNNNNNNNNNNNNNNNNNNNNNNNNNNNNNNNNNNNNNNNNNNNNNNNNNNNNNNNNNNNNNNNNNNNNNNNNNNNNNNNNNNNNNNNNNNNNNNNNNNNNNNNNNNNNNNNNNNNNNNNNNNNNNNNNNNNNNNNNNNNNNNNNNNNNNNNNNNNNNNNNNNNNNNNNNNNNNNNNNNNNNNNNNNNNNNNNNNNNNNNNNNNNNNNNNNNNNNNNNNNNNNNNNNNNNNNNNNNNNNNNNNNNNNNNNNNNNNNNNNNNNNNNNNNNNNNNNNNNNNNNNNNNNNNNNNNNNNNNNNNNNNNNNNNNNNNNNNNNNNNNNNNNNNNNNNNNNNNNNNNNNNNNNNNNNNNNNNNNNNNNNNNNNNNNNNNNNNNNNNNNCCACACCCCGAUACACUGACACCACACCCCGACCCCGACCCCGACAACCUAACUCCCUGACACCCCGAUCGACCCCGACACCCUGACACCACACCCUGACCCCGACCCCGACCCCGACGGGGUCAUAUAUUUGUGAAUUAUGAGUUAGGUCAUAUAUUGUUCGACUUUGAUAUGCAAAACAUCAUAUAUAUUUGUGUUGAUCGGGUGGAUAUAAAUGUGUAGUUGUUUCGUCGCUGCGAGGGUGUGGUGUUUGACAACCUCCCCGUGCGUUCGACGAGCUCCGCCCCUACGUUCGUUGGUGAGCACAAAUGACAUCUCCUCCUCCCCCUUCAUUUUCUCUGUUCCGGUCUUCGUGCCGAUGAAACUUGCUAGCUAUGGGUGUCAAUCAUCAAUAUUCGUAACCACUAUGCGUCUCCCGUUUGAAAGGGUUACAUCUAUAAAUAUGCAUGCAUUUGCAUAUUUAUAAUCGUGAUUCUUUCGAAUUGUCCAACUUUAUCCAUGGACAGCCCGAGUAUGUGUAGAUUGGGUUCGUUUUCCCAUAUGCUCUGCUUCGGAUCCGAUGCAGAAUUUUGUAAGUGCCUCCCUGUUGUUCUCUGGGUACACAUCCUCUCUGCUUAUUGCCGAAACGUGUAUCAGGUGAACAGCGGGGAGGUGCUGCCAAAAUUUUGCAUCGGAUCCGGAGAAGAGCAUGGGAAAACGAACCCAAUGUACACGCACUCGGGUGGGAUUAGGACCUAUCUUUACCUAUUAGCGUGUAGGUUGCAUGGACGUAACAAAACUGACAAACUCCAUUAACUGAUGGAUAUGGUUUGCUUAAUUAUGUAUAUAUUUCUUGUGUGUCCAGUAGGAAGUCAAUAUGAGUGAUCGUGCGUGGAUGUACACCGGUUACACUAUUCAAAAAGUUUGGACCUAGGAAUGGUUAACAAAAACCAAGGGGUUUGUUAAAGACGCAUUUGCAAAUGGCCAGAAAUUAUGCUGGUGCCCCUGUGUCCGGUGCGACAACUAUAAUAAGAGGGACGAGCUUGAAAUGAGUAAACACCUACAGAAAUUAAGCUACUUCUCUUCUCGCUCUUAUUUGCGUAUGUUAGCCACCAUAUAUGCUUAGUCGCGGCUGCAACCUCACCACUUAUCCUUUCCUUUCCCAUUAAGCUUUGCUAGUCUUGAUACCCAUGAUUAUGGGAUUGCUGAGUCCUCGUGGCUCACAGAUUACUACAACAACAGUUGCAGGUGCAGGUUUUGCGAUGAUCAUGACGUGAGAGCGAUGUUACUUGUUUUGGAGUUCUUCUUCUGCUUCUUCUUUGAUCAGGGGAUAGGUUCCAGGUCGGCAGCCUGGGCUAGCAGGGUGGAUGUCAUUUGAGUUUCUGUUUGUGUUCCAUCCGUAGUCGGAUGAUGCUCUUGUGUAUGAUGUUGUUGUAUUCGUGUGGCAUUGUAAGCCUCUUGUAUGUAUCCCCAACUAUUAUGUAAUGGUAUGAUGUAAUGAUAUCCACCUUGCAAAAGCGUCUUCAAUAUGCGCUUCUAUCCUUGGUGGGACCUUCGAGUUCCUUUAGGAUAGGGUCGGAUAUUGGGCGUGACACUUUCGUACCUAGUGAUUGUACUAAUCAGUGUUGUCUUGUUUGAUUGCAGACCUUCUACAGGGUUUCAGAGGGAGAGUAGGAGGCCGCGUCUAUGGUUGUCGAAGCCGAGUGCAAGCGCCUACUUCAGAACUUAUGACAUGAGGCUCGGGUGCAGGCUGUUCGAGACUACUACUCCUCGAAGGGUAUUAGGAGGGGCAAGAAGAAGUGUCGCGACAAGUUUUCGAGUGAGGAGAAGUACUUGCAGGUACUUACCUAUUCUUAAGGCCUUGAACUUAGUUUUCUUGAUUUGAUUCAUAGGCGUAGCACUGAAAUUUCUCUUGACUAACUUAGGUGCCCCCGAGAUGGUGUGCGGAUAAGAUGGACUGUUGGGAGGUGUUGGUGGAUGCAUGGUGCUCUCCCCAAUGGCUAGUCGAACACCAUAGGGCCAAGGAUAAGCGUGACCAAAUGGUUGGUGUGCCACACCAUCAAGGGAGCUCCAACCUGUUUGAGUACGGGGAUCAUUGGGUAUGUGGUUUGCUACAUGAUUCAUGCAAUUUCAUUCUUCAUGCUAGCAUUUUUCCCUUCCAAAAUGACUUAAUAUGCUUAGUUAGUUAAAAGAUGGCAUAACAACCUUGGAUAGUACAUUUAUGACAUAAUUAGCUCUAAAAUGACAUAAUAACCUUAGAUAGCUCUAUAAAAUAACUAAAUAUGCUUUAGUUAGUUAAAAAAUGGCAUAACUACCUUGGAUAGCUCAAUAACGACCUAAACUAAUCUUAGCUAGUUCGUUCAUGACAUAAUUAGCUCUAAAAUGACAUAAUAACCUUAGAUAGCUCUAUAAAAUGCCUAAAUAUGCUUUAGUUAGAUAAAAAAUGGCAUAACUACCUUGGAUAGCUCAAUAAUGACAUAAUUAGCAUACUUUCGUCAAAAAUGGCAUAAUAAUCUUGGUUACCUCCAAAAUGACCAAACUUAGCUUAUUUUCCUCAAAAAUGACAUAAUAACCUUACUUAGCUCCAAAAUGACCUAUUUACAUAGCAAUAUCAUUCUUCAUGCUAGCUUGAGCCCUUAACUAAUAUUUUGUUCCUCUCUCUCUCAGGCGCACCACAACAAGAAGCCUGUGCCAAAUCUGUUCGACCUCUAUGGCAUGGCCCAUAGUGCCCCUUACAAGAAGGCCAAGGCAUUCUCGGAGGAAGACCUAGAUCAUCCAGAGAGCUUCACCAACAUCUCCUCCCACCACAAGCUCGUGAAGUACAGAGACAAGGGGAAGGCGAGGAAAGGCGAGGACUUUAACCCGAGCCAAGAUCCUUUUGAUACAGAGCUGGUGAUGAUAUCUGGUGGCGGGAGGUCCCAUGGCUCCAUAUCCAUUGGUGAUGCACUGAUACAUUGUCCUAGGACUCUCCCGCAGAUCAAGAAGUGCCAGAGUAGCUCUGAUCCUGAGAUAACGCCUCGUGCACGACCCGCGGAGCUCGCCAUGCCGGUUAGUUAUAUGGACUCUCCCACCUUUCCUCCAUUACAUUGUGUGUGCGUCCAUCAAUGAUUACAAUGCUAACGAGGAGUGUUGUGUGAUAACCCACAAGUGUAGGGGAUCGCAACAGCUUUCGAGGGUAGAGUAUUCAACCCAAAUUUAUUGAUUCGACACAAGGGGAGCCAAAGAAUAUUCUUAAGUAUUAGCAGUUGAGUUGUCAAUUCAACCACACUUGGAUAACUUAGUAUCUACAGCAAGGUAUUUAGUAGCAAAGUAAUAUGACAGUAAUGGUAACAUUGGUAAAGGUAAAGAUAGCAGUAUUGUAGUGAUUGUAACAGUAGCAACAGAAAAGUAAAUAAGCGAAGCACAAUAUGUGAAAAGCUCAUAGGCAUUGGAUCAGUGAUGGAUAAUUAUGUCGGAUGCGAUUCCUCAUGUAAUAGUUAUAACAUAGGGUGACACAGAACCAGCUCCAGCUCAUCAAUGUAAUGUACGCAUGUAUUUUCCAAAUAUAGUCAUACGUGCUUAUGGAAAAGAACUUGCAUGACAUCUUUUGUCCUACCCUCCCAUGGCAGCGGGGUCCUAAUGGAAACUAAGGGAUAUUAAGGCCUCCUUUUAUAGAGAACCGAACCAAAGCAUUAGCACUUAGUGAAUACAUGAACUCCUCAAACUACGGUCAUCACCGAGAAGUAUCCCGAUUAUUGUCACUUCGGGGUUGUUGGAUCAUAACACAUAAUAGGUGACUAUAGACUUGCAAGAUAGGAUCAAGAACUCACAUAUAUUCAUGAAAACAUAAUAGGUUCAGAUCUGAAAUCAUGGCACUCGGGCCCUAGUGACAAGCAUUAAGCAUAGCAAAGUCAUAGCAACAUUAAUCUCAUAACAUAGUGGAUACUAGGGAUCAAACCCUAACAAAACUAACUUGAUUACAUGGUAAAUCUCAUCCAACCCAUCACCGUCCAGCAAGCCUACGAUGGAAUUACUCACGCACGGCGGUGAGCAUCAUGAAAUUGGUGAUGGAGGAUGGUUGAUGAUGACGACAGCGACGAAUCCCCCUCUCCGGAGCACCGAACGGACUCCAGAUCAGCCCUCCUGAGAGGUUUUAGGGCUUGGCGGCGGCUCCAUAUCGUAAAACACGAUGAAACUUCCUCUCUGAUUUUUUCUUCGCGAAACGGAAUAUAUGGAGUUGGAGUUGAGGUCGGUGGAGCAGUAGGGGGCCCACGAGACAGGGGGGCGCUCCCAGGGGGAGGGCGCGUGCCCCCCACCCUCGUGGACAGGGUGUGGGCCCCCUGGCCUUCAUCUUUUGCCAGUAUUUUUUAUAUUUUCCAAAGGUUAUCUCCAUGGUUUUCAGGUCAUUCCGAGAACUUUUGUUUCUGCACAAAAAUAACAUCAUGGCAAUUCUACUGAAAACACCGUCAGUCCGGGUUAGUUCCAUUCAAAUCAUGCAAGUUAGAGUCCAAAACAAGGGCAAAAGUGUUUGGAAAAGUAGAUACGUUGGAGACGUAUCAACUCCCCCAAGCUUAAACCUUUGCUUGUCCUCAAGCAAUUCAGUUGAUAAACUGAAAGUGAUAAAGAAAAACUUUUACAAACUCUAUUUGCUCUUGUUGUUGUAAAUAUGUAAAGCCAGCAUUCAAGUUUUCAGCAAAGAUUAUGAACUAACCACAUUCACAAUAACACUUAGGUCUCAUGUUUACUCAUAUCAAUGGCAUAAUCAACUAGCGAUCAAUAAUAAUAUAACUCGGAUGACAACACUUUCUCAAAACAAUCAUAAUAUGAUAUAACAAGAUGGUAUCUCGCUAGCCCUUUCUGAGACCGCAAAACAUAAAUGCAGAGCACCUUUAAAGAUCAAGGACUGACUAAACAUUGUAAUUCAUGGUAAAAGAGAUCUAGUCAAGUCAUACCCGAUAUAAACUAACAGUAAUGCAUACAAAUGACAGUGUGCUCUCCAGCGAGUGCUUUUUAAUAAGAGGGUGAUGACUCGACAUAAAGGUAAAUAGAUAGGCCCUUCGUAGAGGGAAGCAGGGAUUUGUAGAGGUGCCAGAGCUCGAUUUUAAAAUAGAGAGAUAAAUAACAUUUUGAGUGACAUACUUUCACUGUCAAUGCAAAAACUAUGAGAUGGCGAUAUCUUCCAUACUACAUACAUUAUAGGCGGUUCCCAAACAGAAUGGUAAAGUUUAUACCCCCUCCCACCACCAACAAGCAUCAAUCCAUGGCUUGCUCGAAACAACGAGUGCCUCCAACUAACAACAAUCCUGGGGGAAUUUUGUUUAAUUAUUUUGGUUUGAUUUGAUCUUUUUGAUCAUGGGACUGGGCAUCCCGGUUACCGGACAUUUUCUCGUGAAUGAGGAGCGGAGUCCACUCCUCUUGAGAAUAACCCACCUAGCAUGGAAGAUACAGACAACCCUAGUUGAUACAUGAGCUUCUUGAGCAUACAAAAUAGAAUUUCAUUUGAAGGUUUGGAGUUUGGCACAUACAUAUUUACUUGGAAUGGCAGAUAGAUACCGCAUAUAGGAAGGUAUGGUGGACUCAUAUGGAAUAACUUUGGGGUUUAUGGAGUUUGGAUGCACAAGCAGUAUUCCCGCUUAGUAUAGGUGAAGGCUAGCAAAAGACUGGGAAGCGACCAACUGAGAGAGCGACAACAGUCAUAAACAUGCAUUAAAAUUAAUUUACACCAGAUACAAGCAUGAGUAGGAUAUAAUCCACCAUGAACAUAAAUAUCAUGAAGGCUAUGUUGAUUUUGUUUCAACUACAUGCGUGAACAUGUCCCAAGUCGAGUCACUCAAUUCAUUCAAAGGAGGAUACCAUCUCAUCAUACCACAUCACAAUCAUUUUAAUAGCAUGUUGGCACGCAAGGUAAACCAUUAUAACUCAUAGCUAAUUAAGCAUGGCAUAAGCAACUAUAAUCUCUAAAUGUCAUUGCAAAUAUGUCUACUUCAUAAUAGCUGAAUCAGGAAUGAUGAACUCAUCAUAUUUGCAAAACAAGAGAGGUCGAGUUCAUACCAGCUUUUCUCAUCUCAAUCAGUCCAUCAUAUAUCGUCAUUAUUGCCAUUCACUUGCACGACCAAACAAUGUGUAUAAUAAUAAGAGUGCACGUGCAUUGGACUAAGCUAGAAUCUGCAAGCAUUCAUUUCAAGAGAGAAGACAAAGUAAUAUGGGCUCUUGGUUAAAUAAACAAUCAUGCAUAUAAGAGUGACUAAACAUUUUCAUUAUAGUCUUCUACUCUCGACCCCCAAAGGAAAGAAAAUAAAUAAAACUAUUUACAUGGGAGAGCUCCCAACAAGUAAAAGAAGGACGAGAAAUCUUUUUGGGUUUUCAUUUUAAUUACUACUACAAGCUUGGAAUUUAAACUAACUAUUUUUGGUUUUUCAUAAGGUUUAUCAAACACACAAGAAGAAAGCUAGAAAAAGGAAAUUAAACUAGCAUGGAUAGCACAAUGAAAGAGUAUGAGCACCGACAACUAGAAUAAUGUGUGAACAUGAAUGUAAAGUUGGUGGGAAAUACGUACUCCCCCAAGCUUAGGCUUUUGGCCUAAGUUGGUCUAUGACCAUGGGUAGCGGCUACUCUCCUCGGUGUACUGAGGAGCAUCCUCGUACUGCCACUGGCUGGAGAUCUCCUCCGGAUCCCACUGAUAAAAUGAUGGACAAUAUGGAUCUAGUGGUGGUUUCGGCUCAGGCUCUAGAGCUGAUGUCUAGCCUCGGUGCGCGUAAACGGCCUCCGGUAAUACAAGGUAAUGACCUGCAGUUAAAUCAUACAAAGAAGGUGCAGGCAGGGUAAUAAUCUCAUUAUGUUUCUUAUUAAAUCUCAGGUUAUACAGGAGCAUCUUAUCAUUGUUGUAAACAAUAAACUCAUGUGCUACCAUGCUCCUGUAAUCUAAAAAGGUAAGAGGCAUAGAUGUCUCCUCUUCUUCAUCAUGUCUAAUAGGUAUCUCGAAAUAUUUAGCAAGGCGUGCAGCAUAGAUACCUCCAAAGAUAGGGCCUUUUGUACGGUUUAAGUUUAACCGUUUAGCAAUAACGGCACCCAUAUUAAAAGUGUUCUCACCGAAUAAGGCAUGGAGAAGAAUAAUAAGAUCAGGAACAUUGAAGUUUCCACUAUUUCCACGACCAAUUAAGCAUCGACUAGCAAAUAUGGCAAAGUAGCGUAAAACAGGAAAGUGUAUGCUAGUGAUUCUUGCAUCGGAACCCUUCUUUGGUUCCCCUACAGUAAUAGUAUCAAUGAAACCAUCCACAUCUUUACGAUGUGGUUCAUCUAAGCUACCCUCAAAGGGUAUUCUACAAACUGCGCAAAAAUUACGUAAUGACAUUUCCUUAGCCUCAUCAUAUAAAUGAAAAGAUACUAAAGGAGGUGAAUUAUUAGGAUGAUAAUAAAAGUUUUGCACGAAAGUAUUGGUAAGUAAGAGAUACUGUUCGAUCCGGUCGUGGAGGAAGUCGAUGAGGCCAAUAUUUUCCACUAAAGAAUAAAAGUCUUCAUAAAUCCCGGCUGCUCUCAAAAAUUAUCACAUGGCCACUCACAAGGCCUUACUUCCGCUACGCGAGGAAGAUUAUACUUGGCCUUUUCUUUCUCCUUGGCUUGCUUAUCCUUGGAGCCUUGGCUAGAAGAGCCCCUCAAGAGCCACCUCUUCAUCUUUUUCUGAAAAUUCUGAAAUUUUUAGUAACUUCAAAAUAAAAGUGAAACAAACUCAAUAUAAUUGAUAGCAACUACUCCCAUAAGUGCCUAGAGCCUAUAUCAUGCAUUAGAAUUACUUGGGACCUCACAAAUUUAACAUGCAAGCUCAAGAACAGGGUCACCAAGGCAGCAAGAAUUUGCAAUGAAUAAAUCACUAGAACAAAAACUAAUUGGAUCAUUGGAGGAGUCACAUACCAAGCAACAAUCUCCCAAAGCAGUUUUGUGAAUGGAGCUUUGAGCAAGGAGAUCGAAAAUCGCAGCAAAAUGAGCUAGAACUCGUGCUUGAGCUAGAUGGGGAUGUUUUUGGGAGGAAGAAGAAGUGUGUGGGUGCAGGAAUAAGUGGAGGGGGUCCACCGUGGGCACACCAGACAGGGGGGCGCGCCCAGGGGGAGUGGGCGCGCCCUCCACCCUUGUGGCCAGGUGCUUGACCCCCCCUGUAGUGUUCUCAGUGCCUAAAAUCCUCAAAUAUUCCAUAAAAAAUCAUACUAAAUUUGCAGGCCAUUUGGAGCACUUUUAUUUUCGGGAUAUUUUUUAUUGUAUGGAUAAUUCAGAAAACAGAUAAAAUAUUUUAUUUCUACUUUACUCAUUCUAAGUAACAUAAAGUAAAGAAAGGGUACAGAAGGUUGUGCCUUCUAGUUUCAUCCAUCUCAUGAUCAUCAAAAGGAAUCCACUAACAAGGUUGAUCAAGUCUUGUUAACAAACUCAUUCUGAAUCACAUAAAACCAGAGAAAUUCCGAAGUGACACUAGGUUACCUCAACGGGGAUAUGAACAUCCCCAAUAAUAAGAAUAUCAUACUUUUUCUUUGCAGUAGGAAGAGGAAAUUCAAAACCUCCAAAUAUAAUUGAUGGAAUUUUCCCAAUAGAAUUUAUGCUGUGAACUUGAGGUUGUUUCCUCGGAAAAUGUACCGUGUGCUCAUUUCCAUUAACAUAAAAAGUAACAUUGCCUUUGUUGCAAUCAAUAACAUCACCUGCAGUGUUUAAAAAGGGUCUACCAAGGAUAAUCAACAUACUGUCGUCCUCAGGGAUAUCAAGAAUGACAAAGUCUAUUAAGAUAGUAACAUUCGCAACAACAACAGGCACGUCCUCACAUAUGCCGACAGGUAUAGCAGUUGAUUUAUUAGACAUUUGCAAGGAUAUCUCAGUAGGCGUCAACUUACUUAAUUCAAGUCUACGGUACAAGGAAAGAGGCAUAACACUUACACCGGCUCCUAAAUCACAUAAGGCAGUUUUAACAUAAUUUCUUUUUAUGGAGCAAGGUAUAGUGGGUACUCCAGGAUCACCAAGUUUCUUCGGUAUUCCACCCUUAAAGGUAUAGUUGGCAAGCAUGGUGGAGAUUUCAGCUUCACGUAUUUUCCUUUUAUUUGUAAUGAUAUCUUUCAUGUAUUUAGCAUAAGGGUUUGUUUUAAGCAUAUCAGUUAAGCGCAUGCGUAAGAAAAUAGGUCUAAUCAUUUCAGCAAAACGCUCAAAAUCCUCAUCAUCAUUUGUCUUGGAUGGUUUAGGAGGAAAGGGCAUGGGUUUCUGAACCCAUGGUUCUCUUUCUCUACCAUGCUUCCUAGCAACAAAAUAUCUCUUAUCAUAACGCUGAUUUCUUGAUUGUGGGUUAUCAAGAUUAACAGUAGGUUCAAUUUCUAUAUCAUUGUUAUUACUAGGUUGAGCAUCAUCAUGAACAUUAUUAUUAGUAUUAUCAUUAAGUUCAUGUUCAUCUUCGGAUUGUGUUUCGGUAUCAGAGAUAAAAGUAUCAUUAAGAUUCUCAGGUGUUUCUACAUUAGGUUCACUAGAAGCAUGUGAAGUCCUAUCUUUUUUAUUUUUCUUCUUUUUAGAAGAACUAGGAACAUCUAGGUUAUUAUUCUGAGAAUCUUGUUUAAUCCUCUUAGGGUGGCCCUCAGGAUACAAAGGUUCCUCAGUCAUUUUACAAGUUCUGGUAGCCACUCUAACAGCAAAACCAUGUUUAUUAUUUAGUUCAUCUAGCAAUUCAUUCUGAGCCUUAAGUACUUGUUCAGCUUGAGUGGUGACCAUAGAAACAUGUUUACUAGUGAGUUUAAGUUCACCCUUAACUCUAGACAUAUAAUCACUCAAGCAUCCAAUCAUAUAAGCAUUAUUUUUCAAUUGUCUACUAACAUAAUCAUUGAAAUUUUCUUGUUUAUCCAUAAAGUCAUCAAAUUCAUCUAAGCACUGGCUACGAAAUUUAGUAGACUGGAUUUCAACUUUAUCAUAUCUAUAGAGAGAAUUUAUCUUUACUACCUGUGUCGGGUUAUCAAGACAAUGUGUUUCUUCGACAGGAGGUAUAUUAAGACCAUGUAUUUCUUCAAUAGGAGGUAAAUUCUUAACAUCUUCAGCUUUAAUACCUUUUUCUUUCAUUGAUUUCUUUGCCUCUUGCAUAUCUUCAGGACUGAGAAAUAGAACACCUCGCUUCUUCGGAGUAGGUUUAGGAAUAGGCUCAGGAGUUGGCUCAAUUGGUUCAGGAAUUUCUUCAGGAAGAGUCCAAUUAUUUUCAUUUGUCAACAUAUUAUCCAAUAACAAUUCAGCUUGGUCGACUGUUCUUUCCCUGAAAACACAACCAGCACAACUUUCCAAGUAGUCCUUGGAAGCAUCGGUUAGUCCAUUAUAAAAGAUAUCAAGUAUUUAAUUUUUCUUAAGAGGGUGAUCAGGCAAAUCAUUAAGUAAUCGGAGAAGCCUCCCCCAAGCUUGUGGGAGACUCUCUUCUUCGAUUUGCACAAAAUUAUAUAUUUCUCGCAAGACAGCUUGUUUCUUAUGAGCAGGGAAAUAUUUAGCAGAGAAGUAAUAAAUCAUAUCCUGGGGACUACGCACACAACUAGGAUCAAGAGAAUUAAACCAUGUCUUAGCAUCACCCUGUAAUGAGAACGGAAAUACCUUAAGGAUAUAAUAAUAUCGAGACUUCUCAUCAUUAGUAAACAGGGUGGCUAUAUCAUUCAACUUGGUAAGAUGUGCCACAACAGUUUCAGAUUCAGUGCCAUAGAAAGGAUCAGAUUCAACUAAAGUAAUUAUCUCAGGAUCAACAGAGAAUUCCUAAUCCUUAUCAGUAACAAAGAUAGGUGAAGUAGCAAAAGCAGGGUCAUGUUUCAUUCUAGCAUUCAGAGUCUUUUGUUUCAGCUUAGCUAAUAAUUUCUUAAGAUCUGAUCUAUCAUUGCAAGCAAGAAAAUCUCUAGCAGUUUCUUCAUCCAUAACAUAACCCUUAGGAACAAUAGGCAAUUCAUAAUUAUGGGGAGAACCUUCAUCAUCGCUUUCAUCAAUAAUUUCAUUUUCAAUUAUUUCAUUCUCUCUAACCCUAGCAAGUUGUUCAUCAAGAUAUUCACCUAAUGGCACAUUAGUAUCAAGCAUAGAAGUAGUUUCAUCAUAAGUAUCAUGCAUAGCAGAAGUGGCAUCAUCAAUAACAUGCGACAUAUCAGAAUUAAUAGCAGUAGCAGGUUUAGGUGUCGCAAGCUUACUCAUAACAGAAGGAGAAUCAAGUGCAGAGGUAGAUGGCAGUUCCUUACCUCCCCUCAUAGUUGAGGGAUAAUUUUUAGUUCUUUGAUCUUUCAAGUUCUUCAUAGUGAUCAGCAGAUAUAAAUCCCAAGUGACUCAAGGAAUAGAGCUAUGCUCCCCGGCAACGGCGCCAAAAAUUAGUCUUUAUAACCCACAAGUGUAGGGGAUCGCAACAGCUUUCAAGGGUAGUGUAUUAACCCAAAUUUAUUGAUUCGACACAAGGGGAGCCAAAGAAUAUUCUUAAGUAUUAGCAGUUGAGUUGUCAAUUCAACCACACCUAGAUAACUUAGUAUCUGCAGCAAGGUAUUUAGUAGCAAAGUAAUAUGAUAGUAAUGGUAACAGUGGUAAAGGUAAAGAUAGCAGUAUUGUAGUGAUUGUAACAGUAGCAACGAAAAAGUAAAUAAGCGAAGCACAAUAUGUGAAAAGAUCUUAGGCAUUGGAUCAGUGAUGGAUAAUUAUGUCAGAUGCGAUUCCUCAUGUAAUAGUUAUAACAUAGGGUGACACAGAACUAGCUCCAGUUCAUCAAUGUAAUGUAGGCAUGUAUUUUCCGAAUAUAGUCAUAUGUGCUUAUGGAAAAGAACUUGCAUGACAUCUUUUGUCCUACCCUCCCAUGGCAGCGGGGUCCUAAUGGAAACUAAGGGAUAUUAACACUACAAAAAAAGACACAUUCGUGACAUUUUGGGCCGAACAAAAUUUUUUCUGUCAUACAUAUGACACUUCUAUGACGAUAAUUGUGACAAAUCCCGGUAUCAUCAUAGAUGUGGUUGGCUCCUACUUCUAUGACAAAAAAUCAUGACAGAAAAUGGGCUUUUCGUCCUGGGCGGGCCGGAGACGCAGCUGCAUGACAUUCUUUGGUCCGUCCAUGACGGGAAAACCCGUGGUAGAAGCGAGGGCGAGGAAAAUUUCGGGGAGUUCCCGGUUAAGGUGGGUGGUCGGGGGCCGAGCGAUGCGCGUUUCUCUCGUACACGUACGCGUGUCUGUGCGAGGCGUUGGCUCUAACUAAACCCGAGCAAGGCGUUGGGUUCUAACUGAACUCGAGCGAUUGCACUGCAGGCUACGCGUUACUGAACCCGAGCGACCGAGUCCUUCGCUACUGCUGCUAACUGAAGCCGAUCGAUGCUGCCUCUCUGGAUGAACAGUGANNNNNNNNNNNNNNNNNNNNNNNNNNNNNNNNNNNNNNNNNNNNNNNNNNNNNNNNNNNNNNNNNNNNNNNNNNNNNNNNNNNNNNNNNNNNNNNNNNNNNNNNNNNNNNNNNNNNNNNNNNNNNNNNNNNNNNNNNNNNNNNNNNNNNNNNNNNNNNNNNNNNNNNNNNNNNNNNNNNNNNNNNNNNNNNNNNNNNNNNNNNNNNNNNNNNNNNNNNNNNNNNNNNNNNNNNNNNNNNNNNNNNNNNNNNNNNNNNNNNNNNNNNNNNNNNNNNNNNNNNNNNNNNNNNNNNNNNNNNNNNNNNNNNNNNNNNNNNNNNNNNNNNNNNNNNNNNNNNNNNNNNNNNNNNNNNNNNNNNNNNNNNNNNNNNNNNNNNNNNNNNNNNNNNNNNNNNNNNNNNNNNNNNNNNNNNNNNNNNNNNNNNNNNNNNNNNNNNNNNNNNNNNNNNNNNNNNNNNNNNNNNNNNNNNNNNNNAGUAGACGGUGGAGGGGUGGAUGAACAGUAGCCCGUGGAGGGGUGGUUGAAUAGGAGCCCUUGGAGAGGGGUGGUUGAACAGUAGCCGGUGGAGUAGCGCGCGGUGGAGGCUGGAUGAACAGGAGCCCGUGGAUGAACAGUCACAGGUGGAGGCUGGAGGAGGUCGACGGUGGAUGAACAGUAGCCCGUGGAGGCUGGAGGAGGUCGACGGUGGAUAUGAACAGUAUCCCGUGGAGUCCCGUUUUGCGGUAUGCCGCACCCCUCCCAAUGAACAUGACCCCCGUUUCGACCGUAGCGCUCCAACACAAGUCCGUUUCGUCCGUUUUGCGGUUUGCCACACCCCUCCCGAUCAACAGGACCCCCUUUCGACCGUAGGAGGUCCGUUUCCUCCGUUUUGCGGUACGCCACACCCCUCUCGAUCAACAGGACACCCGUUUCGACCGUAGGAGGUCCGUUUCCUCCGUUUUGCGGUAUGCCAGACCCCUCCCGAUGAACAGGAUCCCAUUUCGAACGUGGCCGGUCGAACACAAGGCCAUUUCCUCCAUUCUGCGGUACGCCAGGCCUCGUUUCCAUCGCCUGUUCCGUCCAAGCCCUCCCGAUGAACACGACCACGCAUUCCGUUCCGACCCAGCCGGUUGGCUCCCCAUGAACACGACGACGACGUUGUUUCUCCGUUCCGACCCAGCCAAUGUACACGAGCCCUGGCCGUACAUAUAUAUGCGCGAGUAGGCGUUCGAGACCCCGCCCGUAUGUACACAUACGUGGCCAUAUUUUCUUUCUUGCACCCUGGCCGCUGUACGUACGUGUACAUGCUAUGUGUGCGCCUCUACUACGACAUGUGCACGCCUCUACUAUGGCACGUGUGCGCCUCUACAUCCACCAGUAUAUAUGUACGUACACAUUCGCGACCAGAAUGAGAACGCUAUGUAUGCUUCGACCAGGUGGGUCCCGACUGUUAGGCACUUCCUUGCGUGCGAAGAUGUAGCUGGUGGGUCCCAGCAGUGAGGGGGAAAUGUUUUUUCGCGAAAUACGGUGGCCCGUCCGGUGGGUCCCCACUGUCAGGUGGAGGAAUAAUUAUUUUGCACGUAAUAAGGAAGCACUUCCUUCCUGCGGCCGUGGAUCCAGCUGUCAGCCUCUCCACGUACAAUUCACGUCCGAUGGAAGCCGUUUCUUGACCAUGUUGACCACGCCGCGCUGAGAGCACCAGGGCGGUGGACGACGGCGAGGCCUAGGAAGGGGACGACGCGGAGCCGAGGAAGACGCGGCAGUGGAUGCCCACGCGUAGAGGAGUAUCAGGGUUCAGUGGUUUGCUGCAGUGUGAGGCUGCCGUCGCCACAGAAUAACAGUUAACAGGGAAUGUGGGUGAGUAGAGGGAUGGCCUGGCCAGCGGUGGGAGUAGUAGGGGGCGGUGAGGCCUCCGCCGCAUCGCAGCUGGCCAUGGGAGGCAGGAGCACAAGGCACGACCGGCGCUGGUUUGGGUGGCUGGAGCAAGAAUACCGGAGGUUGAAGAAGCACUACGGCCGUUGGAUGGACAUCGUACGGUCACUAGAGCUAGAAUCGUGCAUAUUGACUAAGUUGACAAAGCCCUCCGUCCCCGUCAACUUAGUAGGCCCACAAGUCAGCCUGCCACUAUACUGGGUCCCAGCUAACAGGGGGGUAUUCAUUUUUUUGUGCAUAAUAAGGAGGCACUUCCUUGCGUGCGAAGAUAUAGCUGGUGGGUCCGAGCUGUCAGCGGUGGUAACGUUUUUUCGCAAAAUACAGAGGCCCUUUCGGUGGGUCCCUGAUGUCAGGUGGAGGAAUCAUUAUUUUGCGCGUAAUAAGGAGGCAUUUCCUUGCGUGCGGCCGUGGACCCAGCUGUCGGCCUCUCCAUGUAUAGUCCACUUCAGAUGCAUGUCGGUCGUUGACCAUGUUGACCAGGCCGCGCCGAGAGCACCAGGGCGGUGGACGACGGUGAGGCCUAGGAAGGGAACGACACGGAGGUAGGGAAGACUCGGCAGUUGUGUCCCACGCGGAUGGGAGUACGACUGUACGAGGGUUUACCGGUUCGUCUGCCGUCGCCGGAGAAUAACAGCAGGUGUGGGUGAGUAGAGGGAUGGCUAGGCCAGCGAUGGGAGUACGGUGGGGCGAUGAGGCCUGCGGGGUAGCACAGCCGGCCGCGGGGAGGAGGGAGCAGGCAGUCCCGCUGGCGCUUGUUUGAGCGGCAGGAGCAGGAAGAGCAGAGAUUGAAGAAGCACGACGGCCGUUGGAUGAACAUCCAACAGUCACUGCUUGUGCGUCAACCUUUUUUUUAGGAAAGCCUCAAAUCUGUGGAAAACAGCAUACAACCCAUCUGCCAUUAUUUCUACUAAUUUACAGCCCAUUUGCUAAUUCUUAAGGGUUUUUUUGGAGCCCAUAUUCUUUUUGUUAGCAUUACAGCCCAUAUUGUGGCCAUGGUUAAAAAAUUAUACGAAAUUUUGCAUAUUUCGGUGCGGUCCGAACUGUUUUUAAUCCGAAAUUUCGACUCACAUUCAAACUGAUUUUAAAAAUAAAUGUAUAUCAAUAUAAAAUCCAACAAAUUCUCCACGCAUAAAAAUUAAUGUAAUUUAAAAUCUCGAAAUGAAAAAAAAAAUAUUUGAAACUAAUUGCCGGUUUGAUGUGUUUUAAAAAUGUACAGCCCAUUUCUCAUUACUGAUGGGCCAUUUUCUCGGCCAGCCGAAUGAAAGCUAUCCUCGUCUUGAAAGAUUUGCAGCCCAACAGGCCUGACAAAGCGACUUACUUGGCAGGUCACAAAAAACUGGUUGUGGCCGUGGACCCAGCUGUCAACCUUAUUUUGCAUAUUUCGGUGGAGUCUGAACUAUUGUAAUCCCGAAAUGAUAAACAUUUUUUAAGAACUUAUUGAUUUGCCAAAAAAAUUGUUUUGUUUUUGUAAGCAAAUAAGACAUGGGACAAUUGAGUUGGUUUAAGGGAAACCCAGUGGUAAAAAAUCAGCGCUGGGUGGGAAAAACAACAAAAAUAAGGAUGUAAAUAUGAAAAGGGAAUUUUAUGUGUUUUCAAUAUAACGAUACGUGUAUAUGAACUAGUAAAACUAUAGGUAGAUAUUAGAAAACGGAUGUAGGACAUGCGUUUCAAGAGAAAAAUAGAACUGGGCUGUGUGUUUGAUUCGGUAAAAAAACUACCUGCGGAUGUUGUAAGACAAAAUAUAACUAACGCUGGCGGGCCAGAGGCCAGUAGAAACCUGCUGGAUCUUUGUGCCCCAUUAUCGUCAUGGGCUGGGCCUGGUAAAAACAAAACCAACCCUAGGCAGUCUACAACCCAGUUGAAACUUGCUCGACCUGAAAAAACAAUAUACGUGCUCAAUAAACGAGAGAAUUCUGCAAGUACAGACUGAUAACUGGGAUGCAACAUGGAUAUUGUUUUUUAUCAUGACUAGCAAGAGGCCCAUGCGUUGCACGGAACAUCAAAGAUGCAUUUAUACGAGUUGUUUAUCUUGUGGGAGACAAAGAUGAACGAGGGAAGGCCUUAUCUGCAAAUGUGGAGAGGGGUGCGGGUAUCUUUUUGCAAAAUUGUCAUAGUUUGCUUUCUAUCCAUCUGGUAUAGAUCAGACGAUCUAUAUUGCAGGAUGGCAGGCACACCAUCAUCACCAACUCAUCUUUUUAUAUGUGGUGAUAAUAAGUGCAUGCACUUGUUUCGAAAAAAUUGGAGAACUGGGAAUUCGAACGGUAGGUGCUUAUGCUACCCAUCAAAUAAAAAUGAGGUGCCUGAAAAUUCGUUUCAAAACAAAUGAUUCAGCUUUAUAUCCACGUCGACCCUCGGCAUGAUGGUUGGAAGCAAAUGCAAGUUCAUACCAAAAGAUUGUUAACAACAAUACCAACUUGCGGACGACAAGGUAGUACAACUACCAAUACCAAACUAACUUAUAAUCUUUUUACUGUUGGCCCUAGUGUUCGUCUGGUAGAAAAUCUUGCAGAGGACCAGCUCCCGCUCCUUCUCUUGCUCCAGGUCCCUGAGGUAGUACUGGUGCAUCACCCAGUUGGUCCUCUGCUGGUCGAAGUUCUUGUUGGUGUGCAGCACCAGAACCUUUUUUGCUGCCCGUCUGCCGGCCAUUGACCAUCACUGGCAAGGUAUUGCCUAUCUUGUGCCACAUCGCGUGCAUGCCGCACUCCGACUGUAUCUUGCAACGCGUCCACGUGCCCCUUUUGAACGCCCUGGAAUUGCGCUGGAAGAAAUGCUUCCUUAGGCCACUCAGUGUGAUACCUGCAGUAUUGUGGGAUAUAGGUUUUAGUGUACGUAGUUGGCAUUUUCAUAACAUCUUUGGCAUGUUGCGGUCACUUGUUUCACUUUUUAUUAACUGUCAAAUUGUAAUUGCUUCACCAGGUCUAUGUCUAAAAAGAAAAAUAGAGCUACAAACAAAGGAAUAUGUUUGUGCAAGUAGAUGGCCGAUCGGUGUCUUACCUGCAAGUUUCUCAGGUUGGGUGUAGCAUAUGUUGUGCUCGCUGUCGAUGGUUGGUAUGAACAAAUCUAUGAGAGACUGAAAUCUCGCGCUAUCAGCACUCACUUUGGCCUCAAGGUGCUCGAUCAGCUCCUGAUCCGUGGGAUCGAACUUGACACCAGCCGGCAGCACUGGCCAAUCCUUCUUCGACUUGCAUCAGUUAUUCCAGUUAUAUGGUACUCAAUGUAUGAUCAAUCGACUAUUUUAAGUGAAUGAUGAAAGAUUUCGACAGAUAAGUGGUACUCCAAAUCUGAAGUCCAGAAUACCCGAACACGCCGUCGGGAUUCUUGUGUCACCUCACGUGCAGCGUGUUGUCACGUCAAUUCAAUGUGUGGACAUGAUGAAUAAUUUGACUGACGUAUACUAGUACUGCUAUUGUACUACUUACUAGUCGUAUUUAGUGUCACAAUUUAUACAUAGGUUUAACUAACAAGUACGCACUUGAAGCCUAACUGAUAUAUAUAUAUAUAUAUAUAUGGCUUCUGCACAGCAUCUCCAUCAUCAUUAUCAGUACAUCCUACACAGGUGAGUUAGGAUGCACUUGAUCCCAGGAAGGUAUCUACUAUCCUUCAAACCAGAUGAGUGCUUCAAACUAACAACAGUACAUAAUACCCAACAAAAGAGGGUCGUGCUACAGCAGCAGAAUACAUGGCUCAGUCUAGAUAUCAGCAUGAAUCAAGUUAUGCAUAUUUGCUAUUGGCAUGAACCACAUCACCGCAUGUCGGGUUUGCAAAAGCCAUCCAUCGCAUGGAAGCUUGAUGCCUUUCACACACUGAAGAUUAUCUGGCAACAAGCUGUGUCGACGAAUCUCUGGAUAUGAUGAUUCAUGAAACCCAUGGUAUGAUGUGUAAACACAGUCCCCCCUCGCGAAUGGAAGUUGCAUAGCACGGUAAUCAUCGCCGGUGAUAUGAUUGAUGAUUGGUUGGAUGAUCGGAUAAUUGAGCCCGAGGAACAAGGAGUGGUUGCCGAGGUUGUAAACCCGCCUCUAGUUGAAUACGCCUGGCCCAACGGAGCUGGGAUCUUUCUCGAACACGAAGCAGCCAUAGCCAUCAAUGUCACGAACGCCCCACGCAUUAUACUUCAUGUGGUUUGAUGUAAUGGUUUGGUCAAUUUGGUAUGUGUGAAUGAGCAUCAAAUGACCGCCGUUAGCUGAACGAGCAAUAAACCACCACCCAUCGGCUGGUAUGAUUCCAGGUCCUGGAAUCAUGAAGGCCAGCGCAUUUGCGUUUGCUGCAACAAUUCAAGUUGGAGACCAAAAGGACAAAAAUAAACAAUCAUGUUCAGAGUAUGUGUGGAAUUAAGAUUAUUAUAACAGUGACACAUAUCAUAGACAGAGAAUUGCAAUGUCGUGGUCAUAAUCAUACCCCAAGUUAAAAAAAUAAGCCAAUGACUUUCAUAUUCUAGCAAUAUGUCAUGGUUCAAACAUCAUGUAACAAUGAGAGGAAAACAACUAUGACAGCGCCUACUCUUAUUCUACCAUAGCACUUACUACUACUGUUCUCAUAUCAACUCUAAGCAAUAACAUGUGUUGUUAUAAAAAUCUUGUAAACGAGAGUAACAUAUAGCAAUCAUGAUGUUAUGCUCAUAAUAUGUAUUCUAACAAUCAUUAGAUGCCAAUUGUUCUCAUAUCAACUCUAACAAUAACAUGUGUGGUCAUAAAAAUCUAGGGACUGAGAGGAACAUAUAGCAAUUAUGUGGUUAUAGACAUGCUAUGUAUUCUAAAUUUGUAACAAAUGAACAGGCAAUCGUAUUCAUAAGGUAAAGAUGAGAUGAGUUAGAACAAUUACACGAUGAUAGAUUCCACCAGUAUAGGCAGCCAAUUUAUGCGUCGACCGCGUAAACGAUGCCAUCAUGCACUAUAGCAUCAGACAGAAAUGUUGCCUCAACAAGAUUGAUGAUGAGCCAUAAUCAUGUAUGGCGACUGGAUUCCAGAUAGACUAAUCCCGUGUUGAACAAGGCAAUGAGUUUGUAAUCCAUGUAGUCUUCUGAUGGUGUGGGCACUUCGCAGAUUACAACUUUCUGCAAACAGAGGUCGAGCCAAAAGCUUGACGCGUCUCGUGCAUAGUAGGCAGAAGUGUCCGGCGGGCCACGAGGCUCGAUGGCGGCGGUAUCCAACGAUGGAAGGGUGAUCUCUCGCUGGGUGUAGAUAUCCACAAGACACCAUGGACUACCGGAGUGGUGGAUGAGGACGAUCCAGUUGGCCUUCAUGCCCGCCCAGUAGUGGCCGCGCAUGAAGGACAGGUGGACGAGUAGUGGUAGCAUAUCGAGGGGCACCAUGGCAACCUCCGUAGGAUCGUCAAGUCGGUGUCUGGGCCACCUGCGAGGAUCGGGCAUCAGCAAGCAGGGUGUCUUGAAAAGAGCCGGUCGGUUGCAGACGAGUAGACGGUACAAAGACACCGAGCAUGCGGCCAGACGGACGGUGCUGAGUAGGUCCGUACGACUACAGAUCUGCUCCAAGAGAACAUCAGUGAGGGAAUUCCAAUCGCGGCUCUGCGCAUCAGUCGGUUCUGCCAUUGGGGUUUUCGGUGCCAGCGAGCCAACGGGGAAGUGGAUUCGGGCGGGCGAGCGAAGAAGCUUCUCCUCGUGUGGCCGAGCAGUGAGCAGGGGGAUAUGGUACGGGCGAGCUACCAAGGAAGAUGGCGCGGGCGGGCGAGCAGUGAGCGGGGGUAAAUGGUGUGCGGCCGAUGAUGGGGAAGAGAGGAGGAAGAAGAAGAGAGGAGGAAGAAGAGUGGAAGACGGGGAAGAAAGUGCAUUAAAUCUCAAUUCUACUAGUACUACUACCAGGAUAUACCGUCCUUCGGAGUGUAAAUAGUUACACCGAUGACAUGUGGGUCUACCACAAGAGGGCCCAUAUGUUAGUUAAUGAAGGAUAGAGGUGCAUAGGCGUAUUUGCGGAAGCGUGCUCUACUGGCAAACAUGAUGGCAGUACUGGGUAAGGCUGAUUUAGUAACACCAACACGCUGGUUCAGCUUAUUAAUUACGUGUCCCAUCUACUGCAGCGUGUAUUGUCACUUCACUGCGAAGACUAGUUGAAUAGUUCUCUCUGACCGAGAUGGGGAAUAAUGGAUCAUGAGGACUUCCUUUCUACAGUAUCCCUAUGCCUCGACGCUCACUUCACUCAUUUUGCUCUGUACCUAGUCACUUGUUGAAAUCUGUAGAAAGACAAAUACUCCGUAUUUGGCAACAGAGGGAGGCUUUUACUCCGUAUUUGGGAACAGAGGGAGUAUCACCAUAUGGAGGGAAUAGAGGAAGCUUGAAAUAUGAACAUGUCAAUGGGAGGGAGUAAGCCCCAUGCAUGCAUGCAUGCAUGCAACGUGCAACACUCACACGUACACAUGGAUGAACGCAACACUCACGCACCCAUGCGGCACACAGCACACGACACAACACACACGCUCACGCUCAAGUGCUCAACCUACUCCCUACGUACUUGAAAGACUGUACUACAUUUAGAGAUUUACACAUUUACCAGGGCAUAAUUAACGCCCAAAAGUAUCAGACUUAUGUGUGCAUGCGACCAUUGAGAGAAGAAGAUUAAAUGAAGGUCGUUGCAUGCUGUAAUUAAGGAUAGACAUGUAGCCUAUACCUACAGCACAAGUUGGUGCAUUAGUCAAUCAAUAUCGAUUUAGAUUAAAGGCUAAAUGCAUUGGAAGUGUAGAUGUACAUCAUACUACCCUCUUUGUUUUAGGCUGGCCAUAGUGGGGGUAACAUAACUAGUAUCAUGUACUUGGGACUCGCAAACAUGCUUAUGUGGCAAACAAUUAAAGAAGAGAGAGAGGGUAGUAGUAAACAUAGGUAGAUACCGUAACACAAUAAAUGUUAUGCUACUACUCCCUCCUUUUCGGUUUAUAGGGCUCAAUUCAAAAAUCUCACCAAUCAAGGUAGAUGGUGAGUGGUGGAAUACUUUUUGUAGUUUUGCAAAAGCACCUAAUUAAUGCUCUUGUUUUCCUCAAAAAAAUAUGGUGGUGUUUGGUUCUCUAGUCCUAGGACUUUUUCUAGUCCCUAGGACUUUUUGAAAAAGACUCUCAAGGAGGUGCUUCUAACAACUUCUAGCAAAAAGUCCCAAAAACGUCCCACCCUAUUUGGUUUGCUAGGGACAUGUUCUAGUCCCAACACAAAAAAGUCCCUGGAACCAAACACCCCCUAUGUUUAUCAAUGCAUUAAUUGCAAUGCCUGCAUGCGUAAAGUACAUGCAUUGGUCAAUUUUCUCUUAAUACUUGCAUGCAAUGAUUUAAUGCACCUUGGAAUCUGAACAUGUGAUGGAAAACAACCAAAUUGAGCCUUAUAAAAUGGAAAAACUAAAAUUUUGAGAUAAGCCCUAUAAACCGGAAAGGAGGGAGUAUGUGUCAUGCAUGGCAAUAAAUGAGACCAUCUAUGAUACUACUUUAUGAUACUAUGCACUAUAGAUGUAGUAUCAUACACUAGUAUCAUAUGCAUGAUACUAGUAUAUGUUACUCUCCACUAUGACCAGCCUUAUAGCCGAUGUACACUCUUUGUUGGAAGACCGAGGGAGUACACGUGCAUGCACUCACAUACACAGCCAGGGCGGUUCGCGCGCAAGGGUUGGACUCGUGUCGCGUCUGCGUAAAGUUUUGUUUAACUGAUUUCUUUGCUCUGCCAACUGACAGGUGGGAGCCAGAAACCAGGUGAGAAUUUAACUAGUAAACAAAGUGCCACAUCGACUAUGUGGCCGGUCAGUAGGGUGCAAUACGGUGCUCUAUGAUGAGCUAGUGAUCGUAUAAUCACCGCAAAACUAUAUAUAUAUUGAUCGUAAAGAGCGUAUUGUUACAUACGAUGACCGCCAGUGUAUCUUUCUCGUUUCAAAUUAAGCCAUAUUAAUCGGAAUGGACGCAGUAUGGACUACUACUAGUACUAGUACUGCUUUUAUGUGUCCCGUCAACUCGUCGAACGAGGAGAAGCUUGCUUACUAUGCCUCUCCCUCGCCCACGCGCACGGUGGUUCGCAGGACGAGGAGAGGGUUUUGACUACAGCGCCCUCUCCCUCUCCUUCUCCCUCGCCCUCGCGGUGGACGUGCAGCAGUUCAAUCGUUGUCAGAUUGCCAGAAGCAUAUUGUACUGUAGUAUCAUCAUAGUUGGACCUUCCGAAGAGGCGAAGAGCCAAGUGCAAGGUUCACACGAGUACGAACUGUUGAACCUCCCGAAGAGGCAAAGAGCCAAGCGCAAGGUUUUAUAGGAGUUGUCGUCCUAGUAGGAGUGUACUAGAACUAUAGCGAACGAUGCUACUGUAUGAUGCCGCCACGUCACAUAUAUCCAAAGCUGUGCCACCUUUUUUCUCAAAGAGCGUGUUGGAGCCCGUGCAACAACCACACAAGUUGCACAUACACAUAACACAUUUACUAGUAAGAAAUUCUAAAGGACAAAUGCCAGUAUGCCACACAAGUUCAUCUCCAAUUCAUGUGAUAAAUUUGUGCACGACUAGUCCACAUAUAUUCACAGCGCUACCGUUCACAAUUACCGUACUCCACUUACACGUUAUAGAUGGGCUACAUGUCCUCCUCCAGGUUCCAGUCCCAUGUGUUCUUCAUGGAUGGCACGAUCCAUAGCGGUGGGCAACGGGAAUCAUUGUUGCAUCUUUCUAGUCCGGUUCCACACGAUGGAGACUCAUCCAAGCUGAAGCGGCAUAAAUCAGGGAUAAUGUGUCCCAGCAUGUCGUUCAUCCGGCGGUGCACAAUGAAGACACAACCAUGCUUCAUGAACGGCAGGCCUUCCAUGUCGUGCAUGGAAGGUGGCAUCCGCUUCACAAUGGGGUAGCUGUCCCCGGUGAAAAGCGAAUACUCUCCAAGAGUGUUUCUCGGCACCCACGUAGCAUCACGGGGGUCGAACUCGGCGCCGUUCAUCUGGUACACGCGGCAUCCCAGAUCUGGACACACGGUGACGUACAUAGUCAAGGUCCAUGCAUAAUAAUGUUGUGCUCAAAUACGGCGGUCAGUAAUACUGUGCAGCAAAUAGUACUACUCCAGUAUAGAGGAAGUAAAAUAAACGGAUUAUUAUAUAUAGCCACACUCUUGGCUACAUGGAUGAUAUAGUAAGACAUGGAAAAACAAAAAUGGUGGCAACUAGUGGGUUCAAGUCUUCAAGGGCCUAGCUAGCUAUAUGCGUCCUCCAAGGUAAAAAGUACUCCUACUAGUACUACUAAGUAUACUACUAGUACAACAAUGAAAGAGAAGGCGAGAGGCUUAAAAGAUGGAAUACCUGGGGAGAUGGUGACGGUCCGAUCAUGGUAGAUCAUGUGACCAUGUUGCACAUCAGUGGUACCAUGGGUAACGACUGCUAAGAUAGUUGAUCCCAAUAUGCCAAAGUCAGCUACAAGGUUCCAGGUUAGACCGAAUCGCGGAUGCAAAUGCACAUCCAGGAUCGGCGAUCUUAUUUUGAUCGGGGGAUGACUGGUCCCUGCAAAAUAAUGGAGUACCGUUAGGGAUGCAAAUGAUGGUUUGUGCAUUCCGUUGUAAUCUCCCGUACCGUAGGAUGGCAACCAGAUGAAACAAGUCCCCUGGCUUGUCACCGCGAAGAUGCGGCCUAGAUGGCGCACGGCGUCUUCGAACGUGUAGGGGUACAAAUCUGCCACCGCCAACAUGCGCCAACCUCUACCAUUAUUGUCUCUUGCAUUGAUGGCAAUCCUUAUGUCAAACACCGCGAUGAGAUAGUAAUCGUCGUAGCCGCAUUGCUUUGUCGGUGGGUCCGCAAUUGCUAUCAUGUUCAAUCUCAUGUAGGCAUCAUCAUACGUAUUCAAGCCCAGCCAGUACGGAAGGCCGAUCCGAAUGGUGGAGAAGGGGUCUAUCGGAACGACCGCACUACUGUGGAUGUUGUGCAAAAUGAUGGUGGUAUCCGGCCGGAGGUAUGCAAGCCAAUCUUCGUUGGCACCGACCCAGACCUAUAUAUAAUAUGGUGGGCAGCGGAGAAAUUACGGGAUGGAAAUGGAAUAACUAAGUACUACAUGAUCGAACUCCAUUACUGACUUGCUCAUCGGACAAAAUCCGACUACCUCUCAACAUCGGCAACUCUAGCGGAGUCAACGUGCAACCAUGGCCAGGGAGCGGUGGACUGUUUGAAGGAUUGUCCCAUAGAAGAACCUUCUCCUCGAGGACGCAUGGAAGACCAACAAGCAUGGCCUUUUCCCAAGCCUGUUUAAGCAGCGUCUUGAAAAAGUUGGUGCAGGAAGCACCGAAUCUUGCGGCGGUGAGGACGUCGGAGCGGCGUGCAAUUUCUCCCAGAGGAUCGUCGUCCAAGGUCUCCCAGCCCCGACGAGGAGGAGAACCGCCUGGCGAAUCCAUGGGAGCAGCGACGAACUGCCUUCUCUUCGGGGGGAGGGGAACUGGCGAGGAGGAGGUAAGAGCAUAGUAACCGCAGGGCCUCGUCCCUUCCAACUAUAGAUCGUUCCUCAGCGAAGGGGUGAGGCUAUUAUUUACUACAAGUACUAGCAUUAUGGAAUGUUAUGGGAUUGCAUUAUACUGUAAAUAAUAGCACUAGUAAAAAAAUUUGGCACUAGGUAUUAGUUUUUGGCGUGGAUUAAGAAAUUUUGGGUAUGUUUUUGCCAUUUUUUGUACACACCAACUAGUGUCAAAAAACCUUUUACAUUAUGUGAUGGAGGAGUACGUACUCGUACUGUAGCAGUACUAGUACUACUUUUUCUCAACUAGUAGUGCGAUGUACUGUACUUCUUGUCUAGUUCUAGUAUAGUGCACCAGUUUUGAACUCUUGAAUCUCAGGGCGAGGAGCUACAGUUGGAAGUGGAGGGUACUACUGUUCUCUAGAACCAUCGUUGUACUAUCAAUGCAGGGAAAGUACACCUGCGUAGUGGCCUAGUGGGUACUCUUGGUGCUCUAUUCAGCCACUCCUCUCACGUAGCUGGCCUACUCAGCCGCUCCUCACACGCACACACUAGCAGCCUGUUUAUCAGCGACGGUUACUGCGGGGGCAGAACAUUUGAGUUAUUUGAUACUGUGAGACUAGGCUUUUCGCUUCCAUUUGUGGAGGUGUAAUGGAUCUCGUCGAACUUUGUUAGUAGUUCCUUCUUUAUGAAGAGAUGAAGCAAAGCUUUUGCCUCCGUUUAAAAAAAACAUGUCAAUAGGAAUUUCUUUUAUAGUAGAGCCGAUAAUGGAGUGAAGUCCAUGCGUGCAACGCCACAAGCUACAGAGUAGUAGUAGAGCACUUUACGUGCAGAGCCAUAUUGCAUAGUUCCCAAUGCCCCGCCAGGCUUUUCCGGUUCCUCGGGCUUAAUUGGGAGGCGCUAGUUUAAAUAUGCUACUAGCUGAUGAGGAAGCUGCAAGCGAGGUGCGGAUAGGGCGAGCAAGCGAGCCAUGGGAUGCUGGAAAGGAAAACCCGUUCAUGUGGCUAGGCUAUCCAGUGGACCCAGAUUGUGGGGCCGCAUGUCCGUUUGACUUCAAAACUCAAACUACCCGUGUAAAAUAUUGGCUCGCAGCAAAGUUUAGUAGUACUAUUUAAAAAAACGGUGUGUGUUCGGCCGGGAUCGAACCCACAAAACGAGGUAUACACUCCCGUGACCACUAGUAGUACUCGUUGGAGUACAACGCAACCUAGAAUCACCUUUUGUCGCCAGUAGUACGUACAUUGUUCCUUACAAGAAACCCCUAUAAUGCAAGAAACCACUAAAAUGCUAAGAAACUACUACCACUUGCAUACGUGGCAGACUUAAGAUAAGACUACCUUAUCAACCAUUGUACAUGCUCUUACCAACAAAAAUCCUCUAGUGACCUCCUACCUCCGGCCCGUCCACCUAGUCAUCCUCGGCCAUGGGACGCAGCUACCGCCGCCGGCAGAAGGCGAGGUCAAAACCGCCGGCGGUGCGGAGCCCAUGUAGCGGCAGCCCGGAUGCCAGCUCCGUCCGGCGCUCGCGGCCGCUAGCUAGCCAAGAUAGCUCUGUCCAGCUGCUUCUCUGCAAGGUUUGCUAGCUAGAUUGGCACGGCAGCGCGGCGGCUUGCUCGCGCGCGCCGCGCUAAGGCCAACCAUCUGGCUUGAACGAAGGCCAGCACGGCGGCUUGCUCGCUCGUGAGUCACGCUCGGGCCAGCCUGCCAACCCGUGCGGCGUCCGACCCGUCCGGCGGAGCGGCGGCCAACUCGCUCAUCGUCGGCGCCACCGACGAACACGCAUCAGUACUGUUUGAAGUAAUGUUCAGGAAAAAUAAUGAUUUGAGGGGGAAUAACAGGAUACAAGGUCAGAUGUGGGUCCCUCGUGUCAACGGUCAAACAAAAUGUGUUGGUUUAAGCUGCCUCGUCGGCACGGACGUGUGGGCCAACCCUGUCAUAAAUGGGUUUAAACGAACCUAAUUGGUAGGAGUACUGGGUAGUAGUUUUUGGCAUGGAUUAAGAAAUUUUGGGUACGUUUUUGCUAUUUUUUGUACAAUAGAUUCUUCCUAGGGCUGGUUGAAAGUGGUAGUUUUUUUGUUAAAUACUCUACAUAUUAUAAGUAGGAGUGAAAGUUAAGCUUUGGAAGCCAAUAAGCAAGGCUAGUUACAUAGCGCAUAUGUGUACAUGAUUGAAAGUAAAUAUCAACCAUGAGUGACUAAUAUCUUGAUGGAAAACUCGACUAUGGAAUACUAGGAAAAAAAUGCAUGGUUGGAAUACUAGCAAUGUUCAUGUCCGUUGCAACGAAUCAUAAUUAGAAUAAUACUUAUUCACAAACUUGGUACAGAACACUCUAAUUUUGAUAUACAUAUGUCACUAGAGAGAUAUUAUGUUUCAAUUAGAGUAUAUUCCUUGGGCUAUUUUGGUGAGGUCAGGGAGCGAUAUGGUUGGUUUUAAGAUACUAAUUAUGGGUUUUUCUGCAAAUUGGUAGACAAGUGGGAUGUUGGUGAGAAAAGGCAACAACUUACCUCACAAUCGUUAGAUGUAGAUCUAAUGGUCAGAAACGACGGAUGGUAGACGCACCAGCAUCACCAACUUAGUCUUGUUUAGGAGUACUAGCAAGAUCCGUGCAUUGCACGAAAUAUCAAGAUGCAUUUUUUUAUAAAACACUUGUUGUGAUUAACCCUUGCGGGAGUAAUCCCAUGUGUAAGAACUAAUGAUAUCUCGAGAAAUAUGAGAUAAGGUGAAGAGGAGUGGGGUGUGGUGGUGGUUGGUGGGGGACUGAGCGGAGGCAUGGGGAUUGACGACGCCGGCAGCGGCCACCAGGCCAGUUUGUUCCAGAGGCUUCCUUUCCUAAUUGCUCAACAAUGAGGUUUGUUGGUGAUAAGGAUGAACGAGGGAAGGCCUUUUCUGAAAAUGUGGAGAGGGGUGCAGGUAUCUUUUAGUUUAAUUUCCAUCCGUCAGAUAUAGAUCGGACGGUCUAUAUUGCAAGAUGGCACACGUACCAUCAUCACCAACUCGGUUUUUUAUAAGAGAAGAAAUAUAAGUAUGGAGAUACAAAUGUAUUAUCGAUACUUGCUUCCGUAAACUAGCAUCUACAUUCUAUUCAAUGCCUCGGCAUGCGGGGCCUUAGCACAAUGACUUCUCGACUGUGUAAAACAAAGAUUUUCCCGUCGCCGACAAGGAGGGGGUGACGGCGGCGCGCUUUUUGGCUUGGUCUAGUCCUAGUAGUCAUACUAGGUGGUCUAAGCACGUGUAGAUUUAUUAUUUUUCACGUCUCAUGUUUGCUGUACUGCCACGACUGUUGAUGAAUAGAUGGUAAGUUAUUCACGGGGAAACCCUUGUUGAGCGUGUUUGCGAGAGAGAGAGACAGUGUGCGUGUGUGAUAUGUUAGAGACUGAGGCAAUGAUAAUAGAUUCUUUGUGUCUAUGUGUGUGGAGGAUAGUGAAAGACAUGUACAUGGGGGCUUUGUGUUGUGUAACGUGGAGACACAUAUACAUAAUUAGAGAGUGAGUGUGUGAGAUACACAUGCGGACAUGGGGAGAGAUGAGGAUCCAGAUAAAUGGGUGUUUGUGCGUGUCUGUGUGUGAGAGGGAGAGAGUGUAUGUGGAGUAGAGAGACCACUGAUGAUGUAAACCUACUAUAAGGGAAGGGGGAAUGGUGUGACAUGUGUAGUAGAGGGAUAGCACGGGUGCGGGCGGGGGGAGCAGACUAUUUGGAAGAGACAUCGAGUGUGUGUGUGUGUGGGAGCGGGGUGUGAGAGCGAGAGAAAGAGAGAGCUAGCUACGGAGAGAGAUAGAGAGGAAGAGAGGGGGCGAGAUGGGUCAUUUGUGUCCAUAAAUGGCGUAUAGAUAGGGAGACAAUGUUGAUGUUGUCCGAAAUUGGCCUAUGAACGGAGACGCAAGGGAAGCGAGUCAUCGUGUGUGUGAUGGGACUUCAUGAGAGAUCUAGAAUAGAUGGUGUAGAGAACAAUGUGCGAAAUCGAGAAAGAUUAUACAUUAGGGAGCUAUGCAAAGAGUCACGACAUAUAUGUAUACAGGGAAGGAGCUGGGGCGGGUCCGCAUGUGGGAGAGAUAGAAAGAGGAGAGUGGUACACAAGGAGACAAUGUGUGCUUGUUUGCAGUGGGGGUGGUGUGUGAGGUGAGUGCGCGAGAACCAUAUAACUAGGGAGAUAGACGUUUGGGGGCGACGUAUUGUGUGUAUGGGAAAUAUACACUCUACAUAGUGCGUGUGCUUGGGUAAGAGAGAUAGCGGGAGACCUAGAGAGUGAGGGAAGAGAUGUGUGCAUGCCCGAGAGACAAAGUGAUAGAGACCUGUGUUGUGGUCCGGACUUUAGAAGAGAGAGGGGUGUUAAUGUGCUCGUGUGUUGGUGUUUGGGGGAGAAAACGACUUCUCUAUGUGUGUGUGUGCGUGGUGGUGGGGGGGUUGACUUCAGAUAAAGAGUGAGGUGUCUAUAUUUGAGGGACUUUAGCGUAAUUGAGAUAUUGUGCACUCAUGGUUGAUCAAUUUGUUUCACAGUUUGUACUAUGAGAUAACGAUACUUUUGAACAUGCGUGAUAUACCUUGAUGUACCAGAAUUACAAAUCUAAGAUUGGAAUUUUGGAAUUCGACUGCAUCAUUAGCUUUUUAAUUUGUUUAAACAGAGGUACAUUUUUUUAAGCCGUGAUUUCGUGAUUUCAAAUGCAUAUAUCAAACCUAGAGAUAUACACAUACGGGCAUGUUCAAACUUUAUAAUCAUCCACUUUAUUCAUACACAUACACAUUUUUGCUUUUGUUAUCAUAUUUAGGAUAAACACAUUUGGAAUUUCAUUUGAAUUGGACCGUAUGAUGGUAUUUGCUUGUAGUAGCUCAAUGAUCCAUAUUUGAAUUGAAUGGACAAUCUAAGUUUCGAGUUGGAGAGAUUGAUUUUCAAAACUUGCACAUUUUUUUGCGUGCAAAACAAACAAAUUGUCGGCCAUGAUAUCAUAGUCGUCCAUACGAGAGCAGAAUACUUAUAAUUUUAGGCGCCAAAAGCUUUCAAACUUCCCGCUCACAUAGAAAUAUCACGCGCCCGAAAGUUUAGCCCUAUGAUAUUCCUGUUUUACCCCUGCCACAUGAACGGAAAAGGGCUGCUUUGGUAACUCCAUUGUUUUCCCCUCUUUGCCCCCAACAUUCUUCCCCAGAGCCCCUCCCCUUCCCCUCCCCGACCCCUCCCCCCAACCAGGGCAAGCCGCCGAAUCUAGUCCUCCGCCGCAGCGGUGGACCUCACACCCCACCGGAUCUACCUUUCGCACCUUGGAACCCCCAACUGCCAACUCACCACUUCACCGGAGCCGCUUUAGCGACUUGCUUGUCCACCGCUCCAGAUCUCCUUGACCGCCAUCAUGGUCCACCGCACCGGAUCUGCUUAACCGGCCCCCUCAUCCACCACAGCGUAGGCCCUUCACUGACUCCCUCGUCUGCCCCUUCGCUGGCCCUUCAUACAAGCCCUCGUCCGCCGCAACAGAUCCGCCUCACCAAACUGUACAACGCGCCCGCCGAAGCCUUCGUCCACUGCACCGGACCCGCUCCACGGACGCCAUAUUCAACUCCACCGGCCCUGCUUUACCAACGAUGCAGCCUCAUCAGGUUAUUUCGAUUUGUAUUCCUUCGUUUUUUUCUCUUUAUCGUGCAACUAUUCACUUACCACAGAUGAGCUUUCUUGUAUGUCGACAGGAGCCGCAACCCAUAGCACCGGAGCCGCUUCAGCGACGGUGACAGCCGGCCCAAACUCAACCGCAACAUGAGCACCAUCGACGAUCCUUAGCUAUCAAGUAUGACAACGAUACCCAUAUGCCGCCGAGAAUUAGGUACUAUUAUCCAACGGCCGGCGCCUACAUUCACUUUCCUAGCAUAAGCACCACACCUUUGAAUUUUUUCAGGGCAUCAUUCAGUUUUUCAUGAGACGCGUUAUUCUGCUUGCACCUAUAAGGCCAUACUUCUGGUAGUGAACAUGUUACAUGUGCUAAAUUACAUACCAGUGCACAUAUAGUUAAUAUGCUUUAGUUUUUUUCUGAUGCCACCUGUUGGUUCCAUCAGACUGCUUAAUGUUCUCUAUGCUUAAUUACACAUCAGCAAACUAGCAUGUGGUUCCGCUGCUUUUUGUUCAUUUUACCCUACAUUUUCUGAUGCUAGCUAUUACAUCACUGCUCCGAGCCUCUGUUCAUUACUUGUUUGUGUGUUCUUGAUCUUCCCAAGUUGCAUGACUAAUUUGAUGCUUCUAUUAAUUAUGGAGCUGCCAACCCCAUCAAGCAAAUUAUUCGUUCUUUUGGGGCUGGCACCUUGAACAAGCAUAAAAAUAGAGGGAAGCAGAUAUAUUGUCGUGUAUGAACACACCCUUCUUUCAUUAGUUUAGAUGAACCAUUGAUGAUCAAUUCGGACCAGUGCAUGCGAUUAAAUUUAAUUUUACCUAAAUAGAGGGUGCAGAAUAAACUACAACAACUAGAUUUGCAACCACGGGAUGCUGACAAUAUCUUCAAAGAACAUUGCAACAGCAGCGAGGCUUCACAGCAACAUAUGGUAAGCCAGUGUGUUUUAGUACAUGUGAAAUGUAAUGCGAGCGGGAUGCUUUCUUGGCUUGUGCCCUCAACCUGUAAUCCUACCGAAUUACAAAUAGUUCAGUUAUCUACUUUGAUGUAUUGCUUGAUUCGAAUGUUUGUUUGUUGUUACGCUAUACCUGAGUUAGCCAAUAUGUCAGCAGUGCCUGCUAUACUAUCGUAAAGACAUGCAUGCCUAUUUCAUUUGAGUCCUUAACUUUUCCUCUCAACUUCAUCACAAGACUGUCUUCGUAGUUUAUAUGAGGCCACACCGUUAAGUGCUUUCUCAGAUUAUUUCAACUGCUUAGAUGCCUUGGCAACUUAAAUAUAGCGGUGGUACACUCCCUUCAAGUUUCAUCUUACCAUUUUAAUUUCUUUUCGGCUGAUGCUGCUUCAAACCAUUUAAAUAUAGUUUGCCAUGCUCGGCAAUAAUUCGUUCGUCGUUUACCAUGUAAGCUUACUGCCUGGAUCAUACGAUAACUAUCUCUUACUUGUGUCCAGCAGAACCCUUUCAGGAUGCCGUUCACACUAGGACACAAUGUACAACCCCAGAAUCUAUUUGUGGAAGCAGUGCGCCAUCCAUGUUACCAUAUGGUAGCAGUUCAGAGGCAACACUGUCGGAAAGUAGUCUGAGCACAGAUAUUAUAGUGCUCGAAGCUCUAAUAUAGGCAGAAAGAGAUGGUGUGGCUGCCAUGAAUGAGGUAAUCUUUAUCUUGAGGCUGGAAAUUACGGAAUUAGCGGCACGCAUUAUGCAAGCAACCCAAGAAUUGGAGGAAGUAAGAAUGUUGCAUUUGAAGACGAAGGAGGUCCUGCUGUUUCUGCUAUCUGAAGCCCAAGGUAAUCCCGGUUCUUCUUUAGAUACCAGUUGAAAUUGUCAUUAGAUUAUUGUACUUGCAUGUUGUGUCAUGUCUCUGAAUGGAUUAUGUUGCAAGACCCCCUAUGCUGUCCAUGUGUUCUAAUUAUCCGAUUUUUUAGGCGAGGUAAUCCUCAGUACUUGUAUGAUUGACAUAAGGUGAACUGUUUUCGUGUGGGCAUAUUGUAUUGGAUGAAAUAACUGUUUGACACAGAGUGUAUCCAACCCACUGAAUUCGAAGAUCACGGCAUUUCUAAAUCAUAAUCAUAUACAAAGGUGGAAUAAAUCUUUGUUGUGGUUUUGAAGAAAUAAAUAACAAAACAUAUAAUUAUCUAUGGAUAUUCGUAAUCGAAUACAAAUUGGAUUUGAAUUUAGUUUGCCAGGGCCCAGGGCAAACGUGAAUGCUAAUUCUCCCAAGUUUUGAACGAAGCGGCUAAACACCCACUAUAAUUUGUGGGCUGCCCGAAGCAAGUGUUUGCGAGAUGGAAAUUAUUGUCUACCCCUGAAACUUGACAUCCUUAUCGACCGGAUUUACACUGCUGCCGAUAGGGGUAGACUAGUAACUUCAAUCAGACGUGACACGACGGCCUCUGAGCCCAUUCAGACACGAUGGGCGCCAAAUGUGGGCGGCAAAACACAUUUGAUUCAAGCUCGUCCGAAAGGCAUGUGUCUCUUCCUCCAUUUCCCCAUUCAUACACGGUGGGCGGCAAAACAAACUCUCCUCGUCUGAAAUCGAUGUAGGCUAAUAUUUUAAAUAGGGGCAGAUGUGUAACUAACAUCAGACGUGACACAACCGCCCUACCUGUCAGCCCCUUCAUACACCAUGGGCGCCAACCGUGGGCGGAAAAACACCCUCUCCUCGCCCGAAAUAGUUACUGGCAAAUAUUUGGGAGAUGCGAGAUUACCGCCCUAUCCCCAACCGACGCGAUGUCCGAAAUUUUAAACGGGGGAUAAGUUCGUAACUUUCCCCCAUUUCAGAGANNNNNNNNNNNNNNNNNNNNNNNNNNNNNNNNNNNNNNNNNNNNNNNNNNNNNNNNNNNNNNNNNNNNNNNNNNNNNNNNNNNNNNNNNNNNNNNNNNNNNNNNNNNNNNNNNNNNNNNNNNNNNNNNNNNNNNNNNNNNNNNNNNNNNNNNNNNNNNNNNNNNNNNNNNNNNNNNNNNNNNNNNNNNNNNNNNNNNNNNNNNNNNNNNNNNNNNNNNNNNNNNNNNNNNNNNNNNNNNNNNNNNNNNNNNNNNNNNNNNNNNNNNNNNNNNNNNNNNNNNNNNNNNNNNNNNNNNNNNNNNNNNNNNNNNNNNNNNNNNNNNNNNNNNNNNNNNNNNNNNAACCUCCGCACUGCAGCCAGCCUCCUCCGUCCGCCACCCCAUCCUCCACCUUGCCGGAGCCGCUACCCCUACCCCAUCGUCCACUGCAAGAGAUGGACGUCUCUCAUCCACGGCGCUGGACCAGGAUCCUUUCAUCGCCUCAUCUCGCUUCAUCGGCGCCGUCGUCCACCUUGCCGUUGCCGCUCCUACGACCGCCUCGUCCACGGCAACAGGAUAUAUCCCCCGACCUGGCCAUCUGCCGUCUAAAGUCUUCUUCCUCGCCGCCGACAGCCAUCGCACCCGCAACACCCUCAACAUAUCAGCAUAGGCCUACAUGGCGUCGCAAGAGAGGUGGUACUCUUCCAUAUGUGCUUAAGUUAUUGAUCUCACCCGCAAAAUAGAUCGUAAUUUGUUUACUGUACUUUUCUUGUCUGUACCAAAUCAUAGUGGCUAGUUGAAAGCAAACAUUGGUUGCGAAGUAGCUUUGUCCGGCUUGCACCUUCAGAUCCGCCAUGGCACGGGCACUAUACUCGUAAAGCUUAUGGUUUCCCCCCUUUAUAUUCACUACCAUCAUCGUAGGUGCUUUGUGUCGUGCUAGCACUGCUCCUCAAGACCUCAACCCAAAGCUUACGUGUUGAAAUACGAAUCUGAUAUGAUGCUCAUAUCACUAAAACAGAGAACGUCUAAUUGGUCACCUAAUGUUCCUAUAUUUGUUUCGAAAAGCAUGUGCGCCACCCACUGGUCCAGCUAGUUCCACUUUCCUGAUUUUUCUCUUGAUGCUUAGAGUUUUCCCCUUUUAUCUACUAUACUAUGAUCUGCGUAGGUGCUUUUUGUCGUACUAGCAUUACUCCACCCUUCAAGCUAAACAACAAGCACUCAGAAUUCGAAAGCUUAGUUGUUCAAAUAUGAUUGUGAUAUGAUACUAAUAUUAGUUAACCGACACAUUUAAUUGGUUAGCUAAAGGUCCCACUUGAGUUUCCAAAUGCAUGUCGCGACAUAUAGAGAGACAGCAUAAUUGCAUUUCUUUGUCACUUGUUGACCAUACUUUCUUGUCCAUACCAAAUCUUAGUUGUUAUUUCAAAGCAAACAUCGGUUGCUAACUACCCUUUGUGCAGUUUGCAGCUUCAGAUCUGCCAUCCCACUGCCACGGUCAACACUGUACUCAUCAUGCUUAUGUUUUCCCCAUUUUAUGAUGACCACAAUCAGCCUACGUGGUUCGUGUCGUAAUAGCACGCUCCACCCAUCGAGCUAAACAAGCUUAGUUGUACAAAUUCAUAUCUGAUAUUAUUGCUGAUAUUAGUAAAACUGAGAGAUGUUUAAUUGGUUAGCUAAAUGUUCCUACUUUAGUUUCGAAAUGCAUGUGAGCCACAUAUGGAGAGACCGGAAAGAAUAGUAUUUCUCUGUGCGCUCUGGUUCAUCAUGGGUGGCCAACCGACAUUGUAUUGAAAGACUUGUAAUAUCUUCAAUCUGCUUGCUCUUCUGCUCUUCUUUAAGAUGAUACUCUUCUCUUGCGGUCGACUGGUCAGGUCGAGUUGUUCUCCCUUAGUAUAUUUUGAAUCUGUCAGGUCAGGUCGACUUGUUCUUCUUUACUAUAUGUUGAAGUUGUCAUCUGCGAAGUGUCAUCACUUCUGGAGCUCUCAUAUUUUGAGUAGUAGGCCACAUUAUAUUAAUGCACACAACAAAUUACAGCAUGCAUGGUAUCUUUUAAAAGAAUUGCAGAGAUAGCAGAAAGGGGUUUACAGGGAGGCAGUAUUGGAUUAGAAUCACUUCUGCAUUACAAAGAAAAUCUCACUUGUUUUUAUGUUUUCAUGCAUGUCAGAUAUUGAACAUUAUCAAAAUGAAUAUGAGAAUGGGUGCACGAGAGGAAUAUUGCGGAACGAUCCACUAGCUAACAAACUUGGCAUGGUGGAGGAUGGCCUAUCUUAUUCACCCAUCAAGGUGCUUGCUCCAACUUUGCAAAGUUGUAUUGGUCGCACAUAUUUUGCAUCUGACCUCUUGCAUUACUUCCACUUUGUUACACCAUCUGCUUAGUUUAAGCAUCAUAUAUGAGUAUAUGACAUACCUAUCCAUUUUCUGUACCUUUUCCAUGUGUCGUCACACUAUGUUUUUCCAGUCAAAUGUUGUUCUUUCGUAAUAGAUGUCCAAAAGGAAGAGGGUGAGUGCAGAUCCUCAAGGAGUACAAACUAGGUAUUUGGAGAAGGUAGUGAUACCUGUUAAAUUAGAUAGAUCAGCAGCCACAGAAAACAUAGGCCCAACUGUACCACACUUUACUCCUACUCCAGUGGCCAAACCCCUAUUAGAACUGCUGGGAGCCCAGCGUCAGGUACUGUCUAUGAUAUCAAUUCAAAAUUUGAUCUCCUAAAUUUCUGCUUGUGCCUUACCUUCUCUCUUGUAUGAAAACUAAUUUCAGAUGAAUCUCCUUGCUCAAAGGAUCAUACGAUCUCAAAACAAUAAUGGGCUCUGCAUUGCUCUUAUCAGUACCUCUCUCCCUUUUGCCUUGUAACGCUGUACUUAAUUAAUUGCUAUUUGAUUAUGUAUCAUCAGUCUGCACCUGAGCUUCAUUAUCCUCUGUUUCUUCCAAUAUUAUUUGAUCUAUAUUUACUCUUUGCAAAAUGUAGAAUAAUGGCAACGCUUAUAAAGAAUUUUCUUUGGGGAAUUUAUUGAAUUAUCCUUCCAUCAACAUGGAGAAGGGCUUUGUCCAGCCCGUGUUAACAUGUAAUGUAAGUUCAUCCUUCUCAAGCCUUCAAACUUUGUUCUAGUAUAGAUUUGGAUAGGCAUCAUUUCCUCCACUGCUGUUUGCUUUGCUGUUUACAUCUAGUUGGAUGUUUGCAACAACUACCAGUUUCAAAUUGUAGUUGUAAAAACAUGUUCCUUAUGCAGAACAGAUCCAUUUAUUUUCUUAUAUAAUUGUGAAACAUGUUUCGUGUCUCCUUGUUUCUCUUUCAGAGUCGUAUCUCUUACGCCAGGCAGAACGUUAGGGAAGAUAGUGAGCCAAACCAUCUUGAGGACAGCGAGAUGACCCCAAGGUCCUGUCUUGAUGAAGACAGUGAGUUGAAGCUACUCACCAGCAGGUGUGAGACAACCUCUAUGCAGUCGCUGCCUCAAUCAGUUCGACUUCUUCAGUCUCAACUUAAAGCGGAAAGGCUUGCUUCAGCUCAGCUCCGACUUGAAGUCAAAGAUGCAAUGAAGAUGUCAGAGGACUGUCGUGCGCAUCAUCAUGCCUUAAAUCUAGUGUUGAUGCAUCUAUCGUUGACACAACUGAGGUCUACUCAGCUUCUUCAGCUGUUUGGGGGGCCCGACCUGGCCAGGCCUAGUGCCUUCUGAAGUGCUCUCAGUUUUGUAUAUUCUUUUAUUGGCGCAUUUAUUUGCACUGGUGGCGAACUUUGCUGCCCAGUGGAUGUAAUAUGUGUGAUAGCCGUGAUAGCCUAGCGUAAGUUGCUUGCUUAUUUAUUUACUUGUUGUCUUGUUUAUUUGUUUGCUUGUAGUCAUAGCAGUUCUUUUUCCGCGGUUUGCUAGUGGCUGCAAUAACCUAUUUUUAAAACUAGGCCACAAUAACCAUGGGCUAAUACUUAUUGUAGUGACACUGGGCCUCCUACGGGCCGUAGAAAUAGUGGGCCUUCUACGGGCCCUAGAAACACUAGGCCUUCUACGGGCCAUAGAAACAAUGGGCCUUCUACGGGUCAUAGAAACAAUGGGCCUUCUACGGGUCAUAUCAUCAAUGGGCCUUAUACGAGCAGUAUGAUCGAUUAGCCAAACAUGGGCCAAUAACAGGCCGCAAUAUGUCCGUAAAUGAGCUAGAGUUGGAAUCGUCCGUUCAUGGGCCGACCAUAACGGGCCAUCGUUAAUAGGCCGUAUUUGAUGACGCUAUGAAAACGGCCCAAUGUAUUAACGGACCACAAACAGGCCGACUGUAACCACGGGCUGAAUUUGGCCCACAAGCAGAAAAUGACAGUAAUGGGCCGUAAGUAAACGAAUGCUGGAAAUGAGCCCAAGAAUAAAUGGGCUCUGAGAAGGCCGAAAGAUAACAUAGGCUGGAAACGGCCCAACGGAAUAACGGGCCAUUAAUGGGUAUAAAGUGAUACACUGUUCAUUAUGGGCCAGUUUCACCACGGGCAGUUAAUGGGUGUAAAGUGAUACACUAUUCAUUACGGGCCAGUUUCACCACGGGCCGUUAAUGGGUGUAAAGUGAUACACUGUUCAUUACGGGCCAGUUUCACCACAGGCCGUUAAUAGGCCAAGAGUUACAUAGGGCCUCAUAUGGGCCGAAAGACGUCAUGGGCCAUACAUGGGCCAGAAGUGAAAACGGGCUGGAAUCAUAUUGGAUGGCCCAGAUGACGCUACUGGGCCUAAUUCGGAUAGGGCAUAACGGGCCUUGGGUUAGCGGGUCGUAAAUGGGCUAUAUGCGAACAGGCCGUUAACAGGCUUUACAUGGGCCAGCCCACCAUCUUUUGACCAAGUCAAACGGGUCGACCUUUUCACAGGAAUGGGCCUCGGUUGGGCCGUGCCACGUGUCAACGUAUCAUAGGCGCCUUCUGUCCAAUGAAUGGAUGACAUCUGUCCCAACGAUGAGCCGACACGUGUUUCCUCCAGCCAAUGAUGAUUUUACACGUGGAAAAUCCCCAUUGGUCGGGGCUGUUAACGGGUUAUCGGAUCCAAAACCCGACCCGAUAGCUUAACGGUGUUCCGUUACGGUGGAUGCCACGUGUCGGUCACCCUUGACUAAAGCACUUCUGUGACGUGUGAUUUAUCGUCAUGGAAGUGGACACUUCUGUGAUGAUAAUUUUGGUAAUUUCAUGGAACACUUCUAUGACAGCACAGGUAUGACUAUCUUGAUUCUAUCAUAAUUUGUCAUGGAUGUACAUGCAUGACAGAAAACGUGACCUACUAUGACAAACACGUAUCAUCACGGAAGUGUAUUUUUUUGUAGUGUAAGGCCUCCUUUUAAUAGAGAACUGGACCAAAGCAUUAGCACAUAGUGAAUACAUGAACUCCUCAAACUACGGUCAUCACCGAGAAGUAUCCCGAUUAUUGUCACUUCGGGGUUGUCGGAUCAUAACACAUAAUAGGUGACUAUAGACUUGCAAGAUAGGAUCAAGAACUCGCAUAUAUUCAUGAAAACAUUAUAGGUUCAGAUCUGAAAUCAUGGCACUCGGGCCCUAAUGACAAGAAUUAAGCAUAGCAAAGUCAUAGCAACAUCAAUCUCAGAACAUAGUGGAUACUAGGGAUCAAACCCUAACAAAACUAACUUGAUUACAUGGUAAAUCUCAUCCAACCCAUCAUCGUCCAGCAAGCCUGCGAUGGAAUUACUCACGCACGGUGGUGAGCAUCAUGAAAUUGGUGAUGGAGGAUGGUUGAUGAUGACGAUGGCGAUGAAUCCCCCUCUUCGGAGCCCCGAACGGACUCCAGAUCAGCCCUCUCGAGAGGUUUUAGGGCUUGGCAGCGGCUCCGUAUCGUACAACGUGAUGAAACUUCCUCUCUGAUUUUUUUUCUCCGCGAAACGGAAUAUAUGGAGUUGGAGUUGAGGUCGGUGGAGCAGCAGGGGGCCCACGAGACAGGGGGGCGCGCCCAGGGAGAGGGGGCGCGCCCCUACCCUCGUGGACAGGGUGUGGGCCCCCUGGCCUUCAUCUUUUGCCAGUAUUUUUUAUAUUUUCCAAAAGUUAUCUCCGUGGAUCUUCAGGUCAUUCUGAGAACUUUUGUUUCUGCACAAAAAUAACACCAUGGCAAUUCUGCUGAAAACAACGUCAGUCCGGGUUAGUUCCAUUCAAAUCAUGCAAGUUAGAGUCCAAAACAAGGGCAAAAGUGUUUGGAAAAUUAGAUACAUUGGAGACGUAUCAUUGUGUUGCAGGCAUUGGUUGAGAAAGAGAGAUUGAACACCCAUACGCUUUUGGAGGAGGUAAAAAGGGAGGCGGCAGAGAGGGAGAGGGAGAUGGAGGAGAGGACGGCUAAGCUGUUGGAGGAGGAGAGGAACCGGAACGAGGCGUCUCACCGGGCCCUAUACGAGCUCCUCAUGGUACGUUUCUCGUGCAUAUUAGCCAAAUCAUGCACGUAAUGUUCGUAUUAUAUACUAACUAAUAUGACUGACUCAUGAGAACCAAAUGUGCAGACCAUGUGCGAGAAAAAUGGUCAGACCCCUCCGCCGAUGCCCCAGAUUGCUCCGGCGACCACGGUGAGUUUGAUUUGAAUGGUCGUUGGUUACUAGUAUUCACAUUUCAGUUGCAUCAUGCUAAUGAGACAUUAUUGGAAAUGAUCUUUGGUGCAGCAUCCUUCCACUACAGGAAACAGGUAAUUUGCCGUCUGUGGAUUACAGAUCGCAAAGACCUAAUUCCAGACGGCAAAGACUUUGCCGUCAGGAAGCAGACGGCAAAGUCAGACGGCAAAGAUAAAUUGGCAAAGAAUUCUUUGUCGUCUGCUGUUUGUCGGGAUGACGGCAAAGAGUUUGCCGUCUGCCAAUAUGGUUUGCCGUCAGCAGACUAGCCAGACGGCAAAAUAUGCCAACAGACGGAGCGGCCAUGUUGACGGACGGCGUCAAGUACUUUGCCGUCAGUUACGCUAUGUCUUUGUUGUCUUCCUUGUAUGCCCAGACGGCAAAGAAAAUAUUUUUAUUAAAAAAAUAAAACAACACUACAAGUGCAGAGGUCGUAGAUGGCCGAAGGCAUAUGGAAAAUCUUUCACAGCUAUGAAGAGUGAAUGGAUUUUUAUAAGACAGAAAUAUUCUAUUUACAUACUAUAUCCAUCAUCACAGUAUUUACACAAUAUAAUGUUCUCCAUUUAUAAGAAGAACGAACAAACCAAACAACAACAAAACAAUUACAAAACGGACGAACUGGCCCUUGCCAGCAUCCAGAUCCGAGCACGGGCGUCGAGCUAGACGAGGUGAAUGGUGGUCUUCCGGCGGAGUUGACCAUGGCGCCAUGGAGCCCCUGGAUUGGACAAGUACAGGGCAGAGUUAAACCAAUAUCACAUCCAGGGUAAGAUGAACUUCUCGCGCCCAGGAAGCCUACCAGAUCUCGUCGCCCGCCGCCUCAAACCUCAUCCGGGUGCCACGAGGAAGGAGAGCAGCCCCUGGGCCUUCUUUUUCACGGCCACGGCGCCAUCAUCUCUGGGAUGCUCAUCCGCGGCGCCAUCGUCGCCGGCCAUGGCGCCCUCCGCAUGCCAGAGGACCUGCCGUGUUGAAGGGCGGCGGCGGUUGAUGAGCACGGGAGGAGGCUCCCGCGCCGGCGAGGCGGGGUCGACCAGCGACCAGCGGCGAGCAAGGGAGGAGAAGGCGCCGGGUCGCGGGCAGGGGAGGACGAGGAAGAUCCCGCGUUGGCCUCCGGCUCAGGCGACGGAGAGGCGGGGUCGAGCAGCGGCGGUUGACGAGCAGGGGAGGAGGAGGAAGAUCCCGUGCCGGCCUCUGCUCAGGCGACUGUGAGGCGGGGUCGAGCGGCGGCGGUUGACGAGCAGGGGAGGAGGAGGAAGAUCCCUCGNNNNNNNNNNNNNNNNNNNNNNNNNNNNNNNNNNNNNNNNNNNNNNNNNNNNNNNNNNNNNNNNNNNNNNNNNNNNNNNNNNNNNNNNNNNNNNNNNNNNNNNNNNNNNNNNNNNNNNNNNNNNNNNNNNNNNNNNNNNNNNNNNNNNNNNNNNNNNNNNNNNNNNNNNNNNNNNNNNNNNNNNNNNNNNNNNNNNNNNNNNNNNNNNNNNNNNNNNNNNNNNNNNNNNNNNNNNNNNNNNNNNNNNNNNNNNNNNNNNNNNNNNNNNNNNNNNNNNNNNNNNNNNNNNNNNNNNNGAGAGAUGGUGUCGGGUGUGGGAGAGAGAUUGUGGUGGGGCUUGGGGAUAAGAGAGAGAGAGAGAGGGACUGGUGGGAUGGGUGGGUGGGGCGUGCGUGGUGUGAAACGGAUGCGGGUGGGGGCGCCCCAGAUCAUGCCACCUCAUCGAUCCGUGGGAUCGAUCCGUGUGUUGUGCUUUUUCUUUGUCGUCUGCGAUUGUUUUUACAAACGGCAAAGAGCUCUCUUUGCCGUCUGUAAAAUAAAUCGCAGGCGGCAAAUUUUUUGCUGUCUGUGAUUUUUUUUACACACGGCAAAAAGAGCUCUUUGCAGUCUGUAAAAAAGAAUCCCAGAUGGCAAAGAAUCUCUGUCGUCUGUGUUUUUUUUACAGACGGCAAAGUAUGGAUUUGCCGUCAGUUGUUCUUUGCCGUCAGCCGCUGUUGGCAAAGUUUGUCUUUGCCGUCUGGCCCGACGAAAUGCUGACGGCAAAGAACAGUACUGACGGCAAAUCUCCAGUUUCCCAUAGUGCUCCCGACAAGCAUCGACCACUCCUUCUGCGUCUGGCAAUGGCGGAACCACGACCGGUCCUUCACCUCCGUUUGCCACUAGCGCAGCCCCGACCGUUCAUUCACCUCCGUGAUAACGGUAUUUUUCUUCUUAUUUAGCCUAUUUAGUCCAUUUAUGACAUAAUUUAGCCCAUUUAGUCCACAAAUGACAUAAUAAGAUGAAGAAAAUCAAGGAAGAGGAAGAAAAGAAGAAGAAGAAAUUCUUCUUCUUCUUCUUCUUCUUCUUCUUCUUUUCCUCCUCUUACUUGUUUUUAUUCGUAAAUGGCAUAAUAACCUUGCUAACCUCAUAAAUGUCAUAUACUUAGCUUGUUGUCCUCUAAAAUGACACAAUAAGCUUAGUUAGGUCAAAAAUGUCAUAAAUAGCUAGGUUAGCUAAAAUAUGACCAAGUUUACCUAGGUUAGCUCCAAUAUGAUUCAUUUAACCUACGUUAGCUCCAAAAUGACCUAUUUACCUAGCUUAGCUCUAAAUUGACCUACAUACUUAGCAUUUUUACCUACCUUAGCCCAAAAAUGGCAUUUUUACCUACAUUAGUUAGAAAAUAAGAAGAUAAGGAAUAGGAGAGGAGAGAAAGAAAGAGAAGAUAAAUUCUUCGUCUUCUUCUUCUUUUCCUCCUAUUCCUUUUCUUCUAGCUAGUCUUCUUCUUCUUCUUCUAACUUUCAUCUUUCCCAAUUUGCAGAUUUGCUUUAGAUGAGGAAGCUUGUAUUGAUGGAGUGUACUAUUCUUCUGUUGCUUCAUUGUUGUUUAUGAAAACUUGUUUGGAUAUGUAUGUCUAUAUGGAUAUGUUGUUGGAAACUUGUUUCUGGAUAUGUAUGUAUAUAUGGAUAUGUUGGAUAGGAUGGACUUUGUUGAACUAUGUUAUUAGAUAUGUUGGAUUUGAUGAAAUAUGUUGUUGGACAUGUUGUUAUAUGUUGUUGGAUAUGUUGAAUAUGUAUGUAUGUAUAUCUGUGUGUGAAAUCUUGCCAAAUUAAAUGGAUUCAAAUAAAAAUAGGGGAUAUAUAGCCUCUUUGUCGUCUGCUAGCGGACGGAAAAGAACUUUGCCGACUGCUAGAAGACGGCAAAGAGGACACGUGGCAGCUACCUGUAGAAACUGAGAACACUGGGCUGCCUAUUUGGGCACUUUGCCGUCUGGCAAACAGGGCCAACUAUGCCGUCAGCCAGCGGACGGCAAAGAUUCAAAGCUCUUUGUUGUCCGCUAGCAGAUGACAUAGCUGGCCACGUGGCAGCUUCCCAGUGCUGGCCGAGCUGAGCUCUUUGCCGUCCGUCAGCAGACGGAAAAGAGCUUUGCCUCUUUGCCAUCCGCCGGCAGACGGCAAACACACGCCAUUAACCCCUAACGGCUCUCACCCCACCCCACUGUCGUCCAUGAUCUUUGUCGUCUGCUGGCCUUCAACGUCGGAUGGCACAACCAUUUCUCGUCCGCUUCUAUGAAGCAGACGACAAAGAAGGCCAUUGCCGGCACUCGUUCAGACUGAUAGUUUGUCGUCCGAUGGCAGACGUCAUAGGACUUUGCCGUCCGCCAUCCAUGCCUUUGCCGUCCGCCAUGGCAGACGGCAAAGAAGCUGAUUCCAGUAGUGAUAGUGCCUAUGUGUACGUGAUUGAAACUAAAUAUCAACCAUGAGUAACUAAUAUCUUGAUGGAAAACUCGAAACUAUGGAAAUACUAGCAUUUUUUUGCAUGGUUGGAAAUACUAGCAAUGUUCACAUGCGUUGCAACAGACCAUAGUUAGAAUAAUACUUAUUCACAUACUUGAUAAAAAACACUCUAAUUUUGAUAUACAUAUAUCAGUAGAGAUAUAUUAUGUUUCAAUCAAAAUAUAUUCCUUGGGCUGUUUUGGUGAGGUGAGGGAGGGAUGUGGUUGGUUUUAAGAUACUAAUUAUGGGGUUUUUUGCAAAUUGGUAGAGAAGUGGGAUGUUGGUGAGAAAAGGCAACAACUUACCUCACAGUUGUUAGAUGUAUAUCUAAUGGUCAGAAAUGAUGGAUGGCAGACACACCAUCAUCACCAACUAAGUCUUUUGUAGGAGUACUAGCAAGAUGUCCGUGCAUUGCAUGGAACAUCAAGACGCAUUUUUUUUAUAAAAUACCUGUUGUGAUUGACCCAUGCUGGAGUAAUCCUAUGUGUAGAAACUAAUGAUAUCUCGAGAAAGAGGAGAUAACGUGAAGAGGAGUGGGGUGUGGUGGUGAUUUGUGGUCGGACUGAGCGGAGGCAUGGGGAUGGACGACGCCGGCAGCGACCACCAUGUCAAUUUGUUCCAGAGGCUUCCUUUUGAAUUGCUCAACAAUGAGGUUGUUGGAGAUAAGGAUGAACGAGGGAAGGCCUGGUCUGCAAAUGUGGAGAGAGGUGCGGGUAUCUUUUAGUUUAAUUUCUAUCCAUCAGAUAUAGAUCAGACGGUCUAUAUUGCAAGAUGACACGCGUACCAUCAUCACCAACUCGGUUUUUUUUAUAAGAGAAGAAAUAUAAGUAUGGAGAUACAAACGUACUAUCGAUACUUUUUUCCGUAAACUUGGAUCUACAUUCUAUUCAACGGCUCAGCAUGUGGGGCCUUAGCACAAUGACUUAGAAGUUGUGAUUUUUUUUUGGAAAUUCACAAAAGUACGAAAUUCCAGAAUGUUUUUAAUUUUUCUAAAAAAAUUGGUACAAUGUCAGCUCCGAUUGUGUCAUGCGGGACCCUCGAUCCGACCAGACCCUUAUAAGCGGGGUCCACUUCAACCAAAAAACAUUGGGGCUCUGAUAGGCAUAUGUUCCUAGGGAGCUUAGUAAUUUUAAGAAUUAGUGCAAUGUUAAGAUGUUGUUCAAGUAAAUUUAUGGGGAAUAAAUAUGGUCCCUAGGGAACCAUUUAAAAUUCUAAAUUACAUUCUAAAUGGAAUAACAAAUAAAGCAAUUUUUAUGUUAAACUCGGAACAAAAAUCCACACUGACAUGCGGCCGAGAUAAAAUCUUACUUGUGGUAUUUCAUCAACUUGUUUACUUACUUUGUUAGAAAAAACAUGAUGUUUUAAAAUAUUAAGAUGUACGUACAGUCUUCAAAUUAUGACAUUUGACCAUUAUUUCUAUAUGAUAAUAUGUUGCUACCAGGUGACACAUGUAGCAAGCAAUUCAAACAAUUCAUAAAAAACAUGUUGCUAUCAAAAACAACUUGUAUGAAAUUAUGAAAUAUUUUUCUACAACAAAUUAAUUAGUUUCCUUUCGUUUAGUAAAUCUUUCUAACCAUUUUCUCCCUUUGCAUGUAGCUGUUUCUAGGAAAUUCAUAUUCACCGCAUGAUGCGGCAAGUAGUCGGAGCAACGCACAGGGGCAGAUCGACUAGCGUUGGGAUGGGCCAGCUAGUAAACGAUUGAGCGAUUCCGGUUUUAGGAAUCUUUUAGGUCGUUCCCAGCCGGUUUUUCCUGGCUUUGAGAGCCUUCUAGGAGGUACCUGAACCGUUUUUUUUUCUUUUUGUUCAUUUAUUUUAAUGUUUCUUUUUUGUUUUGAUCUUUCCUUUUCUUUCUUUGCUCUUUUGUUUUUUCUUUUUCAUGUUUCUUUUGUUUGAAAAUUUCAAAUAUUUAUUCGGAAUUUUAUAACGAUUCUUGUUCUCAAAAUUUUCUUCCAAAUUUCGAAAAAUGUUUGUGUUCCAAAAGUCUUUCAAGAAUUUCAAAAAUGUUUGUGUUCCAAAAGUCUUUCAAGAAUUUCAAAAAAACUUUUCGUUUCCAAUUUUGUUCACAAUUUCAAAAAUAAUUCUUGUUUUAAAAAUAUUCAGUAAUUUCAAAAAACAUGUUCUUGUUUUCAAAGUUGGUUAGGUUCAUGUUUUCAAAAAAUGUUCUGGAAUUCGAAAAAAUGUUCUAUAUUUCAAAAUUCUUUCGGAAUUUCAUUCAGAAAAUGUUCAUGUUUCAGAAAAUGUACAAGAAUUUGAAAAUAUGUUAUCAUUUUCAAAUUUGUUCUCAAUUUCAGAAAAAUGUUCGUUGUUUCAGAAAAUGUUCAGGAAUUUCAGAAAUUGUUUCUUUUUUUCUUGGCUGGUUUGGAGAAUCGCGAAAACACUGUAUGUACCAGCCAAUUUACCCCUAAAAAAACCAGCCAAUUUGGAGCAGAAUUCGGACAUGGAGUGUCAAAAAAAAUGCAAUUUGGAGCUGAAUUCGGAUAUUGAGUGACGCCAAUAUAUAGCUUCGACACGCAAUCUUGUGCUCGCGUUAAUUUUCUUCCCCCAACCAGCUUGGAAUCGUCCGAGUCCAAUCGAGAGAGAGAAAACUGCAAGGCCAAUUUAGGGCAAUGCCGCUGCCGCCGCGCGCCGUCAUCCUGCCAUUGCCCGCCGUCACCUCGAAAGUGGCACCCCAGAGAAGCAAAGUUGCGGCGAUGACAGCGGCCAAGAGAACUAGUGGCGCGCCCCGCUCGCCGGAGAAGGUUCCUCGGGUGGAUGCAGCGGCCAAGAAGUCGAACAGCGCGCCCCGCUUGCCUGCGAAGUUUCUUCAGAAGUCCACCGUGGAUGCGGCGCGCCGGCAACUGCGAUUCGCGUGCGGGGAUGCUGUGGAGGUGCGCAACAGGUUAUGCACGAACGUCGUGUUCUCCGGCAACAGGUAGCUGGUGAUCUACCUCGGCGCCAAGGUAGUCUCCGCAUCGGCCGGCACCGAGUCCUACCUCGUCGAGUACCCCGCCAUCAACAGCAAACCCAGCCGUGUCGCACGAAUGCCAUCAUGGGACGUCCGCGAGCCCCGUCGCGCUCCACCGCAGCCACACCCGGCCGUCGACGCGGCACGGCCGGCCAGUUCCAAGAGACCACCACCGCCGGAGCAGACAGAGCGCGGCGGCGAUUGUUGCAAGAAGGAGAAGAGGGUCGGCAAAGGGAUCCCGAUGGACGCGCUGUGCCGAUUCUACGAGGAGCACGACCCAGAGUUUGCGUCGAAGCUGCGCCGCGCGACGAUGACGAAGGUCAAUGGAGGACGCCCACCAGUUUACGAUUAGUUAUAGUUCUCUCGGGAAGUAGUUUUCUUUUCUGCUCUCUCUACUAGUUGUCUGUUAUGAAUUCAUGAUCGUUCGCUGGAGAGAGGAAUUGAUGAACAUGAUCAUUAGCAGUAAGAACUCUGCAAUUGAAUAGAUGUAUCAUGAAUUCAUGACCGCUGGAGAGAGGAAUUGAUGUAUGUGCGUAGUCAAUAUAUAUUAAAUUCAAGAUUCUCGUUUUUCUUCAGAUCAAAAGGUGAAGAGAAAGCAGCAAGUUUUUUUUUAUUUUGGGGUUUUAUUCUUGAGAUCAAAAGGCGAAGAGAAAGCAAAUUUGAGACAGCACGUAUGGACCAUGCGAUCAUUAUCUGGGUUUUGUUUUGUGAGAAUCACUAAACCCCUAGAAUGCUCCCGUUAUUAUGUCAAGAGAAAGAAUAUAAUGAGCAAAUGUUCAGUAGGAUUUUCAGUAAGUUUUGGAGAACUUCAGCCAUUAGAAAUAAUUAGUACAAGGGCUAUUUGACCUCAUAUAGAAUUUUUCUUGUUCCUGCAUCUUGUAAGACUUGCCAUCCAAAGAGGCCCUUAACCAGAGGUCGCUGUGUGACAUUUUAUCAUGUCAGGCUAAUAAAGGUGGCAGCCUAGCUGAAAUUUUGUCAUGCCAGUUUGUAAACUCUUUGAUCAUAGAAUGGAGCUCACUCUUUCCUUGGAAUGCAUAUCUAUUUUUCUAGUUCUAUAAGAAUCCCAACAUAGAUCACGCCUUGUUUGUUUUUCUUUUGAGAUGCAGAUCAAUAUGAUGCAUAGUUUAAUGGCUUUUGUCAUUUGUAUGUUUGAACUUAAAAAGGUCUAAAAUGCUAUGGGCUUGCGCGUUCAUGCAAUUCGUCACAUAAACGUAAAAUAGACAGAUGCAUAUAAUGUGAUCUUUGGUCUUGGAAUGGGCGUGGCAGAAACUUCUGUUAUCUAAGCUCUGUCCCAAUACCCAUUGAUCUCAAUAAAAACAACUGUACCUUAUACAGGAGAUUAUGAUGUGCAACACGCAUAAACUUAAAGUUAUAGGCAUUCACAGCACACGAACAUAGUGAGGUAAAAGCAAUGUGGCAGUUUCAAUAACUUUCUGCAACAACAUUCCUCUGUUGAUGUUGAUGUCCCAAAAACUCUCAGUUCCAGCCAAGCUGGAGCAAAGUACGGCACAAGGGGAGCGAGCUUAGCUAAGGUAGAACAUUAACAGCAAGAUAAUACAGCAAACUAGCACAUUUCAAGUCUGAAAUUUGAACAUCACUGAUAGAGCAUUUUUCUUUCUUUCUGGAGAGCAUCACUGGUUUACUUUUCUCUUUUUGGAG
rnacentral:lncRNA from 1 species